rnacentral:lncRNA from 1 species
GAAUGAUAUGUUUUUUUUAUCUGAUGCUAAAGAUAAAUGGAUGUCAAAGCAAUUUUUCGCAGGGCGGAACAGUAAUUAUUUAAACUAAACUUUUUUGUCAGUAAUUUAAACUGAAAAUACUAACAUCAAACAGAAAAGGAAUCACAUUUUAACAUCUAGAAUUUGAAUUUAUUACCAAUAUAACCAAAAUUAUAUACCAAAUGUCUUAGCAGAACAGGUGAGGAUUAGCCUCUUAUCCCUUAUUCUCUUUAGGUGCCCCCAUAAGAUCCCUGUAGGUACAUAAGACUUGUGUGCUGUUUUUAGAAAAACAUAUCUUUUCUAAGUUUUCUACAUUUUGGUAUUAUAUUCAAUGUAUUCUAUUUUUGCGCAAACAUCAAUGAGAUCUUAUUAUUAUUAAAAAGAGAGAGAGAGAGAGAGAGAAACGUCCUAGCAGUUCACAUAUUGCAUGUUUUAUACUACUAACCUUCUCCUGACUAUAAAGUCACCUUCUUUUAGCCCAGUUUUAGGCAUAACCAUGUCUAAGGACUUGGAAGAUCGAGCAUCUUCAGCAACAUUUAGAAGCUUUAAACUUUCUUUCCAGCACUCUUCUCCCCGCCACAGAAGCUUAACUGCAAAUUGUGAGUUAAAUCUCAGAAAGGGAUUAUAUCAAAAUAAAUUCCUUUACUUUAAGUGAAUGCUAAGAGACGAAUAAAUGGAACUAAUUUGAAGGAAGAACUUUGAAGUUCAAUGAGUUGUCUCCUCCUGAUAAAAAACCGUUCGCAUGUACCUUUGGGGGAAUAGGGAUGAAGGAGUCCACCAGACAUUCCAGAUGCACCUCCACCAAUGCCAACUUCAUCAUAUAUGUCUAUGCAAAAAUUUGAUUCCUCUGAAGUUUGCUAUGCAACACAAAAAAGAUGCAGCAGCUGUAAUUAGCGGCCUAUGCUAAUUGAAUAGAAAAGGAAAAAAGAAGCUGCCAUAUGUAACUUGGCAUUAAGACUCACAGAUAAAACUAAUCUGUCAACGGAAUUAAGUUAUAUAUGCUAAUAGUAUAAGGAUUUUCUAGACUUGGAUAAAACGAAUUUUUAAAAAGAAUGAUCGGGCCCAUUUGGACAACUUAUUUUUUUGCCUCUUCUCAAAAAAAAUCCACAAAAACCUGUUUGGUUAAACAUUGUUUCAGUUUUUACUCCAAACUUGAAAAAGUGGUGCAGAGAAAUUUUCCCAUGGACAACAACAACAUACCUACCACAAGUAGCGUCUGUGGAGGGCUAUGCAGACUCUACCCUAUCUUUGUGGGAUAGAAAGGUUGUUUCCGAUAGAGGAGAACUCAUUUUCCCGCCAGGAAACUUCAAAAUAUUUUCAAGUGAAAUACAUGUUCAAACACAACUUCAACUUCGAAAUACCAAUUUUUAACUCAACUUAAAAUACAAUAUUUUACCAAUAUCACUCAAUUCAUGUCCAAAUGCCUACUAAAUACAUAUACUCCAGAUAUAUUUUACAAAUUAAUUACCCUAUUUCUAAGGUUACCAAUCUACUUAGUUAAACAAUUACAUGUAAUUAGCUAACAUAAACUAACAGCAUUGGUUUCAUUCAGUGCGUUCAAAAUAUAAAGUAAACAUACGAAAAACCAAAGGGGUUUACUAAAUGUACAUCAAAAAACAUAAUCUAAACAUGCUUAAACAAUGUAAUUUCCGUGGGGUUAGGAUAACUCUUUUGGCGCUACCUGGUUCCGCCCCUGCCUAGCAUUAUAACUUAAAAGCCUUUUCACCUUAGGAUUAAUGCAAAAGUUAUUAACUUUGUUGUCUCCUAAUAAAGUGCAAGAAGAACUCCAUAGGCAAUAACUAUAUGUAAAGACAAAGUAGGGAAUUGGGGAUACUUGCAACAAAUGCCAAACCACAGACAAUCCAGCAAAUCCAGCACCAAGAACAGCAUAUCUGAAUAUAAAUCCAAUUCCAAACAAAACAUUAAGUCAGGAAAAAAAAAAGAAGAAAAAACCAAUUUAUAUAUGGCUUAUUUACUAACCUGAGAGGCUUUUGUGAAACAGCAGAAAAACAUCUGACAGACAAGAAUGAAGAAGAAAAAGACACCCUUUUGUGAAAAGAGUGUAAAAAGCCACGACUUUGUGAUAAUUUUGUUGAAAAUAAAAAUGGGUUUUGGGUUAUAAGCGCCAUUGAAGAACCUCUUAAGGUAUUGGUAAUGGUGUCUGGUUUUGCAGGCCGCUAUGGUUUAAGACAAAGUCUUAAAACGUUAACCCGACAAUGGAAACGGAUAACUCAUUUGAGCUUUCGGAUAAAAUUUUAGUUACGUAGUAGUAUUCCUUAUUUAGUUAUCAAAAUAAGUUAUACUAUCCUAUUAAUUUAAUAAUUACCAAUAGGAUAAUUGUGGAAUUAGGUAUUUCAGAAUAAAAUAAUGAAAAUGACAAGAAUAUUGAUUUUUAAUAUACAAAACAAUUUUAUUUUUAAAAAUUAUAUCAUGCGUGCAUGAUAUUUUAAUACAAUAAAUUAAAUAAUAAUAUCAUAAUCACUAGAUAAACUCAAUAAAAUUUGUCUUUAAAUUAAACACAUUGAAAGCCUCCAAUUCUAAUAACAAUAGGACAUAAUCAAAAAAGAAAAAAAAAAUAGGACAUAAUCAAUUUUAUUUUACUUUUUAUGAGUAUAUUUUGGUGAGAUGAUAUAUUACAUUUACCAAGUAAAAAAUUUAUCACUUGUUUUUGUUGAUUUAAUAUAAUUAAACAUAUUAAUUUAAAGAGAGGUUCAUAAAAUAAAUUUUGUAGGUGUUUAAUCAUAAAAUUAGAAAGUUUCGUUACAAAUUUUGAUUAUAAAUGAGCAUUUGCACACAUAGAAGGUCAAAUUCUCCUUUUCCAAAAAAAAAAAAAAAUCUAAAAUCUAAAAUUGUAUUUUAAUUGUUUAUUAAAAAUUUGAAACUUAAUCAUUAAGUUACGUUUUCACAUAAAAAGAUUUAUAAUUUUAAAUUUUGCAAAAAUGACUCAUGUUUGUUUGAAAUCGAUAAAAAGGGUGGGUGUUACUGUAAUGGAUAAUUCAUUGGCUGAAUUUGAGAGAGGCAACCACCACCCUUUGGAUGAAAAAUCCUCAACUCCUCAUUCAUUCCCUUGCGAGCUUUUUGUUUUUUGCAUCUCAACUCUCGAUUACAUUUUCCUUCAUACCUAAAUAUAACAAAAAAAGCCAAGCUGAUUGAGGCUCAGAGCUCAGGCAACAAGAGAUUCCAACCAUGCCAUGGCUGCAAAAGCCACCUCCAAGAUAUGGGUUGGAUUAAUCAGCUCACAUUGGCAAAAAUCAAUUAUUCUCAGCACCAUUGCUUCCAGUGGCAACAAUCAAUGAUCCAGCGGAAGCAUUAAAAAGGAGAUGGAAAAAAGACUUGGAAACCCAUUUACUUCCUCUGUUUAGUGAGAGGUUUGUUGGGAUUCUUACAAUAAUGGAGAAAUCAUUGACUGGAUGAAUGCAGAGAGAGGCAACCACCCUUUCAACGAAAAUCCCUGUUAGCCUCAUUCUUAUAGUACCCUGAGGCUGGUAAUACUACCCCUCAGUUUAAAUUGACGAAGAGAAGCUCAGAUCUGUGUUGAACAAGAGUAUAAAGAGAGUCCAACCACGCCAUGGCUGCAAAAACCAGCAUGCCCCGCCAAGAUACAGGUCGGAUAACCUCCAAUGCUCAAUUAAUCAGCUCAGAAGGGAAUAAAAGUUACAAAAAUCAUCAUCGCCUCUUCCUAGCCAUCCGAAGCAAUAAAAUCAACUGUUAGAGGAAAUAUAAUUGAAGAAGAAGAUGGAUUUAAGGCGUGAAGAAUCGCUUUCCUUAAAAGAGAUAUUGCACGUGUACAUAUUGGGAAAAUACUAGCAACUGCCUUCAAGAUACAACAAAGUCCUUAUAUAUACAUGCAUAUUUUUCUCUUUGGCCUACUUCUGGAGAGUGUUUAUAUUUAUAAACCUUAAGAGAUCGACUUUUCAUAACAGUCAUGAACAAAAAAUGUAUCUGUUCAAUUUAAGGCCUCUAUAUAUUGCAAAAUAUCCAACAACAUACCCAGUAUAGUUUCAUUUUUCUCUUUUUGCAAAUUAUAUCAAAAACAACUUUUCUCCAACUCCAAAUAAGUUACUUUUAUACCAAUUUUUCCAACUGAACAUAUGGUCUCACUUGGCUAUAGAAGUUGUGAACAUUAUCAGCAAAAAACAGUAAAGAGAUUUCACUUUUGUUUGAAUCUCUAUGUUGCACCGGCCAUCUCUGUCUUUCUCUGCUUAGAUACCAAGCUUCAUAAUUCAAAUCUGUGGCAUGCAUCGUACUCACCAACUGUUGCACUCUUAUCCCUAAACAAAAGGGAUAUUUCAAACUGGCAACAUGCACCCCUAUUACACAUCAAUUGUUGUACUAAUGCUGCAGGACCAAAGCCUCUAAGCCAUGGGUGGGAUGUAUUCAUAAAAACAGUAAAGGUUUAUGGUUGAACACAUUUGAAACAACAAAGAGGAACUUUUCAAAUAUAUAAUCGUCCAAUCAAGAGUGAUGGAUAGUGUAGCCAAGUGAGAAACAGCUGGUUACAACCAUAUAUUAGCUCAUCAACUAGAAUUGUUCCAAGCUUGUCCAAGUAUGAUAUUGGCAACAGGGAAAAAGAGGAGAUCAACAAAGACAGAGCCCCUUGGCAAAGUUGCCUUGUUUUGCAAUUCUUUUUUGCAUAUAUCAAACAAUUACCUAUUUUCAAACUUAAAUACAUAAAAAUACAACUACUAUAACAAUAUUUUUAGGUUAGUAGUGACAACAUAGAGCUAAAUAGAGGCCUCAUCUAUCAGAGUAACUAUGACAUAAAGCGUCAUUUGGAUGUUAAUCCAUGGCUUACUUGAGUUACUCAUCAUUUAGGAUGAAUUGCUACAUGAACAGCAUAAACAAAUUGAUUGAAGGAGAUCAGUAUGAAUUAUCAAGACUACUAACAAGUAUGCUUUCUUGUGAAGAUCAUUAUCAAUGAAAGAGAAACCCUAAAAGAUAAUACAUAGCAAAAACAAGAAACUCACGCAGUGAAACUUCUUUUAGAUAAGUAAUUGUGACAAGAUAGUGCUAAUAGAGGUCUCAUCUAUCAGAGUAACUAUGACAAAAGAAGCUUCAUUUGGAUGUUAACCCAUGGCUUACUGGAAUUACUCAUCAUUUAGGAUGAAAUAUUUCAGGCAUAAAAGUAAACAAAUUGAAUAGAAGGAUAACUCCUAACAUAAUACAUAACAUAGAACAGAAAGUAUCACAUCUUGUACAGAUAAUACAUAAGCAGGAACAAGAACCUGACAAAAUGAAGCAUAAAAUCAACUAGUGAAACUUUCUUCAGUAGUCUAGUCAAUAGAGGUCAUCUAUCAGAGUAACUAUGACAAAAAGCUUCAUUUGGAUGUUAAUCCAUGGCUCGCUUAAAUUACUCAUCAUUUAGGAUUGAGUUCCCUUCAUGCACAGAAUAGACUAGAACUAUUGACUUUCGGUUUUGGUAAUUAGGUCAAUCACUAGUGUUUCCAAAAAAGACCACGGAAAAAAUCUCAAGAAUUAGUGGUAUCCACAAAGCAAGCAACAACUGCAAAAUUUGCAUAAACUAUAAAAAUGAUCUUACUCCCAUAUAAUUUAUAAAUACACUGUCCUGCUCAAAAAAGAUUUAUGAUUUGGCUUAUAUUCUAACAACACAAACUGUAGUGCUCCUGCAUAAAUUGAUGCAUGUUAAAAAAUGAACAAUUGACGAAAUUAUGAACUUUCACCUAUAAGAAAACUAAAGCAUAUCAGCAACAAAGUAACUCAAAAAUACAUGUUAGUACUCAAAUGCCUAGGUUUCUAGACAAAGUGAAACACAUUUGGGCACAGGCUUUGUGAUUACUAUACAGAGUUCAUAAACAGAGAAAACAAGGGAUGACAUUAAGGCACACUUAUCUCAGAGAAAGAGCUUUCCUAUUCAUCAUAAUUGAAAAAAAAAUAGUUUCAUGUAUCAAAAAGGAACAUAUUUAUCAAAAGAAAGAAACUCAAAAAUAGGAGUUAACAUUCCUAAGUUCCUAGUCUAACAUUUUUAGGCACAGUCGUAUCCAAGAAGCACCUUUAGGAACACCUAUUUUUUAUCUGAGAAUUGAUAGCAAAAGAACCCAUGGGCUGUCAAACUCAGGAAUUCAUUUCCUGAGCCCAAAAAACUUAUUCUUUUAAAGAAAUCAAGCAACAAGGUAGGUAAGCUUUUAGUUGUUGGAGAAUUAUGAGACAGAAAAGGAAGACAAAAAUGGAUCUUCCUCCUCCACUUUUCAGACUCAUCUGGAGCUGCCACACCAAGAUAGAGUCAUUCUAGCUCAAUGAGUUUAUAUGUCUGUUUCAUCUUCCAAAGAAGACAAGAAACUUUAAUUCUUCAUUGCCUCCUUGAACAUAAUUUGAGACGUAGGAAGUAGCAACCAAAAAAAAACAUAGGGUGUAACAAAUGGAAGGGUGUUUUUUGUAAUCAUUUGAGUGAUCAUCGGCAUCAAAGAGUAACAGAGAGCGGCAAACCACCCAUUGGAACUCCCUAAAGCUCUCUGCUUUUACACAGCCUCAGACUCAAACUAAUGAGAUAAGGCUCAGAUUCGCCUUUUCUCAGACAAAACCAAAAAGCUUUUAAAAAGACAGCGUCAUGGCUGCAAUCUUCAGUUAGAUUUAUGAGACAGAAAAGAAUACUUUCUCCUCCAUUCUCACCAGACCCAUCUGAACUGCCACGCCAAGAUACAAUUUUUUUCCAGCUCAAUGGAAAUAUAUGUCUGAUUCAUCUUCCAAAGAAGACAAAUUCUUUCAAAUCUUCAUAGCCUGACAGAUUGGGACUGAGGGGUAACAGCAAUUGGGAACAAAGGAAGGUCUAGUGGAAGUUCACCAAAAGGGUGGUUUUUUGCAAUCAUUUUGAGUGAUCAUCGGCAGCAGAGAAUAACAGAGUGGCAAAACCACCCAUUGAAACUCCCUAAUCCUCUGUGCUUUCACCGCCGCCUCAUACUUAAACUAAUGAGAUUUGUGCUAUUUUCAUGUCAAUGCUGCUUCUUAUAUUGUGCCCUAAUCAAUUGGGCCUUACUUGAAAAGCCCAUCUCGUCGGGUCGAAUUCAAUUGACCACAAUUGGAGGAAGAAGAUUAGGGCUUGUAGCCGUUGAUUAUACUCACCAGUCACCAGCAACGGCAACACUGAAUUUUCCGGUGGAAACAUAAAGAAAAAAGAUCAUAUUUGUGCAAAUUUCUGUAUGAAAAAAGAACAGUUCCAAAUUUCCAGAAGAAAGGGUUGUUUGGAAUUGUCACAGAGAGAAGCAAACCACCCUUCAAUGAAAAAUCCUUAAACUCUCUGUAAGCCUGAUUCUCUCCCUUCUGAGCUUUUUUUGCUUUCUUCAAUUAUCAAAAAGAGCUGGUUUUUGAUCGACUCUCCAUUCAAGUAAAGGAGAAUCAAUACUAUAAAAUAUUGGGAAGAAAAAAUAUUUUUAACAAGACAAAGAUUACAUUAUACUGUAUUAUUUUGAUGAAACACAAUAUUAAAUUUAGAAUGCCAUGCACCAACAAUACAAAGAAUAAAAACACAAGAUAACAGGUAAGAGUAAUUACAACAAAAGUAAAGCCUAAAAUGGGAUAUUACAAGUUCAAGCCCAAGAAAGUAUGCUCUUUGAUCCACCACUACUACUGACCGAGCUCAAAGUAGCUGUUACAAGUCAAACACUAUGAACUUGGAAAACAUAAUUAACAAAAAAAAAAAGUGAUCUAUCCACUGUUACUAUCCGCUUUUAGGUCCACGACUAUUAUCGACUCAAUCCCAAAGUAGGAAAAUAACAGACUAAAGCGAGGAGUUCAUUAGCCAUACAUAGUUAAGGAGGAGACAUUCCCCAUGCUGCGGUUCGGAAAGGUCUUCCCAAGCAGGUCACUGGGAGCUAAGACAGGCCAAUGUUUGACUCGUUGUCAAACUCAACGCAGAUAAGGGCAGACAGCAAAAUGGGGCAUCCAUCGGCAGAAGAGAUGUGAAAAAUCAACAAAACUAAAAGUAUAUGAGCAAUAUUUAUGACCAGAAAGAAUAUGUAAAUGAAAAAUAGCAACUCCUUUUGCCAUCUUGCAAAAAGGGAAAAGUAACAAAGAAAGGAAUUGUGAAUUACUGGUACUUAAUACAAGACUCAGAUCAGUUUAUCACAGCUUCCAUGGCUGCAACCUAGAGCAGGUUGCCCUGCGAAGUUGCUGAGUCUUAUCAUCUCAAUGCAAACAAAUAUUGCUAUUUGUCAAAAAAACAUAUCAUCACUGCCUCGAUUUUUCACUUCUUUUUUAUUGGAGCGUGAUUCUCGCUGUUUAUGUGUUAAUGCAGCCACAAAGCAGCACGGUGAGAACCAAUAGCAGUAAAAGAUAAUUAUUUAUGUGCAUCUUCUCAAGCUAGAGUUACAAGAAAGAGCUAGCCGCUGUUACUUACUUCCAGCAAGAUUUCACAUCUUGGCCUUACCAGCAAAACCGAAUCAAAAAAUAAAUUAUUCACAUUUCUCAUCAAUGAUGUCUCAUUUAACGAUUUCCCCAUCAAACAAUGUCCAGAAGAAUUACUGGCAAUUUUGACACUCGCAGCUGGCUACUAAUGAAUGGUCAAAGAGAGAGAGGAGACAACGCCAUAGCUGCAAAAGAACCAGUUGCAUGUGAUCGAGGAGUCUCAAAUCACAUACCAUCAUGGGUUUUUGCCAAGCCAAGAUACAGAUCUACUUGUCUGUAAACCCGAACAACCUUUUUUUAAGCCAAGAUAAGCAAAUAUCAUCUGCUUCGUUGAUUCUGGUAGCAUAGGAUUCGGGGAAUUUGAGAUGCUUUGGACCUGAGCUCAUAAAUCAGAAUGAGGUCCAACUACUGCUGCUGCUGCUGCUGAUGUUAAUGCUCCCUCUGUUUUCUAUAGUGAAGAAAGGAAAAGGACUAGAAGAGGGCUGUUGGUUUUGGUAAUGGAGAAAUGAUGCAAGAGGCUCAGAUUAUGUCUUCGGGCUUUGAGUUCUUUGUGCCCAGCCAUAGCUGCAAAUUUCCAGAAAUUCAGAUUGCCCCGCCACAGCAGCUACAGAACUCUUAUGCCCGACUCAAAGAGCUCAGCAAAACUAUCAUCAUAGCCUCAUUGUUUCCUCUUGCUGGCAUUAUGAACAUGUACUCUGUUUGCAUUGCAUUGAAACAGAGCCAGUGAGGACCGACAACCGAAACAUAUGCACAAUGCAUUAGAUACACAAGAAAUAUGCAUAUGCAUAAACAGUCGUCUAGUUAAAAAUAAAAGCAAAAAUAAGUCAGCAGAAUGUCAGAGAUGGCCAUCCACACGGAGAAGUUCAACACAAAGAGAAAUCACCAGAACGUCUGAGAUGGUCAUCCACACAGAGUAUCAUCUCUCACAGUAUUAUUAUUGUUUAUUUAUUUUCUUGUAUAUUUCGAAGUGCUGUUGGUCUUUUUGGUUAUCAAUGGAGAAAUCAUGGGCAGAGAGAGGGCAACCACCCUUUGCAGAAAAUCCCAAUCUCUCUGAUGCCUCGUUCUUCUUUCAUUCUAGGCUAUGCUUUGCUGAUACCGAACAAACAAGAUUAUACAGCAAGAUGAUUUAUAGCUUUUAGUAGAAAAUCGCAGGUUCAACAUAUCUCAAAAUUGAACCAUGGAAAUAUUCUUUCCCUAUCUUUCUUUUCAAGCAAAUGGGACUCAGAUGUAUGUUAUGACAAAAGCGAAACAUAAGCCAAUCACCGGUUGCAUGCAAGAGACACAAGCAGCAAUCACAAGCCAUACCGGGUCACCACACCAAGAUACAGAUUGGAUAAUCUCAAUGCACAAAUUGGUUAGGUGUUAACUUUUGGAAAACUUCAAGGACCAAAAUUGUUAAGUGCAUAUUUAAGGGACUAUUUUGGACAUACCCUCAAACAUAAAGAGAUUUGUCAUUUUCUCCCUAAUUCUGAAUUCAGAGCCGAAAUUUCAACACACGCAAUAGGUUUUCCAACCAGGGAAUAGACUCACCAUGGAAGAUCAUGAAAUGGGUUAUUCAGGGCUCAGAUUUGUUGUAUUUCUUAACAAAGAAAAGAGAAGAACGCCACAGCCAUGGAUGCAGACACCAGUUUGCUAUUCAAAGCCAUAACCGGGUCGCCCAGCUAAGAUGCAGGUUUUUCUCAAUGCUAUAUUGAACACAGCUUCAUAGCCCAAAAAGGAAAGUAAGCAAUCAUCAUAGCCCCCUUUACAACACCAGCAGCAGCAACAGCAUCACAAGAAGACGAGAGGAAGAACAACAAGAGUACAGAGGUGUGUUUGGAUGACAUUUUUUUCCCUUUUGUUUAUUUAAAAGGGCUGUUAUUUUUUGGUUAUCAAUGGAAAAAUCACUGGCAAAGCAGAGACGGGCAACCACCCUUUUACAGAAAAUCCCAAUUUCUCUGAUGCUUCAUUCUUCAAAGCUGAAAUUUCAUUUGAGGGCUCAGAAUUGCUAUAUCUGAACAAAGCAAAAGAGAGAAGUGAUGCCGCCAUGGAUGCAGACACCAGUUUGCUAUUCAAAGCCAUAACUGGGUCGCCCUGACGUCUACUGAAGCAUCUCUUGCUGCCCUAAACUGGCAACUGGGCUACAAAGAACCAUAUUAUCCUGCCUCAAUUUUCUAGUAUGAUUUUCUCUGUUGGUGUUCACACAGCCAUGUAGCAGCAAGAAAAGAGAACCAUCAGUAGCAGAACUGACUGAAUGAACAACUAAAUAAAUAAAUAAAUAAACAAUUCCCAUUUCUCAUUGAUGCCUCAUUUAUGAGCUGGCUUUCAAAAUAAGUGAAAACGGGUUUUCACCAAACAAUGUCCACAACUACUUGCAAUUUGAGGCUCAGAUCUGGGCUAUUAAUGGGGAAAAGAGAAAGAGACCACGCCAUGGCUGCAAAUAUCACGAAGCAACUGCAGUUCACCAAGCCAAGAUACGGGUCUGAUUGUCUUUAUCCUGAAGCCAGAUGAGCAAAUAUCAUACUGCCACUUUGAGAAAAUGGCUGCAUAAUUUCAAGAAAUUAGGAUACUUCGGAUUAAGCCUUAUUAACCAGAUUGAGGUCCAAGUACUACUACUACUAGCACUGUUAAUGCUUUGCUUAAAACUGGAGGCUCAGAUGUGUAUCUGGGGCAUUGAGUUUUCUGGCACCUGCCAUGGCUGCAACUCACAGAUAUUCAAGUUGCCAUGCCAAGAUACAGGCAACAAAAAUCUAAUGCACGAUUAUGUUUAGCUCAGCAUAGUGCAGACACUAUCAUCACAGCCCAAUUGUUUCCCUUUCCGAGUCCAUUGCUUUGGAACACAACCAGUGAGGACAAAGCUAAGAUGCUUGAAUUAAUAAGCACAAAUCCACAUGUACAAAUGCAGAAAUAUACAUAAACAAGGGUUCUCAGGUUUAGAGCAUAAAAAAAAUCAUUGGCAUGUUAAAGAUGGUCAUCCACAUCGAGAAUCCUUUGUGGUGGUGUAGUUGGUUAUCACGUCAUUCUUAACACAUAAAACUAAAGAAUACCAAUUCCAGAGUAAAUUACCAUUGAAAACUAUCAACGGUCGCAUAAAGAGGGUGUUAUUGAUCUCUCUCCGUCAAAGAAGGUCUCGUGUUCUAUUCCCAGGUUGUAAGGAAGGAAAUUUGGAAAAUGAGGCUCAGUCUCAAUUUUCUAUUGGGGUAAAGAUAAGGCAACCAUGCCAUGGAUGCAAAAUAACCAAUUGGAUUGUGAAAGAGAAGCCUAAAAUCACAGCCCUUGUUGGUGUUUGCCAAGCCAAGAUACAGGUCAGGAUGUCUCUAUGCCCAAAAGGAAAUGAGCACGGAAUUUAAAGUGGCCUCAAAAAAAGACCAUUUUUGUAAAUGCCGAUAAACAAUAAUCAUCACAGCCUCUUUCAGAUGAAGUUCACUCUUCCAUGGAUUUUAAGAAAUUGUAGAAAUUUUUGGACUAAAGAAUUCAAUAAUGCCUAAUGGCGAAGGCGCCAGAAUUUGCUGGGUUUCCUCGAGCUAAGGAAGAAUAAGAGGGUUGUUAGUUUUGUUAGUUAAGAAAUCAUAGGCCAAACAGAGGGGACACUGCCCUCCUAGAAGUCCCUUUUGCCCCAGUUGGCCUCAUCUUCCUUCUGGGCUCAAUCUCCAUUAUUACUUUUGUCGAGGAAAAAGCUUGUAGUUAUGCAACGUACUAAUAUCUAGAUUCUCUUUAGCCCUUCUUGCAGAGAUGUACCAUGCUAUUAUUUGUGGCUAUUUCGCUCGGAUUCAAAAACAUUGAAGGGUGUGUCGGAUACUCCAAAAAUAGUGUAUUUUCGGAGAAUCCAACAUGAGUGCAACGACAUUUUUGGAGAAUCCGAAGCAAUAGUAACAGCAGAAGCACAACGAGACAGAGGAAGAGCAAGAAGAAUAUAGAGGGGGUGUUUGGAAUUUGGAUGAAGUUUUUCAAUUUGCUUUCUUUUUGUUUAUUUGAGAAAGGGUUGUUGGGUUUUUUGGUCCAUUAAUGGAGAAGUCACUGGCACAGCAGAGAUUGGCAACCACCCUUCACAGAAAAUCCCAAUUUCUUCAACGCCUCAUUCUUCAAAGUUGCAAUUUCAAAGCAAACCAAAAAAAUGAUUUUCUACCCGAAUGGGUUAUUGAGGGCUCAGAUUUGCUGUAUUUGGACAAAGCAAAAGAGAAGAGCGACACCACCAUGGCUGCAGACACCAGUUAUCUAUUCAAAGCCCUAACCAGGUUGCCCUGCCAAGAUGCAGGUCGGAUAUUUUCUCAAUUUCCAUGAUUGAACAUAGCUCAGAAAGGAAGCAAUCAAUCAUUAUAGCCCCUUCAAAACAUUAUCAGCACAAAGAGAGGAGAAAGAGGAAGAGUAGUAUAGGGUGUGUUUGGUAUAAAGUUUUUAUUGUUGUUGUUGUUUAAUUCAAAGGGCUGUUGGGUUUUUUUGGUCCAUUUAUGGGGAAAUCACUGGCAACGCAGAGAUGGGCAACCACCCUUUACAGAAAUCCCAUUCUCUGACGCCUCAUUCUUCAGAGUUGAAAUUUCAUUGGAAAUCCGUAAUGGAUUUUCCGACCCGAAUGGGUUGGGGUAAAGGCUGCACAGACACCAUCUUCCCCCACACCACUUCCGGAUAUGUUGUUGUAGUAAUGGGUUAUUGAGGGCUCAGAUUUGCUGUACUUGAACAAGAGAAGAGUGACGCCGCCAUGGCUGCAGACACCAGUUUGCUCUUCAAAGCCUAACCAGGUCGCCAUGCCAAGAUACGGUAGGAUAUUUUCUCAAUUACCAUGAUUGAAUAUAACCCAGAAAAGAAGCAACAAUCAUCAUAGCCCCUUCACAACAUUAGCAGCACAAAGAGAGAAGAAAGAGGAAGAGCAAGAAGAGUAUAAGGUUGUGUUUGGUAUGAAGGUUUUUUGUUUUUUCUUGUUUAUUUCGAAGGGCUGUUGGUUUUUAUGGUCCAUUAACGGAGAAUUCACUGGCAUAGCAGAGAGGGGCAACCACCCUUUCAGAAAGUCCCAAUUUCUCAGAUGCCUCAUUCUUCUUCCUUUCUAGGCUAUGCUCAACUUAGCUUUUGUUUGCCAAGAACAAUAUCAUCACUGCCUCAAUUUCACAUUUUUCUAGUAUGAUUCUUGCUGUUUAGGUGUUCAUGCAGCCAUGCAGAAGCAAAAAAACGUGGGCUUACUACCAACACUGAAUGAAUGAAUAAUAAAUAAAAAGUUUGUGUUUCUCAUGAUGCCUCAUUGAGCUGGCUUUUAAAUAAGUGAAAUGGAUUUGGUUUCCACCAAACAAAUGUCUAGAACUACUUGCAAAUUUGUGGCUCAGAUCUGACCUAUUAAAGGGAGCAGAGAAAGAGAGCACGCCGCAGCUGCAAAAGUACCGGUUGCAUGUGAAAGAGAGGCCUUAAAUCACAUAGCAACUGGGGUUUGCCAAGGCAAGAUACGGGUCUGAUUGUCUUUAUUCCCAAAGCUCAGAUAAGCAAAUAUUAUCACUGCCGCUCCGAGAAAAUGGUUGCACAAUUUUCAAGAUAUUAGGAUAAUUUGAAUUAAGCUCAUAAAUCAGACAGAGGGCCCAAGUACUACUAUUACUAUGUUAAUGCUUUGCUCUCAGCUGGAGGCUCAGACUUGUAUCUGGAGCACUGGAAUUCCUGGAAACCUGCCAUGCCUACAAACAAAUACAGAUAUUCAAGUUGUCAUGCCAAGAUACAGGUUACAAAAAUCUAAUGCCUGUUGUAAUUUAGCUCCCUUUUUGAGAUCAUUGCUUUGGAACAGCCAGUGAAGACAAAUCACGACAACUGAGACAUAGACAUCUAAAUAUAUUUAUAUGCAGAAACAUUACAUAAAAGGUUGCCUGGUUUAGAGUGAAAAGAAAGCACCUGCAUGUCGAAGAUGCUUAUCCACUCUGAGAAUCAUCUGAUCCCCUAAAGCCUCAUUCAUUGAGCAGAAAUAAAGUUGUAGUUGGUUAUCACGUCAGUCUAACACAUAAAACUGAAGAACCCCAAAUCCAGAGAACGACCUUCAAUUGAAGACCCAAUCGAUGGUUGCACUAAAAUGAUGUUGUUAUCUCCUGUGAAAAGAAUUCCAGAGACUUACCACAUCAAGAGAAGGGAAAAUCCAACUUCUCUUUGAAACGAGGCAAAAUGAGUUUCCAUUAAAGAAGGUUGCGUGUUAGAUUACCAGGUCAGCGGGUCAUCAAAAGGAAAUUUAGAAAAUGAGGCUCAGAUCUCAGUUUCUGACGAGGCAAAGAGAAGACGACCAAGCCAUGGCUGCAAUCGAAUCAAUUGCAUGUGAAAGAGAAACCUCCAAUCACAGACCAUUCCGGUGUUUGCCAAGCCAAGAUACGGGCGGGAUGCCUCAAUGCCUGGAUGGAAAUGAGGAAAAAUUUAAAAUAGCGGUCCUAGAAAAUUGUCGUAAAUGGCCCAAUUAACAAGUAUCAGCACUGCCUCUUUCAGGAAAUGGCCUAAAUGACCCAUUUUCUCAAAGUUUGGUCAUUGGUGGCAUAUUUGAGUCUUCUCCUAUUAAAAAAUGAUUUAAUAAAUGAUAUGGCUGAAUACUAAUUGACCACGUGUAAUAAAUGGUUUUGCAAAACCAAAACUUUUUUCAAUUAACAUAGAAUGGCAUGGAUGAGCCUUUUCGUAAACGGAAAUGGCAGAGAUGAGCCAAACUUUUAAUGGAUAGCACAAAUGAGUCUUUUCUCAAAGUUCAAUGACAUAUUUGAUCCUUUUCCCUUUUUUAAAAAAGAGAAAGUUACCACACCAUGAUAAGCCCUAAUAAUAGUUUCCCAAUUGAUAAGACAAAGUGAGGCUCAGAUCAGUGUUAAGCUCGGGCAACAAGAGAGUCCAACAACAUCAUGGCUGCAACAACCACCAGAAAGUCUGGGAGCAUGCCCCGCCAAGAUACAGGCCGGAUGGUCUCAAAUGCCUGAUUAAUCAGCUCAGAAGGAUAUUAAAAAUUGACAAAAUCAUCAUUGCCUCUUUCAAGCCACGGGUUAUCCACAACAACACAGCUUCCAACACCAGCAUUCAAUGCUCCGGCAGAAGCAUUAGAGAAAAGAGAUGGCAUAGCAUGAAAGGGUAUAUAGAAACCAUUUGUAAUGAUAUGUAAACAACCAUCCAAACAAAUUGUUAAUAUUACUCCCUUCAUUAAAAUUGAUAAAAGGGUUGUUGGGGACUUGGCGUUCUUACAGUAAUGGAGAAAUCAUUGCCUGAUGCAGAGAGAGGCAACCACCCUUUCAAUGAAAAAUCCCAAAACUCUCUGUAGCCUCAUUCUUUCCCUUCGAAGCUUUUGCUUUGUUCAUUUAACUAAACCGAUGGAGAAAGUGAGGCUCAAAUCUUUGUCUUCCCUUUAGAAUGUCUCUUUCCUUUUUUGGCAACAUUUGACUUCUAACUUUCCACGUGACGCCUUUAAACCCACAAUAUUAAAAGGCAUCUAGGAACAUUCUACAUAUCUUAAGAUAAAGAUCUCCGGGUUGCCCCCGCUUAGAUACGGAUCCAAUUGCUCUACCGCACUAUUGAUUUGCUCAAAGGAAGAAGACAAUCUUCAUCACGGCUUCAGAAUUUUUUAAACAAUUAUUAUUAUAACUGGGUGUGAGAAUUUGGAGAGAACAAGCAAAGACUUAAGCGUCAUUUGGUCUCUGUUUAACUGCAACAAGAGCUGUUGAGUUUUUCUUUUUUCACAGCAACACUGAAAUCAAAAUCACAGUUAUUGCAGAGAGGAGCGACAGCCCUUUGAAGGGUUCCCCUCUACUCUCUCCAACCCUCAUUAUUCGUCUCUGAGCUAAGCUUUUUUUCCUUUAAAAGAGAAAUUCUCAUGUGUUUUUCGACCUGCGAAUUUCACAGCUGCAAUAACAACAACCCAGCGUUAUCUCACUCCUACCUUGUGGAGUUAACUAGAUUGUUUCCAAUACUGUACAAAUGAAACAUUGAGGCUCAGAUUUGUAAUACUUACAACAUGGCAAGAGAGACUGGAAUCACCGCCAGGGCUGCAAGCACCGGUUGCAAGGUAACCUGCCAUCCAGGUAGCCCGCCAAGAUAUGGGUCCAUUUCUUUCCUGUACUAUUGAUUUGCUCAGAGAAAGAAUAAAAUCAUCAUCAUAGCCUCAUAAUUUUCGCAACAACCAUUACUACUACUACUGAUUAUCCCUUUAAAGUUGAGAAAUUGGAGAGAACAAGCAUAUUGCUGUUUAACUGCAGAAGGGCUAUUAAAGAUUCUUUUUUUCACAACAAAAAUGAAAUCACAGGUAUUGCAGAGAGGAGCAACAGCCCUUUGAACUUUCCCUCUACUCUCCGCAACCCUCAUUUCCGUCUAUGACCUUUAACUUUUCUGGACUAAGCUUUAUUUCCUUUUAUGGGAAAUUUCACAGCUGCAUUUUAAAGAAAAACCAAUAAAGCUCAGAUCUGUAUUACUCACAAUACAGCAAAGAGAGCCUCAAAUCACCGCCAUGGCUGCAACCACCGGUUUCUAGGUCACCUUCUAUCCGGGUUGCCCCGCCAAGAUACGGGUCCGAAUGCUCUCCUGCACUAUCCAUUUGCUCAUCAGAGAAAAAAAAAACAGAGUACAUCAUCAUCACAGCCUCAGUUUUUCGCAACAAUUAUUAUUAUUAUUAUUAUUAUUAUUACUGUAUGAUUCUAGCAAAGGUGUCGUUAGGUCGGUAUUUAGCUGCAAAAAUGCUGCUGAAAUUAUCAUUUUUUCACAGCAAAAAUUGAAAUCACAGGCAUUGCAGAGAGGAAGCAGCACAGCCCUUUGAAGUUUUGUCUUCCACUCUCUGCAAAUCCUCAUUCUCUUUUCUCUGAGCUUUUUGGAUUUCUACUGUAACACCAUCUCCAACCAAAUCCUAUUUUAGUGUUGUGGACUUUCAACCCUUAUUAUGUUUUAUUACAUUUACACUAUUUAGACAUUGUAUCUGAGAUUAUAUUGUAUUAUUAAUUUAAAUAUAAUUAUUUUAUAUUUAUUAAUUAAUUAAAUUCAUCGUUAUAUAAAUAAUAAAAAAUCUAUUUUGCGUAACUAUCAUUUAUAUGAUAGUGUCUUUAUCUUAACAUUUUUUUUUAUUUUGUCUUUUACUUAUUAUUAAAAUAAUUUUAUUUUAUCGUUAUCAUAUAUUUUUAUAGCAAUUUAAUCUUGUACUCUAUAAUAUUUUUUUAAAUUUAUCAUUCAAAUUGUUUUAAAUAAUAAUAAAAAACAAUAUAAUUUAUUUAAAUAUUAUAUAAUAUAUAUUAAAAUAAUAUACUACAUUAUGAUACAAUACCAUGCAACAAAAUAAUAAGUAUUAAAUCAUGAUUCAUCUAUACUAUAUAUUUUUCACUUAUUAUUAUUAUUUGUAUUAUAUAAUAUUUUCAAAAAUAUAAAUAACAAUAUAAUAUUAAAAAGAGAAGAGUAUACUUAGAGACAAUAAAUAUUACUUUACUUUUUAGGGUAAAAUUUAAUGAAGAGAAUAGGAAGAUAAGCAACAUUACACCUUUAUUUGGAUGGUUAUAGUCUGAGAUAUUAUUAGUUUAAAUAUAAUAUUUAUUGAGAUUAUUAAUUUUAUAUUAUAUAACAUAAUAUAAUAUAAUAUAAUAUAUUAUAAAAUAAAUUCUUAUUCUUUUACCUUUUUUUUUGUGUGUUUUUAAAAAAAAUGAAAUAUUUCUUUUUCUUAUCACUUUAAUUUUAAUUUUUACAUGAAAUAUUUAACAUUACAAAGUUAAAAAUCGUUUUAAUAUAUUUGACAUAACUUUAAUUUAAAAUAACAAAAUUAAAUUUAUUUUUUUUUAAUCUUCAUUCCAAGUCAAAAGUCAUCCUUUUUUUUUUUUGAAGGAAGGUGGUAAUAAUCAUCUAAAAACAAAGUGGUCAUGGCUCGUGUGUGAUUGUUUUGAAAUUAGUUAUUUUGAAAUUGUUAUCCUACUUUUCAUAUGAAAUGUAAUAAUUAUUAUAGUUCCAAAGCAAUUUAUUUGCAAUUUGAUUUGAAUCCAACAUUUUGGUUAAGAAUUAACAGGUAAGUGAAGUGUUGAUUUAUUUCAAAGGUUAGACUUGUUGAUAUUUAUGGUUCAUAUUAACUAUAGUAGUUGUUCAGAUUAUAAGCAAAUUUUGGCUCGUGAUUUGCUAAGCCAAGUUAAUCUUCAUCAUCUCAACCCAGUUUUCUGGGAAUCCGAAGAGAUCACGGCCUCAAAUUUUAUGGAUUAAAAAUGAGAAAAUACAAACAAACAAAGACGAGUUUUGAAUGAAAUAUCAAUUUCCAGCAGAAGUUUUGUAUGAAUCCAAAAGUUAUUCAUUAUGAAUUUAGAGGCUCAGAUCUGCAAAAGAAAUCGAGGUAGAAGAGAGCCGACCACGCCAUGGCUGCAAAAUUUGCCAAGCCAAGAUACGGGUCGUAUAAUCUUCAUACCCGACCCGAUUAGCCCAGAAUCCAAAGAAAUCAUUAUCUUCAUCAUCGCCUCUCAUUAUUUGGAUAAAAAAAAACACAGAAGAAACAGAGUUUGUAACCAUAGUUGUUGAAGUUGAAGAAAAGGUUUAAUUUUCCAUGUUCAAUAAUUCAGUCAUUUCCCAGAAACACAUGCAUGUGUCCAAAAGGCUCAGAUCUGCAAAGAGAUCGGAACAAAGAGAGAGACGACCACGCCAUGGCUGCAAAAUUUGCCAAGCCAAGAUACGAGUCGCAUAAUCUCCAAGCCCGAUCCGGUUAGCCCAUCAUCAUCAUCAUCACAGCCUCAAUAGAUCAAACACCAACAAAGAGUGAGUAAUUAAUUAACAAAAAAGAGAAUGGCAUAGAUGUAGAAUUGGAAAGUUGAGGAAUAUAUGUAUGUUUGUUGUAUGUAUGUAUGUAUGGCAUGCAUGUUCCAAUAAUUCCCAGGAAAUUAACAUGAAUUCAAGGGUUGUUGCUUCAUCUCUAAAAGAAUCAUUCAUAGGCUAAACAAGAGAGGGGCAACCACCCUUGUUAAUAAAAUCCAAAAACUCUCUGUUUUGCCUCUUUUUUCUUUUCUGGGCUAACCUUUUCUUUGCUUCUUUUCCACCUUUAACUUUUGCCUUUUUUAUAACCCACUCUUGAAUAAAUUUAUCAUUUUUCUGUAUGUCUAAUGGAUAAUACUUUAUUUGAAAAUGUAAAAGCACAAACAACUUGUCAUUCUUAUCCAUUUCUCCUUGAAACAGAAUUUACGAAAAUAAAAAAAAUUUAAUAUCGUAAUUUCAAAUUAAAUUAUAUUAAAUAUAACAAAAUAUUCAUUAAUCUUAUAAUUUUGAACAUGCUACGUAAAAAUUAAAACUAAAAUAAGCAUCAUUUUUUUUAAAUGGAUAAAGUAUUUAAUUUAUAGCAUUAUUUAAAGUACUGAUGAAAAAUCUCUCACUUUGUAUAACAGUUAAUUUGAUAUAAUCAUUUUAUUAUUUUCUUCUCAAUUUAUCUCACUUAUUAUUUGGUAAAUUCUGUUUUCAUAGAAGCUCUAUGUCAUCACCUAUUUUCUUCAUUCGUUAUUGAUAUGUGAAAUUAUAUAACAAUAAAUAAUAUAAUUAUCUGGUUAUUGUAUUCAUUAUGUUAUACUUGCUUCGUUUAUUUUUAGUUGUUAUUUAUUUUUAAAAUAAAUUUUCAUUUUUAUUUAUUACUUUUGAUAUUUCAAGAAAAGGGAACAACUUUUUUUUGUGUUUUAAUCUCAACAUUAGAAAUAUAUUUUAUAAAAUUAUUUUUCAAAACAUUAUUAAAUCAAAAAUUAAAACUAAAGGAGAGAGCACUUAUUUCCAACAAUUUAUUGUGGUCUUGAGUGAACUCUUUAGAGGAUUACACCAAAAACUUCUUGAUUUUAUCAAAAAUUUGGUUCAAAUUUCAAGUAAAUGUCUGACUCAAUGGGGAAACCCAUUAAUAUUCUUGUUACUUUUUAGGUAAAGGGUAACUUUCGAGGUAGCAUUUCACUAUAAUUCGAUAUUUUCUUGAUCCAUUGUUUUGAUUUUUUAUUCCGUAUUCUCCGUUGUUUACUAUACUAUCGAUAUUUAUUCAUUUUAUAAAUAUCACCUUUUAAUCUCUCAUUUUACACUAUGCUUAGGUCAAUCAAUUCAUUAUCACUCAUUGAUAUUACUCAUAUUUGGUAAACAAUUCAUAGGAAGUGGACAUUUGAUUCAGUAAGUAGAAAGUGAAAUGCUCAACCAGUAAUGAGAUUUGCAUAUCCAUUUCUGAUGAAAGGAAAUGUAAAAUCAGUAGUAAAAAAUUUAGCUUUGAAAUUUAUAGAAAAUUGUAAAAUCAUUCAAAAUCAACAAGUCAAAAUUAUUCAUUUAAUUAGUUAAACAAUUUUGUUCUGAUGGUAAAUUUAUAAACCCAUCUUAGAGAUUAGAUUCCUAUUUUUAUUUAUACUAUUCUCAAACUUUGAAUUAUUUUCCAUCAUUAAAGAGUGAAUUAACCUGAAUCUGAAUGAUGUUAUUAGAGGCUCAGAUCUGCAAAAUCACUGUAUUAGUCCAGAACUCAAACAAAUCAUCAUCACUGCCUCUAUUGUUUAUGGAUCAAAGAUGAAACAAACACAGGUAUAAUUGGUACAUUUUUCCAAUUUCAACGAUGAAUCAAAAAGUUUGUAUAAUUAGAGGCUCAGAUGUGCAAAGAGAUCGAGGCAAAGAGAGAGGCGACCACGCCAUGGCUGCAAAAUCAGUGUGAUUUGCCAAGCCAAGAUACGGAUCAUAUAAUCUCAAUGCCUGAUGCGGUUAGCCCAGAAUCAUCAUCACUAUCAUCACUGCCUCAAUUGUUUGGAUCAAAGCUGAGAAAAUAAAACCAACAUAGAGAGAGUACAAAAACAGAAAGCCAGCCAGAAUAAUAAUUGCUAUAUAUAUAUAUAUAGUAGUAGUAGUACGUAUGUAUGUAUGUUUUCCUGGUUACAAUGAUUCAAUUAAUUUCCAGGAAAUUAAUAAGAAUCCAAGGGUUGUUGCUUCAUCUAUCUGGAAAAAAUCAUUGGUUAAACAAGAGAGGGGCAACCACCCUUGUAAUGAAAAUCCCAAAACUCUCUGUUUAGCCUUUCUGGGCUAACCUCUUCUUUGCCACUAUUUUCACUUGGCAGUUUUCUUGUGGUUUAUAUAACCCAAAAACUGUUCUAUGGAAGAAUCUAGAGGCAAUUUUUCAGACAUUUGGACCAAAUUUCAAGUAAAUGACUGACACCAUGUGGGACAUGUGUCCGUCAUUAAUAUUUUUCUCCCUCGUUGCUCAUUUUCCCAAAAGAGGUAAAUAAUUUCUUUAAUUUAACACUAGCACAAAGAGCAAAAAAUAAUCAAACCAAAACGGCAAUAUUUGAAUGGAAAAAAAAUGUUAGGUGUUGAUCACAAACUCGAUGACCAAGCACUUACGUGUUGAUUUCAUUGAAUCCUUCACCUGGACUCCAGUGUCUACAUCUUGUACAACUGCUUCCAAGGGACGAUCUCCCAGCCAAGGCAGCAACAAAGAGCAAAAAAUUUAGAAGAUAUGCACAAAGUUCAUUAAAACCAUGAGACAAAAAAAAAAAGUUUUAGACAGUACCAUUCAGCCAUGAUUCUUCCAACUUCAAGCUAAGUACUGCAAUGGAUGAGGAAGGCAACCACCAUCACAAAAAUCCCACAUUUCACUCAAAUGCCUCAUUCUUGAGCUAUUACGGAUAAAAGAUUGGCAACACAUUACGAGGGAACAGCAAUAUAACUUGUAUGCAAAAAGGUUCCAUAUACAAGCAAAAAAAAAAUAUACUUUCUUUAGCAAAAGGAGGCUCAGAUACAUGUAUGAUAAGGCAAAAGAGAAGUCAACCACGCCAUGGCUGCAAAACAUUGGUUGCGUGUGUGAGAAGAAAACUCUUAUCACAGGUAGCAUAAUGCCAGGUAGACACUUUUAGCGAUCACACCCAUACUGGAUUGCCACGCCAAGAUACGGAUUGGAUCGUCUCCAUGCCCAACUGGAUAGACCAGAGUUAAAAAAAGUUAUCAUCACUGCCUUUUUAUGAGUUUCCAAAGCCAUAAAGGACACAGACUGAAGAAACAAGGAAACUGAAGUAGUAUAGUUUUGUGUUUGGUUUUUGAGUAUGUAUAUCACAACAACAGGACCCAAAGAAACCAAGAAACUGAAGUGGAAUAUAUUUUCUCUUUUUUCUUUUCUUAAGGGCUGUUGGUUUGUUGAGAAGGGUAGAAUCAUAGGCAAAGUAGAGAGGGGCAACCACCCUUGAAAGAAAUCCCAUACUCUCUGCUGCCUCAUACUCGUCAUUCCUGCUAAAAGAAGGAAGUUCGUUUAGAUUAGAGCUUCUAACUGACGAGACGUCACAAGUCUGCAUUUAAGAGAAUUUAACUGCAAUAAUGUCCAAAUGCCUACUUAUGUUCUUCAACAAAUUGUGGCUCAGAUGUAUGUAAUGAUAUGGCAAAAGAGAAGCCAGUCUCGCCAUGGCUGCAAAACACCGACUGCAUGAGAGAAAGAGAGAAGUUCUCAACAGGCCAAACCGGGUUGCCACGCCAAGAUACGGGUCGGUUCAUCUCAAUGUUCCAUGAUCAGCCCAGAACUAGAAGAUACAUAAGCAUCAUCAUUAGCCCCUUUCUGUAGCAGAAUGCAUCGUAAUGGAACACUUUCCAGUUUUACACUAACAAUAAGAGAAAACGGGAAGAAAUAUGCAAAGAGCUAAGAGAAGAGAGACUGAAGAUCUGAAGGCGGCCUAAUUGUUGUGGUAAACUUGAAAAUUGGGGAAAUUUCAUCCAGAAAACCAGAGACUGAAGUACUAUGUUGCUCUUUUUUUCUCUUAAAGGCUGUUGGUUUGUUGAGAAGGGGAGAAUCAUAGGCAAAGCAGACAGGGGCAACCACCCUUGAAAGAAAUCCCAUACUCUCUCUGCAGCCUCAUUCUCUCUAUUUCUGGGCAAACCUAAUAGAUGGAAUUUGCUUGUAUGAGAGCUUAAAACGAGAAGACCUCAAUAUCUCCCACUUUGAUCAUGGAAAAGAUAUUGCCCCUUAUGCAUAGUAAAGGGGCAAAUUUGAUCAUUUUCCCUUUUUUUCUUUAGCAAAUUGAGGCUCAGAUUUGUGUAAUGACGAGGAAAAAGAGAAGCCAGCCAUGCCAUGGCUGCAACGCACGAUUGCAUGUGUGAGUUAUGCGUCUCAAUUACAGGCCAUACCGUGUUGUCAUGCCAAGGUACGGGUUGGGUACUCUCCAUGCCCGAAAUCUUGCUAGCCCAGAAAUCAUCACUGCCUCUUUAAUAGUUUUCAUAGUCAUUUUAUAGUUGUAGUAUAGUUGUGUAUACAUAUGUCUUAAGGGUGGUGCAAACUGCAAAUAAACCCAGAAACUCAAUUGUACUCUCUCUGUCUCUUUCUUUUGAAGGGCUGUUGGUUUGUUUUGAGAAAUGGAGAAUCAUAAGCAAAGCAUAGAGAGAAGGCCAACCACCCUUGAUAGAAAUCCCAUACUCUCUGCUGCCUCAUUCUUGCCUUUUAUAGGCUGACCUAACAAAAGGGAAUUCACAAGACUUCAAGCAUCUUUCGGCUAAUUCUUUCUCCUGAGGCUCAGAUUUGUUAUAAAACCAGAGAAAAGGAGACAAAGCAAUCGCCAUGGCUGGAGACCUCAGUUGUUAAGUGGAAUACCUUUACUGGGUAGCCCCGCCAAGAUACGUGCAGCUCCAAUGCCCAACCCAACUCUAUACAACUUCAUUUGUUAUUAUCACAGCCUCAUCCUAUAAUUAAAAGCUAGCAAGGGUACAUAGACCAUACCCCGAUCCUUUGUGGGGGACUAGAGAAGUUGUUUCCAACAGAGCUCAGCUCAAGAAAAUUACAGUCCAGAACCUAAAUGAUGGAAGAAAGAAAACAACAGAAACUAGUGUGUAAUUCAUCUCUCUCUUUCUCUAUUUUAAGGGCUGUUGGUUUGUUCAAAAAUGUAAGAAUCAUAGGCAAAGCAGAGAGAAGGGCAACCACCCUCUAAUAGAAAUCCCAUUACUGUCUCUGCUGCCUCAUUAGGGGCUAACCAAUCAAAAAGGGGCUCACAAGUAAUUACUUGCAAAAACGAAACAGGUCUUUUCCUUGAGGCUCAGAUCUGUGAGAUAAAAUCAAGCAAAAAGGAGACAAAAGCAACCACCAUGGCUGCAGAUCUCACUUUGCAAAACAAUGGAAAUGCCUUACCGGAUCGCCCAGCCAAGAUAUGUGCAAGCUCCAACAGGCCCGACCCAACACUAGACAACUUCAUUUGUCAUCAUCACAGCCUCAUAGGAAGGAGGAGACAGUAUACUUUAUAGCCCAACAGCACAUAAUAUAAGCCAGAAACCCAAAAACGCUCGAAAUACAUGUGAUUAGACCUUUUUCAACUAUGGUGGUUUUGGUGAAAUUUUGAAAAGGAAAUCAUCAGCGGAAGAACAGAGAGAGGACAACCACCAUUAAAGACUCCCCAAUGCCUCUCCGUUGCCUCGUUUGUUCGUCUAGAGUUGCAGAACACACUUACAUUAGGUCAUUUUUUGCCCAACUGCCUAAACAGUCUUUUAGCUUAAGAGGAAAAAAAUGUUUGAUUCUUCUUGCACAAACAACAAUCUUCAUUGACUCUAAAAAGUGGAACAGAGGGAGUAAUAAAUCAAUCAAUUAAGGGUGGUUUUGCAAUUGGAAACACUUCUAUUUGAAAGAUCAUUGGCAGCAGAGAAUGACAGAGAGGGGCAAAACCACCCAUGGAAACUCCCGACAGCUCUGUUUUAACCGCAACCUCAGAUUUAUACAAAGAUGAGUUCCCCAAAAAUGAGGCUCAGGUCUGUUACAUUCAGGGCAAAAAGAGAUCCAACGAUGCCAUGGCUGCAAAAAUCACCACAAAAUCUGGGGUUAUGCCCAGCCAAGAUAUGAGCCGGAUAAUCUCAAAUGUUCGAUUAAUAAGCUCAUAAGGAAAUGAAAGGUUGCUAAAAUCAUCAUUGCCUGUGUAAAUCCAUCAAUUAUACUAGCAUAACUUGUAUUUAAACCGAACGAAUCAAUAACAACUAGCUUGGAUGGUUAUUUCCCUAUUGUUACUUUAGAUAACGGGACCACAUAUUAUAGGUCUUCCAAAAAUAAAUUAUAUCGAUAUCAGUCAUUUUUUCCACUGGGCAGCAGAAAAUAUUAUUUGAGAAAGCAUAUUAAUUUAUAGAGUACCAAUUUAGAGAGGUUUUUACUGUAGUUUAUAUUCUCGGAGUCUUCCAAAUAGAGAGCAUCUUAGUAGUAAGUAUUUUAACUUCUCCUGAAAAGGGUAUGAAUUCAAUCUCCCACAUUUAUCAUGGAAUAUAUAUUGCCCCUUAUGCAUGGUGAAGUGGUAAAUUUGACCCUUUUCCCUAUUUUCUCAAGCAAAUUGAGACUCAGAUUUGUGUUCUGAUAAGGCAGAAGAGAAGUCAACCACGCCAUGGCUGCAACACACGAUUGCAUGAGCGAGUUAUGGGUCUCAAUUACAGGCCAUAUCGGGUUGCCACACCAAGAUACGCGGUGGGUAAUUUCCAUGCCCGAAAUUUAGAUAGCCCAGAAAUCAUCACUGUCUCUCUAAUAGUUUUCAUAGUCAUGCGGUUCUUUUAGUAUAGUUGUGGCAUUGCCUUGUGAAAGAAACCAUGAAACUCAAGUGUAUCACUGUCUCUUUCUUUUUUUAAGGGAAGUUGGUUUGUUUUGAGAAAUGGAGAAUCAUAGGCAAAGCAUAGAGAGAAGGGCAACCACCCUUGAUAAAAAUCCCAUACUCUCUAUUGCCUCAUUCUUGAUCUUGCCUUUUUUAGGCUAACCUAACAAAAGGUAAUUCACAAGACUUCAAGGUCUUUCAGCCUUUCUCCUGAGGCUCAGAUUCAUUAUAAAACUAGGCAAAAGGAGACAAACCAACCGCCAUGGCUGCAAAACAGAAUGCCUUUCUGGCUACCACACCAAGAUACGUGCAGCUCCAAUGCUCAACCCAACUCUGUACAACUUCAUUUGUUAUCAUCACAGCCUCAUCCUAUAAUUAAAAGCUAGCAAUGGUACCCUGGUCCUUUUUGGGGACUAGAGAAGUUUCCAAUAGACUCAGCUCAAUAAAAUCACCACGCAGAACCUAAAUGACUGGAAUAAAAAACAACAGAAACUAGUGUGAUCCAUCUUUUUCUCUUUUUCUAUUUUAAGGGCUGUUGGUUUGUUUAGAAAAUGGAAGAAUCAUAAGCAAAACAGAGAGAAGGGCAACACCCUUGAUUAGAAAUCCCGUAACUCUCUCUGCUGCCUCAUUCUGAGCUAAUCUAACAAAAAAGGGUUCACAAAUAAUUACUGAAAUGAUUUUUUCUUUUGAGACUCAGAUCUAUAAGAUAAAAUCAAGCACAAAGAGACAAAGCAAUCGCCAUGGCUGCAGACCUCAGUUUGCAAAACAAUGAAAAUGCCUUACCGGGUCGCCCCGCCAAGAUACGUGCAGCUGCAAUACCUGACCAAAAUCCAUUUGUCAUCAUUACAGCAUCAACAAGUGAAGAAGCAGAAGCAGUUUCCAAAAGGGUCUUUUUCUAUAGGUUCGGAUCUGCAACACAAGAUCGAGGGAAAAAGGAGACAAAGCAACCACCAUGGCUGCAGACCUCAGUUAGCAAAACAAUGGCUCCAAUAUGCCUGACCCAACUCUAGAAAACUUCAUUUGUCAUCAUUACAGCCUGAACAAGGAGUAGUAGUAUAGUGCGCCUAAAUUCAGUUAAUAUGGAGUAUAAUUUUAGCUAAACACCACACAAUUUAAGCCAAUCCAAACAAACCAUCAGCUGAAGAACAGCGAGAGGGCAACCACCAUUAAUAACUCCCCAAUGCCUCUCUCGUCGUCCAGAGUUUCAUUAACACAAACUUUGAUUUAGUACAUGUAGUAUCUUCCUGUUACAUUUCUACUUAGUCACAUUUCUAUUUUAAAAGUAUACCUAAUAAGUUUGAUAAUGCAUAUUUUCACUCUUAGAAUUCAUAGUUAGCAAAUAGAUAUAGCAAUUGUUCGGAGCUCAUUAAUAAUCAUCAGGUGUUGUAACUGAGAGCGUGUUUGUCUUUCUUUUGUUCAUAGUUUGAUAUUCUGAACAGUAAACAGAUAUCUUUUAUAAUGAGGUAGGAAGAAGGGGUGGAGUGUAGUAUGGUCAAGUGGCGGAAAUAUUGGAAGGAGACGAUCAACUUGAAAUAUUUUUUAUAAAACUUGUUUUCCCUACUUCCGUUAGAGAAUUGACUUGCUUCCAUUUUCUUUGAUAAAAUUAGCCUUGGUCACUACCUACAAGCUAUCUGUGUUCUUUGAUAAGAGAGCGAGUUGAGCUGAGGUUUUUACGGAUGAAGAACACCUGAAUCAGUAAGCUAGAGAGUAACAACUUGAAGAUUACUACACUAAGAACAGCUUGGUUCUAUUCAUCGGUUAAAUAACUUAGCAUGACAGCCUAGACACGACUAUUUACCGGUGAGCAAGGAACGAAUGCCACCAUUUCCAUGAUAACAUAAAACUAUUAACAUUCAUAUAUUGCUAAAAACUGCCCAUCACAAUGCUGCCUAAUUCAUAUUCUCCAGUGUUCUACUCUCGACGAAUUAUUCUCAGUUGAGUAAUCAACUAGGCUCAGAUAUGUCACGAAAUCGGGAAAAUGAAAGGGAUACCGCCAUAGCUGCAAACCAGAAUAGCAUACAACAACAAUCUAGUUGGAUAAGCUAAAUGAAUUCCUAAUAUCUCUUCCACUCAAUCACGUCCCAAUAGUCGUUGCACCAUUUAAAACACAGUUUAGUUAUCCUUACCAAGAUUUGGGUUUGAGCUGAGCAAAACCCGAUUAACUCAAUAAGCUCUAUAUCAUCACAGCCUACAGAUAAGCAGAAACAUAAGUAAUGAUGCUUACUUGCUGCAAACAGAGCUAGUAUUGACUGAGGAAAAAGGUACUGCAAAGCAAAUUGGACUUCAUUAAGGCUCAGAUAAGUAUAAUCGAGGCGAAGGAGACAAUGCACCCCCCAUGGCUGCAGACCUCAGUUGCACUACACAUAGGCCUACCGGGUUGCCAGGCCAAGAUACAGGUCCAGCUCCCUUGCCCCAUUAACUCCAAACACCUUAAUCUUAAUCAUCACAGCCUCUCAUCCGUAACAAAGUGGUAGGGUUGGAGAAGGUGAAAAUGACGACGACGAUGAAUGACGAUGAGUAAAACGAAGAACCAAAAGAGUCAGAUCUUAAACCUGAACCCUUCUUCCUGUAUAUUGUAUAUAUAUAGAGAGAGAGAGAGAUGAACAAUUAAUGUGUGUAUAUACACAUACUGCAGAAACUUCCGAGUUUAAGGCUCAGAUCUGUAUAAUCAGAGCAAAGGAGACAAUGCAUCCGCCAUGGCUGCAGACCUCGGUUUCACUGCCAAAAUGUCUACCGGGUUGCCCCGCCAAGAUACGGACCCUGCUCCUUUGACCCUAUGAACUCUAGACACCUUAAUCAUCAUAGCCUAUCUUCCCUUCCAUUACAACAACAAAAAUAAUAAUAAUAAUAAUAAUAACAACAACAACUUCAACCAUCGCGAAAACCCUUUUCAAGGAUUCACAGAUGAUGAUGAUGAUGAUGAGGAAAAAGAAGAAGAAGAAGAAACGGUAAAAGGGUCAAAUCUUAAACCCUAAACCUUCCUUCAAGUAUGAGAAUAUAUAUAUAUAUAUAGAUACAUAGAUGUACAUGUGUGUACACAUACACACUGCAAAAACUUGCGAUUUUUCAUCGGAAGUUUCAAUACAGCAGCAAAACCAAAGGACCCUUAAACAUAAAUGAUGGUUUGUUUGAAGUUUGCUUCGCGAAAAUGGAAAAAUCACCGGCAAACAGAGAGAGGGCAACCACCAUUAAAACUCCCCAAAUACCUCUCUGUUAGCCUCACUUUUUUUCUGUCUAGAGUUCAUAGAAAUGAGAUUAUGCAGAAAGACACCACUUUAUAGUACUCUAUACGCUCCUCAUUUUACGUUUCUAUCCUUGCAUGUACUCAUUAUUUGCAAUCUCAAAAUUUCAAAUAACUAUCGGUUCGAUUUUGAAGUUUAUCUAUUCUAUUUGUUAAAAUAAUUACUUAUAUCAAGUUAUUGAUUCGGCAACCACUUUAACCGCUAAAUUGAAACGCAAGGAACGUCUUCUGAAAAAAAAACUUUCAAUAGAGCUCGAACCGUUUUAAUUGCUAAGAUUUGACCAAAAAAAUCGUUAAAAAUCACAUGGAAAACAAGGUGAUAAAUCAAAUAAAUUAUACAUGUGAAUUGAUGAGUUUCAUCACAUUCAAAAGCAAACACCGAUACAUUGUAGAAUAAUCGAAAAUUUGAGAGAGUCAAAAUUACAAGUGUUAAAUUGAACUCUUAGUCAAAAACUUCAUAUAACGAAUGAUAUAAAUAGAAUUUAUUAAGUAAUUUGCUAUUAAGGUUAUAAACAAACACGUCGAGUAAAAACCUCAAAUUAUUAAAAAUCGAUAACUUGAUUAUUAAAAAAAUAAAAUCAUUACUGAAAUUGCUAACCAAUAAUCUAUCUAUUGCCAAUAAAUCAAUAGCUUGUUUUUUUUAUUCGAUACAACCCUCAUAGUUAAAUUCGCUUAAUCGAACAUCACAAAAAAAAAAUUAUCGAUAAUUAAGACUCCAAAUAUGUAUAUAGCUCUAUAAUAUGUCCUUUUGGAUAAAUUCAAUCGUCUCACUAUUGUAUUUUCUUUUCAAAUCUGUGUUGAUAUGCUUUAUCAAAAACAACCUCUCUAAUUUCACGAAAUGAAAAUCACUUGCAUAAUGUCGUUAUUGUUGCAUCCUGCUCUAUUCAAUGAUCAUUUCUAUCAUAAUCAGUUUCAUCAAACUUCUUUCGAAGUUCACUUUCUGCAAGGUAACACUUGCAGCAAGUUUCCUCUCCAAACCUCAUGUUCACUUUCAGCAAGGUAGACACCACCCUUCCAGACAACAUUUAUGCAAUGCUUGAUUGCUGAUCGACGACGAUUUAUCGACGAUGUCAACCACAGGAAAUUAUUAUCAAAAAAAAAACAACGAAAAAGCUACAAGAGAAUAGAGAACAUCUGCGUGGUAAAGAGAUCUUCUCCUCUGUUGUAAUUUCUGUAAUUCAGACAUUUUUCUCUAGCACAACAUACAAAAAUCGCGUUCUGACUUUGUGCUCCAGCAAAACAUAUAAAUUUUCCAAGAGACAAAGCAGUUUACCGCGAUAUGUACUACACGGUCCCUGUUUCCUAGUUCCAGAUUCUCCUGAAAUUUGCUUCUCGUCCAUGUUCCCUUCAUCUUUGAGUUUUGAUUCCUGAAGUUCAUAGUCCAAAAAAAGUGACAGCAAACACACAAGACUCCUUGCAGGGAUUGGCCUUCAAGGAAGAAGAACAUGGAGGGCAUAGCUAUCAGCCAUAGUCGCUAACUAUGGUUCUCGAAUACAGUGUUUACUACUACUACUCAUACACUAUAAUGCAAUGUCAUUUAAUACCCAAAAAUGCAAUUCUGGCACCCCAACAAUGGGCCACUAUGAUGUUAGGCUUACUGGUAUAUACAUGUAUUACAGAAAUAAGAAAACCAAAUAGAUAAUCUGAACAUGGUUACAGAUACCCAAAUCUACUAUGGGAGGUCUACACAAACCUCAGAUCCAGAAUAGACAACAGCAGUACAGGCUUCCUUAAGUUGACAAGCACAUUGGUAAAACAUUAGCCAAGGAGGGCAUAUACUCCAUGAGUAGGAAAUAAGCCAUCAAACAAAGAUGUUCCUUGAAUUCCUCAUUUAACUGCUUGUCCAUCUCCUCCUGCGUGCUGGACGCUCUGGCUUCACCUCUGAAUCUGGAGGGGUUUCGCUUUGAACUGAGGAUAAUGGAUCACCUUCCACCUUUUUACUUACUGGAGCUUCUUUCUCACUUGGCAUUGGAAGCUUGAAGCGCUCACUACGCUUCUUCAACUUCUCAACUGUCUCCAAAUGUUUAUCCUCCACAGGCUUUGUUUCUAGGCUAUUAAUCUCAGGGGCACCUCCAUUUUUAUAGUUAGCUGCAGGUUGUUGAUUUUCUUCGACCAUCUUUAAAGCUUCAUCUUGAUUUUUGUUAGCUAAUGAAGUACCGGUGCCCUUGUGUACAUUGCUGUCUUUCAUGUUCAAGGAAGAUGAUUUAGCAUUGAUACCAAAGUCUCUUUCCUUGUGGCUUGUCCAUCGUUCCAGCUUGGAACGUCCCCUCCUGGAAUCCUCCUGCUCAUCGUCUGAUGAAGCUGCUUCCUGAUGUUUCUUGGAGGAUUGGCGAUUCCUGUGGAUCUUGUUGUCAUUGGUUCCUUGCACAAAUUUUCCCUUUGAGCUCACCUGAAGGUAAGCCAGGAAGGAAACAUGUAACUUAUAGUACGUUAAAUUAGAAAAUCAAAGAAUAGGUUUCUAGACCCCACACCAUACUUUGAUAGAUCCAGAUUCCUCUUUUUGGACAACAUUGCUUCGCUAAAUGCACCAUGGUCUAAACUAGGAAAUUCAGGUAAUGUGGAUCACAUAUGAUUGUGCUGGAUAUUUUUGCAAAUUAAAUCUUGUGUGCUUCUCAAGUUUCUUUUGCCAACUUAGUGUUUGAUAGUUGUGCUUCGAAAGCAUAAAAUCUUUUAGACAACAAUCUAAACUUAGUUUUUCAGAACAAUACUUCCAACUAAUCCAUCAUGAUGUUUUGGAAUCCAAAUGCACCUUCUGCAUCUAGAAAUUAGUUUUUAAUUGUCCCACAGCAUUAGUUCAUGAUUAAGUGCACCUACAAUCUAGUCAACAGACAUUUCUGUAAUAACCAAGAAUGUUUGAGAGUACAAGCUUACAAAUAUCAAAGAAUCCAAGUCAAUUUUGAAAUAAGUUCCAAUUUGAGCUCACAACAAGCUGCAAGUAGUUACAACUUACAACUAAGUACCAAAAUGACCCGCAUAACUAUUUCUCAUCUGCAAAUUACCCAUAGCAUAAUAGAGUGCAUCAGAAAUUUUGAAUCCUGUCAGAAAAGAACCUAAGGAGUAAAGGAACAAAAGAGUGUCUCUGAAGAAAUUGACAAUUCCCUUCGUACAAAAUUAAUGAUAACAUUUUCUUAAAAAACUUAUGAAGCUCUGAUGUUCUUGUCUAUAUAAAUCAUGAGAAGCUCUAUAAGUAGUAUGUAAAGACUUCCCUAUCACAUCAACGGGAUUAUUUACUUGGUUUAGAUCCAUUUGUUCUCCUAAUAUUUUUAACACAUAAGCUAAGCCAGAUGCCACCGUUAUAUAUAACUUUUGUUAAUGAUGUGGUGUCCAUGCCAUCUCAUCGUACCUCCACUAUUCAUGUGUAUAUUAGCUACUUCCCAGCCAUACAGCCAUAUAGGUAACAGGCAAUAGGUAACACUGACCAUAGUUGUAUUUAAAAGUAAAAAAACUCAACUAGUACUCUUAGAAAGAAAUAUAAAAGCUUCUUAAUAUACUUGUUGAGUACCAACACCAUGGGUAAUCAGAGUACCAGACCUCUUGUAAUAGCUAGAACUUCCAUUAAAUAGUUCAUCAUGUAGUUUCUUGUCGUCUUCACCUUUAAAAACUUUUCAUGAACAUUAGAAGAAAACAACUUGUUAGAGCUUACAAGGGGUUGCUUAACAGGCGAGAGUGAAAGUAAACACCUUGAGAACCAAGGUUAAAGUCAUAGCAAAGGCUUCAGAGAUUUCUGUCUAUCUGCCUAAGUAUCUUUGUUGGUGUGAAAGUGGGUCCAGACACCACCAUUAUUGCCAUAACCCCACCCCCAAAAAUAAACUCAGAAAAAGAAAAGGAGAAACCGAUUAACAUCACAUCACAUCUUUUUGUCUCUCUCCACCUAAUAUCUAUCCCGUGGAGUCAGAUUUUGUGUAGGUCUAAUUUUUUGGGGAAAUUAGAUCUUGGAAAAAAAUUGAGAACAAUUAUGGGAAAAGGUGUGCUUAGAUACAUUUUGAAAGAUUAUUUUUGGGUUUCUGCCCAAUGUUUUGGUACUGACUUUUACAGAACUAGCUAAUUUUGAAAGAUAAUUUCCUUUUCGAGAACUUUUGAAUUAGAAUGAAUGAAGUUGAGUAGAAUAGAAGAAUAAAGAGCAUUCAUUUUUUCAAAACCAUGAUAUCUGGGCAAGCUUGCGUGCACCUAGAUUAAUUCCUCCGAAUACAUGUCACCUCCCCCACCUUACACUGUACGAGAUAACUCUGUCCACCAACGCUCGGACAAAUGGAAAGAAAUCACCCAGUGAUUUUAGCAGACUCAGAUGGGAUUUAAACCUGAAAAUUCAUGGUUCUCAACCUAUUUCAUCGACUUUAAGGCACUCCCUUGGGUAAAAUAUCACCACCUAGCUAAUUUGGAUUGAGGUGUUACUUAUCAUGCAUUAUUUUUUUGUUAAAACCUACCCUUUUGACUGUAUUUCUGAAUGCCUUUUAUUUUGAUUUAGGAGAGUCUACUUCAGGAAAAGACCAAACAAAGUUGUGUUACUAUUUGAAAGUUUUUUCAAUCCCAACUUUAACUGUGCAUCUGUUACUAUGUGAGUAAAAUUUGCUAUCCCCGUCUUCACAGAAAAAGAGUCGUAAGUCAUCAUCAUUAAUGCAAUGUGACAACAAAAACUUGAAGACUAUUGAUAUAAAAUAGAAGUAGGUACUUACCAACUCAUUUUUCUGUCCAUUCAGUUCAUCUUCGUUCAUGUUCAAAGCCAUCUGGGAGUUGUGAUCACUCUCAAAUUCUUUACCCUUCUUCAAAUAAUCUUUAUGUCUUUUCUCAUUAACCCUGGAGUUAUCUGAAGCAAUAGGAGCACGAUCUUCACGUGAGUUCACCCUGUCAUGCCUUGCUCUUCUUUCAUCCUCACGUGUCCUCAGCCUCGAUGGACUUUCAUUUUCAACACGAUCCCUCCUUCUAAUAUGGUCAGCAUGCCUCACAUCUUUCGAGUGCUGAUCAGAGUUUCUAUACUCAUCUUUCCCUCUAGAUUGAGCAGCCCAAGCUUUUUCUUCCGGAACACGUCCAGCCCGCAUCCCGCCCCUUAUUUCUUCUCUCUCCCUUUUUGGUAGUGUCUCUUCAUGUGACUGUUUGAGCCUAUACCACUCCUCACGUUCUCGCUGUCUAUCAUUCCUCUCCCUCUGAAACACUCCAUCUUCUUUGUGCCUGAUAUAGAGCUGCUCAUCUUCUCGUAGUCUCAUCAGCUCAUCUCUCUUUCGGUGAUCUGAGGCAUCAUCUCUCUCUCGCUUUCUGCGAACCAUAGUUUCUCCAUGGGAAUGGAAUGUUUCUUCCUUGUCAAUGUGUUCCCUACUUAAUUUCACCUCUUCUUUCCUUCUUUUAUUGUGGCGAUCAUCCAAGGUAUCGUACCUCUUCAACUCAUCCCUCUCUCUAUGCCUUGCUCCCAUAUCCUUAUCAUAAUCAGGCCUUAAAGUAACGUUCUCCAGCUGUUUUCUGUAUAAAUGGCGUUCUUCUCUAUCACUUCCCUCAAAUUCUCGAGCCUUGCUGCGGUGUCUAAUUCCAAUUUCAUCAAUAAGCUCCCUCUUUCGUGGUUCUUCCAUUUUUGCUCUCCUUCCCUGUAGAUCGUCAUCCCUUCUUUGCCAUAAUCCCUCUGAAUAUUCGCGUUCCCUUCGCCGGUCAACGUAAUGGGCUGAACUAGAGUCGGCGCCUUUACGGGGAUAAGAAUCUUCCCUCCCUUUCACUACCCCAGAGUGCUUUUCUGCUUCUUUCUCAUAGCGGGCUUUCUUUCGAACUCUAUCCUCAUCUCUGGCAACUGUUUUUUUGGCAUUAUCUACGCGCAAAGAGCGUCUACCUUGAACAACUUCCUCAUCCAUAUCAUCCCGUAACUUGCGAUAACCUCGACUACUUCCAGAUUGGACUUUGCUAUUCUCACUACUUCUUCCAGCCUUGGAGUCUUCUCCAUCAUCAGUUUCUUGAGGAGAAGACUGUUCAUGUCGUGAACUUAACUUCUGCUUUUUUGCAGAAUGUAGAAAUUCAUCAUUCAUGGCUUCACUAUCAGUUCUUGCAUCCAAAGUCAUUUCCUCCCCGUCAACUUCACUGUUUGUGUCUGCUCCAACAACUUGAUCAGGAAUAUCAUCUCUAUCUUCCAUAUCUUGCUCCUGAGCAGGUCUAUCAGCAGUGGGAGAAGAAGGGACAGGAGUGUGUGUACGAUCAACACUUUCAAAUGAUUCUUCCUUCUGACUAUCAACUUGGAGUCUAUCUCUGCUAUUGCUGGAAGUAAUGUCAGGUGAUCUAUCGUGUGCACUUACCGUUUUUCCCCUGGAAUAAAAGAAGGGGAGACAGCCAAAAUUAGGUAAACACAAGACAAUAGACUCCAAGAAAAGAAGCAGGUAACAACAGCACUGUUUUAACAAUAGCAAGAGUAAAAGGGAAGAUAGCAUAUGUGUGACUAAACUUAACUCCAUUGAGACAUCCAAAUAAGAUAGAAAGCUUUUCAAAGAACUGAAUAAGAAUGGUGAUAUGAGCCAGAGAUCCCCAGAUUUUCAAAGUUCCUCCACCUUUAACACUUAAGCAAAGUCUUGACAGCUACUUUAAGUACAAUCAUCGUGUAGAAAUGCUAAGCCUUAAAGCCUAUAUAUACUCGUUCACAUUGUUGUGGUCAUAAUAGUUCUGUACAAAUUCCUCUCAUUUCGUCAUGUAUCUUCCUAUAGCACCACCCUCAUAUCAAGUCUCCAUUUUAGUGAUCUAAUUUAUGACAUGAUUGGAUAGACUUUAUUUUAAGUGCUUCCGAUUUUUAAGCUCUUUCUCUAUUUUUUGUGGUGUCUAGAAAAGACAAAAAGUGUUUUUAAGCACUUGUUUUUUAAUCAAAAAGCACAAAAAUAAUCGUUACCUUCUAAAGAAAAAAAAAAGGACAAAAAUAAGUUAAAAGUUGGGUAUCACCAACUUAGUAGAAUUUAGGAGCUUUGUAAAGCUAGAGUCUACUUGUUUUGAAACAUGUUUCUGAUGGUGGCCAGCACUCCCAAUGCUGAAGAAUACAACAGUACUAAUUCAAAAAAAAAAAAAAAAGUGGGGUAUGACCAACUUAUGGUUUUUAGCUUAUAUUUUGUAAAAGACCCAAUCAAAACAAACUCUUAAUCUGUUUUAUCUUUUAUAAAUCAUGUCAUUCUCCUCGGUAGAUAUUGACUUUCUCAUAAAGCACCACAACCACUAAUUUCUUAGAAUCUCCGAACAACUAGAAAGUGCAACAUGCUUAGGGUUUGUUUUGGUAGGGGAACCCCCCAAAAAAACAUUCUAGUCACUAUAGAUAUAGACGAAGCGUUUUAUGCAACAUGGCGAGAGGUCUAGGCCUCGAAACACGUGGCACAAGUCCACUCCAAAUAUCCCAUCAAUUUUCGAGGGCAUAAAUCUCAUAUAUUUUCAAUUUUGUAAUUGUACUACUCAGAAAAAUAAUCAGAAGUACAAUUUUCAAUAAUUUUGCAAAUAAAUUCAAAUAAAUCACCAAUAAUAUAGAAAAAAAUAUUAUAAUUAUUAUUCGAGGAAGGUUACUACACAUAAAAUGAUAAUAAUGGAGAUAAUCUCUAAAAUGAAAUCAUCAUCUACUGCAUCAUCAAUCUCUACAUUUACUAGUCUUCCCCACCUUCAACUAAUAUUUGCAUUGAUUUUUUCUUUAUAUAUUUCAAAUAAGGAGAAAGAUAACAUGUGUAAGAGCAAUUGGAAAAAUGAAUAAAGUUGUCUCACAAACAUCUUAUCAUGGAAUCUUUAUCCUAUCAAUUUCAGGCAUAAUCAUCUAAAAGUAUUAUUUAUGACAGUGAAAGUUGCUUUCUUUAUUUAUAUAUAUUACAAAAAUCACUAUAACAUGAAAACAUGAUAGCAUAAGUAUAAAUAUAAAUAUAAUUACAGAUUACACUAUAGUAAAAAAUAUGAUGUAUAGCAAAAUUACUUUUAAAAUAACAAAAAUUAAAUUUACCCCCAAGGCAAACACUUUUACUGCCAGAGGUUAUGCCUCAAAUUGGACCCUCGACCCUUCACAAAUCACAACUAUAAUACCGAAAUUGGUGCCACAACCAUGUUGCAAUUUUAAGUUGAACCAAAGCCACCAAUGGCUGAAACGGGUGAGUAUUCUCGGAAAAUCAGGAAGAUGGGCAAUAGACACAACUACAUUAAAAUAUCUGCUGCUUAGUUUCAAUGAUGAGGAUAGUUUAAAGGGUUAUUUGACACUCCCAUUCCUUUCAUUGUAGACUGUGGAAUAUUGCAAACACCAAAAAAUAAGUGAAACCUUAAUGCUGCUUCUAUCUAAGUAACAAACUAAAACAGGAAAAAGGAUUAAGUUUCACGUGGUCUGAAAGGUAAAACCAUAACGCAACAUAUAUAGUACCUUUCCUCUUGUUUAGAAACACAAUUCUUGUUGUCAUAUGCAGAAGUCUGUCCUCCAGAAUCAGAAACAAACUGAUCAGGAGCCUCCGGGGAGAAAGGAACCACUCCAUCUCCUUUGGUUAAAUGAUCACCUAUAGGGUUUAUAAACUGUGUUCUCCUAGCAUUGGCCUCUCGCCUGUGGCUCUUAUAAGGAUUCUGAAAACCAUCAGAUUCUUGAACAUGUUCCUGCAGGGGUCCUCUUCUUGCAUCACCUCUAAAAUCCUCUGUUGAAGGAAUAUUGUCCAAUUGCCCUUCAUUCUUGUCAUUCCCUGUGUAUUGGUCAUCAUCCUGGCACACAAUCUGUUCACCCAAGAAAAUGUCAACAAAGAUAAAUAAAACAAAACUAGAAAAUAAGAAGCAGCAGUCUUCUUAGGACAUGCAAAAAUUAGGGAAACAAUAAUGCCGAGUGAUCUCAGCAUGAAUUAUGCUUCUUUUCUAUUUUAAAUGACACCUCCUUUUCGAAUUUGGAAAAAGACAGGGUCAGAUCACUCACUUCAAUAAUUGCAUCCGAGUCACGCUGUCGUGGUGGUCGGUUAUCAAUUGAUGGUAGGCGAUCACCAGAACCAGUUUCAACUUGUAUCGGUCUUCCAGUGGGCUAGUAGAACAUCACAUGAGUGAGUAAAUAGUACGAAAACUAAUAUCCGAAACUUUGUUAUCAUUACUUAUAUUAUAAAUAAAGAUGAAAUAGUAAGCAUACUUCACCCACUCGUCAAGUUAGAAUGUUAGGCCCACAAAAUACCAAUAAAGUUCCUAAACGUAAGGCUUGAGUUCAAAAUACAUACUAGUGGUGGUCUCAUGCGCAUUGAUCCUCUUCCUAGGUCAUUUGUAGUUCCAUCAAUUUUACCAUUCAAAUUUUCCGAUGGAAUGUCUUUCAUACCAGCUGCUGCUGCAAGUUCUGGGGGCAUUUCUGGAUCAUAUUCCUAAAAAAUGAAUACCAAAUAAGAAUAAGAACAAUUUGAAGUAUGAUAAGCAUAUUAGACAUGCACGUCUUGCUGAAGAUAGUAUCUUCAUUUGCAUAAGCAUUCUAUUACCUGCUCUGUCCUCACAGUUUCAUACACCCGAAUUCUUCCUUGCAUAGUUGACUCAAGUCGAAGUUGUUCCUGGAACAAAGAUUGAUAAUCAUAUUUCAAGAUUUUCACUCAACGGAACCAAUGCGUUCACACAUACUAAACAUGCAUUUUGUGGCUGCACUCCAAACAGUCCUCAUUCCUAGCUCUCUUCGUGCAUGCACAAUGUCGUACAGGGAUUGAUAGGCUAGCCCUUGUGCCAUGGGACACAACCAACUGAUUAUGGAGUAUGGCUGGAAAGCAUCCAUGACAACCAGAACAAAGAAAGGAGAAGGACGAUGCUAAAAGGAAGAGGGGGAGGGGGGGGGGGGGGUGAGAGCCCAGUUGUACAUUUUUUAUGUAAAGCAUCCUAAUAAAAUCAUAAUCCCUCCAUUGAUUAGGCAAAGGGUAAGAAUAGAAAAGAGACUUUUGAAAUGUGUCUAAUGUACCAAAAUGCUUUUUGAAAUCUUGUGGUCUUAAACAAGUGAUGUGGAAUAUUGGAAUUAGAGAGUUCCCAUACAUAGAAAGAAGCAUUUUUUUACACAAACUAAAAAGGGAAGUAAUUUACUUGAAUUGAAACGGAGAGACUUUUGAAAUGUGUCUAAUGUACCAAAAUGCUUUUUGAAAUCUUGUGGUCUUAAACAAGUGAUGUGGAAUGUUGGAAUCAAAGAGUUCCCACACAUAGGAAGAAGCAUUGUUUUACACAAACUAAAAAGGGAAGUAAGCUACUUGAAUUGAAACGGAGCGAAUAUUUUACAAUUAGCUUAGCAUACAAAUAUAAUCUGUAGGGAGAACAUGAAAUAUCAAAAUACUUCCAACAAGGUUUAAAACUACCAAUCAUUUUAAGGAUUUUUUGAUGCAUGGAUUCACAAAGAAGCUGAAUACAAGAACAUGAAAUAUAGUUAACCAACCAGCUGCUUGCAAUAAUCUUUCCAGCCAUCCUCAUUCAAACCGAAGUUAAAAAAAUCUGUUAUAUCAAUGCCUGGAAGUCUCCAAGGUUUCUCUUCAAAACCGUCAAUGUCAACUUCAAAUAUAGUCCUGACAGUGUACAUGGGUAAAUAAGCAUUUUGAGUGUCUUUGAACCUUUCCAGUAGAUAUAUGAUUUGCCCCAAAAAACAUAACAAAUGAAAAGUAGUCAUCUGAUACUGUGCACAAUAAUACUUCCACCACACUCCAACAUAUUCAUGCCAUCAGUUAUUCUACACAGCCGAAAUUACAAGGAAAUACCACAUAAAUAGCAUGAAUUUUAACCUCAUAGAUCUAGCACAAGCUUAUGUGUUAAUUACCCUCCUUAAGAGUUUCACAACAUGAGGACAAGUUCUUCAAUAGGUCUUAAGAGAGAUAUAAAAACAAGUUAAUUGGGAAAUUUGACGGGAAGCAAACACUCCUUAUAGCAGCUACAGAUAGCGACAUAAUAUAAGAGGCAGGAAGAGUUGUUGAAUAUUGACAGUCUUUUUUUUAACAAGUAAAUAUUUUCAUUAAUCACAAGGCCAAAAGAAGGUUCAUAUUCAAGACGUAUACCAAACAGUAAAGGACUUGCACAAAGAUAUUGUUCUCUAUAAAAGACACUCAAUCCUCUAUAAAACCUGGAACUACACGGGUGCACCAAAAUAAAUAAGGGAUUGGAGAGAUGGAGACUAUUCCUCAACUGCCAAAAACUCAAUUCUGUGAACAUACAGCACAAUCAUAUAACUCUAAAAUUCCAAAGAAAUUUGGACAUAGGAACUGAAGUGCCCAUGCUUGAGACAAGAACAGAGGAUUUGCACAUAAUGACAAUAACCAAACUAAAUUACAGACUCAACACACGAUGUUUAUUAAAAAGAAAUUACGGCAAAGUAGUGUAACUAGAAAAGAGGUGGUACACUUAAUUCAUUCAUAACAGUAAAUACCGAACCUCACCAAACAGAAAGAAUAGCAAAUUUGAGUAUGUUAUAAAUCAGGGAAACAUACUUGUGUGAAGGAAGAGUGAAUUCCAGCCCAAUCCCAAGGCCACGUCCAGACGCACCACCUCCCCAGCCAGACAUACCAUAGCCACCUUUCAUUCCUGGUGGUCUCCAAUCACCUCUACCACGUCCAGCUACAGGGCCUACAUUGACAGGGGGGCGGACUUGACCAGGUAUCCCUCCAGGACCCGACGGGGGAACUCCAGGCAUAGGAGCUGCACCAGGCCUCACAUACUACAUGAUACAAGAAAAACAGAGAAGAGAUUCAUGUCAGCUGUCCAAAUAAUGCAACAGGGACAACUAUCAGGACAGAAUGGCAAAAAGAAAAAGAAUCCAGAACAGAAAUAUACAGAAAAUCUUUUUUAAAACAGUAAAAGUAAAAAAUAAAUAGUAAAUCUUCCAAUUAUCUGACAAGAAACAGACAACAAAAUUGGGCAUAUAAGCUAGCAGUUCUGAAGGAGUUUAAUCAAGUAAGCAAGCUAAGAGUAAACAUGCGGCGGCCAAAGAACAGUUCAAUGUGUUAAGUAUGUCCCCAGAUAAGCACGUAAGACAUUGCUUUCACAGAUUCAGCAAGCAAAGUGAGAAAUAUGGACUAAAACCUUCACUUUAUAUUAUGAUGUCUGAAAAUAGGACUUGCGUACGUUACUUAAUCGUGAUAAAUUUCAUGCAACUGAAAUAAAACAGUUUUCAGUGUUACAAAUUCCUAUAUAUCUGUUCUUUUCUUCAUAUUUGACCAAAUACUAAUUGAAUGUUGUACUUCAUCACUCAGCAUUAGAAAACGGAUCUUUCUUUCAGUAUAUAUCAUUAUCAGUUUAAGCAACCAGAUUGACUUGAAUAGGCUUCAUUCGUUAAUGAUCUACUUGCAUAGGUCCAGUCCGUCCGGAAAAUGAGGGUGCUGAUUAGAGACAAAAACAUAGUUAAACUGAAAAGAGAUCAAAAGUCAGGAAUGGUCCACCAACAAACUAAUGUCCAAAAGUUUUUCUGAGAUUUUCCAUUUACAUUCUCAGGAGCUACUAACAUAGCAGCAGAUACAACUUGCAGAUGGUGAUAAAUAGUCCAAAAACAGUGUUUAUCUAUUUAAAAAGGUGCUAACAACUGCCGGACACCCAAUUGUUAAAAAACUAGCUUUUAUCUAUUUAAAAAAUGUGCUAACAACAGCCAGUUAAAUUGAAGUGCUUUUAGAUGAGUAACGUUAGACGAUUAACUGUGCCAACAGCAUGCAAUGUAUCACAUGGCGAUAAAAGUGUGAACCAACAUGCAAUCACAUAGGAUUAUGAAUAGUUUAGAGUUCAUCACAUGUGUCCCACAUUUUUCGCAUAAAAGGAGAUUUUCAAUUGUACGUUUGGAUAUCCCUAAGAGAAUUCAAUUUGUGGAUGAGUACUGUUAGCCUUUGCAGAUGCCUUGUAUUUGGAACAUUUCAAACAUCCUCUACCUAUAAAUUAAAGUAUGGCUAUGCUAUAGACUGACUAAACAGGAAUUAUUUCCAGCAAAAUUAUGAAAUAAAUUUUAUUAAUAAUAUUAUCAUCAGUACAAUUCUUUAUACAGCUUGUGCAUACAAUGAGAGCCAUCGGCCUUAACAUCACCAAUGACCACAAAACCAUAAGAAAAUUACAAGUCAGCUUACAUUGCAUGUUCUGAUCAAACAAUAUGGGAAGAACACAAACCCCCAGAGGUACAACAUCACUGACCUUAUACUGGGAAUGAUACGGAUGAUUGUAUGCAUGAUUGGGGUACCCAACCUUUCCUGCUACUCCAGGUGCUCCAUUCACUUUUAGUGCAUCUAAUAUCUCCUUUCUCUCUCCAUUAGCGGCAGGACCCCCCUCUUCACCCCAAUCUUGCUCCUCCAUCAUUGGUGGAUGGCUUGGGCCAUCAUUAUCAGCAACAAUAACCAAAGGAUCUUCAUCUUCAUCGUCCUCUUCACCAAUACCCAUUCUCUCCAUGCCCAUUGGUCCAUGAGUGUUGUCAUUUAACACAAUCUGCAAAUCAUCCUCACUAUCACUAUCCCAAUCAUCCUCAAAAGUACCUUCUCCAGUAUUCCCCGCCCCACCUGAAACACCCGGAAUCGCCAGCCCAGGAAUCAACUGCUCGGCACCAGAAGCUUCAAUCACGAAAUUCCCUGCAUUUCCAGUCCCAUCCUUCAGAUUCUCAUGGUCUUCACCUACGUUUUGAUGAUUCCCCACCAAAAUAUCAUCUUUAUCAUCCGUCUCUUCCACUACAAUAUCAAUAUUAGCUUCAUCCAUAAAAUUCAAAUCUUGAAACUCCGUUUUAGCUAAUUUCACAUCCUCACUCUCAACCAAAACCCUAGCUGUCGAAUCCGAUUCAUUAAUUCCACCCAAACCCUCCAUUCUUCCAGCUCCAAGUUUUAAAUACAGAUUGGAUUCGGGUAACCUCGACCCGGAUUUAACAUCUAGCGGAGAAGCUAGGGUUUUUUCCUGACCAGUAAUAGCACUCGGCCCAGCAAAAUUCGGUUUCGAAUUCGAAUUCGGAGCUCCGUAUAAAAUCUCCUCAUCAUCGCUGUUGAUGUUCAGAUCGAUCGGCCGGCUCGUAGCCCCGGCGGCUUUGGGCGCAGCUUCUUCUUGCGCUACCGGCUGCUGCUGAGACUGAAACGACGCCGUUAAGGGGCGGAGUACAUCGGUGUAGAGAUCUCCGAAUUCAUCGUCGUCCUCCAUUAUCGAUUAGAGAGAGAACUGCGAGUACUUCCGGAGAAAGACGCAAUAAAGAGAGGGUUUUGAGGGCUUCUUAGAAGGGUACAAAUUUGUGCUCUUCAAAUCUGGUUUUGAGGGUCUAUUAAGAAGAAAAAAAAAGUUACAAAUUUUGAGCUUUGUAAAAUUGUAAAAGUAAUUACUAGUUAGGUAGUUAAAGUAACAAAAAAUGAUUUUUGAGAAUAUAAUUUAUAUAUUUGAUUUAUAAUUAUUCGUAUUCGAUAUGGAUUAGAAUGAAUAGAAAAUGAGGUUGUUACGUGUCACGUGUUAUGUUGUGUUGUAAUUUACAGUAGGAUCUUUAUUGAUUAUGUGAUAACAUAUAAGAAGACUUUGGAGCUCAGCGAUAGAAUACUAUUUUUAUUUUAUGUUCAAUACUUGCAUUUAAACUAAAAUCAAUUUAUAUUUGUAUAUAUUUAAAGUUCGACUAAUUAAAUAAAACACAAUUAAAAAAGACGCUUCAAACAAUUCUUUUCAUGGGUUGAAUUUCAACACGAAACUCCUAACUAAGAAUAGAGAAAUUUCAUUCAACCUAUUAUAAUUCUUAUUAUUGGUUACAUUAUUUUUAACCAAAUUAAACUUUUACUCUUUAUUGUUUAAUUUUUACAUUAUCUUAAAGUAAUAUUAGUGUAAUAUGAAAAUUACAGAAUUAAACAAAUAUAUGAGAUAUAUAUAUAUAUAUAUACUCGACUCUCUUCUCUCUACCAUCUCUCCCUCAGCUCUCUCCUCUCCCUCCCCUCUCUGUGCCUCUUUUCUCUAAAUACUAAUACAAAUGUGAACAAUCAAUUACACAAUUACAAAUGAUAACAAUCAACUAAAUCGAUACAAAUGAUGUGUGUCAACUAUGCACAUACACUUUAGUGAUACAAAAUAUAAAUAUACAUGUAUCCAUUGGUACAACAUUGAUACAAAUGAUAACAAUGUUGAACUUGUUACAACCUUAAUACAAUUAUAUUAUAUGAUACAAUUUAUUUAUUGAUACAAAUCUUUUAAAAAAAAACAAUUGUAUUCAUUGAAUAAUAUAUACAAACUAAUUACGUAUAUGCAAUAAAUCAGCAAUUAUACAAAUACAAUUACUUAUACAUAUAUAAUGUUUGCCAUUUUUGUUUGCUACACUCCUUAGCAAGCCCAACAAACUGUAAUAAAAAAUAUUUAUCAUUUAUAGCAAUAAUAUUUUUUUUCACUUGACCACUUUUUAUUCAUUUAUAAUACAAGUUUAAUACAUAUUACACAACUAAAUUUAUUAUUCAAAUAUAAUACAAGUUUAAAUGAUGGAUAGUUUAUCACACAUUUAAUGCACAUAUAAUACAAUGUGACAAUUUUUUACCAAAAAAACAUAAUAUAUUUUAAAAAUAAUUAUAAUUCACUUUUAAUACAUAUUACAGAUUUAUCACAAUAUUGCUAUAAAUAGUAAUAAACAAAAAAUAUCGCUAAAAUUAGUAAUUAUUUUUAAAUAUGUAUUUUUCUAUAUUUAAGAUGACUUGAUAAAAUUGAAAACAAAUGGAAAAGAGAAAUUAAUAAAUGAGGCACAUUAAAUGACAUAGUAUAUAAAAAGAACGUUUACAUACCAAACCAAUACAAUUAGAUUAUAUAUGUGAAACCAAAGUACAUAACAUUCAUAAAUAUUACAAGUCAAUACUAGCUAUCAUCCUUAGCUUCACGUACAUUCAAGAUUCAAAUUUGCAUGUUCCAUAACCUAGAAAACACACACAAACACACAUAACAUCAUUAGAAAGAUUAUCAUACUAUAAAUUUCAUAAAAAGAUCAUAUAAUUUCAUGUUUUAAAAAACCUUACUUGGAUCGGAGAAGGCGACUACACCAGUACCAGCAAAGUCACAAUUGAAGUUGUUUCGACCUUCCUUUUGAUAGUACGAGUUCAUGGCAAAGGCUGCGUGAGAUCGGAUAGUGUUGGGUUUAAAGCAGGAACCACCCACUUGAAUUGGUGUGCAGUCAACUCCCUGACUGCACACAUAGUUAAUGUUGGAUUGUAGUUGUGCAUCAGUUGCCUCAACCUUUGGCAUGCAGAAUUUUUUGUUCUCUGCUGGUGUUUUUGGUUGACCUUUAUUGCCUCCGCCACCGGUUUUUGGUGGGGGCAAUGAAGGUGUUGGGUGAGCCUGUAAGUAUCAAAAUUAUAAAACUUAUCGACUAGAGGUGACAAAUGAAUGAGUUAAACAAAGUCAAAUCGAUUAAUCGGUCAUAAGUAGUGACACACUCUAGUAAGAGGCAAGGUGGUGCAUCUCUUAUAAGAAAGGUGAAAAAUAUUAGAUAGUAAAGAGAUCAAUAGUAGCUUCAAUUAGCGUAUAGCGAAUGAAAAAAGUGUUCAUUCUAGAUCUCUUCCUCAAGAAAACUGUUAAUCAAUUUAUUCCUACGGUCAAACUCUCCGCCGCUUAAGUUACAAGUUCAAAUUUCAAUAAUAAUGAAUAUUUUUAUAUGAAUUUCUAGCUCGAUCGCUAAUGCUAACAUAAUUAUCACAUGAAGUUUACUUGAACUAAAAUGAAUCAAAUAAUGGAUAAUAACCAAACCCAUCAUAUAUUCUCUAUGCAACCUAGCGAUUAAAGGGUUACGAAAAUUCCUAAGGUCGUGUCAUGUGUUUAAGCCAUAACCAUUAACAACUCAUUAUGAAAAUUCUAAAUCCGUCACUUACGAAUACCGACUUCUAUUUUUAAAUUAGUGGAACCAUAAAGGAGAAAGCAAUACAUUAAAAAGAAGAGAGAAUAAAGUAAAAAAACAAAAAUCAAAGAAGACAAGAUUCAAAUUUAAAGAUAUGCUUAUGAAAUCUUUUUUUUUUAAAAAAAAGAAAAAAGAUGAUGCUUAUGAAAUCUAUUUCUUUUUUCAUUUGUAAAUACUACAUCACAUGUUUCAUUAAGUAGCCGUUGGACAUGUUAAACUUUUUUUUUGGUUCACUGAAAAAAUGACAAUUAUUUAAUGCAAGAGAAUCCAAUGAAGAAAUUAUUUUUAUUAAUCUAUUACGUAAUAACAUGUGGUGGCCACUACAACAGGUGUCAACUUUUUUCUUUUCGACCAUGCCACGUUUAUUAAUUAGAUGAUAAUAAUUUUAAAGUGUGUACGUUUAAUACUAUCGUCAAAUUAAAACACUUGAAUCAAAAUUAAAAAAAUUAUUGGAUUCGAGUACCAAAACGACUCCACAUGGAAAACAUAUUCCCAUGUAUCUAGGUUCUAGAGUGGAAAAAAAUGCAAUACAACUAGCUGUACUCAACUGGAAAAAAAAGAUUCUUCAAACCAAAAGACAAAAUGAAAUUAUUUACAAAAAGCUUGUUGUAAUUAUAGCAGUACCAUUAUAAUCAUAAUUACAUUAGCAAAAUGACUUAAAUACCCCUCAUGGAUUCAAUUAAAUAAAGUUGAUCUACUAGUUAAUUAGAUUUCCAUUUAAUUACUUAUGCUUAUAACAAAACAAUACUAUUAUAGUACUCAAUUAAUUUAGAUGUGUUUAAGCCACUUUGUUUUGUUAUCUCUAUUCCAUUUUACGUGACAUUUUUAUUUUAUAAAAAUCAAAUAAUUUAACUUUGAUUGAACAAUUGCGUAUAAAAUUUUCAAUUUUUUUAAAAUGAUAGAUUUGUUUUAAAUCUCAAAAUGUAAAAGUGCGUAGGAAGUAUUAAUUUUUCGAAAUUACCUGGUUGCUUUUCAAAACUCCGACAUCAUAAACCGGAGUGAAAUCGGGUCGGAACAACCCGAAGUUCCUCUCAGCGAUGGAUCCGGGUUUGGUGUUCUCAUUGAACAAUGAAAAAAUGUAGGUCUCGAUCUUCCUGUGCGGCAUCAAUGGCGUACCGAUCCCGGAAUUAUAUUUCUUCAUCAAUCCACCAUUAUACGAAGCUGCAUUUUCCACAGUACAUUGCGGUUCAUACGCUUCUCCUUGCGAAGGCCACCCUGUCUCAGCAGCAACAAUCUCCACAUCUGAAUGCUUCAAUCUCACCAUCGACAUAUACACCGCAUCCAACAACAUAUCAAAAGAAUUCGUAUACCAUUUCUUCGAAAAUCUAUCGUAAACCCCUUUAUUCUUUCUAAAUAGAAGAAAAUCCUCUUGUUUCUUGUUGUAUCCGAAGUAGGGAUAGGGAUUUACCAUGAAAGGACCUUUUGUUUCACGAAGAAAUUGUAGCAUCGGAGCUAGAAUACCCACAUCCCAACCGGGUCGAAACCGGGCUGCACUGGGUGGGUUAGAACGGAGUAGAAUACCCAACGAAUGAGCUGAAGAGACUUUUAUACCCUUCAACCCAGAUAAACCCAAAGCUUGGUAAAAAACUUUCAUAGCUGGAACAAGCUUGUUCUGUACCUCAGGUGUAUCCCAGUGAAGAACCUCAUUACCCACUAGAAUAACAUCCAUCUUUGUCUGUGGGUAAUGAGGUUUGAUAUUCUGCUCGACGUAUCGUCGAGCAUAGGCGAGAUCCAGUAGAUUCGGGAUCUCGCCGUUUGGUACUGUGACUGUUAGCGAGAUUCCUGUGUUUGCAAAAGCACGGAGGAUGUCAGGGUUGAUAUCGAAAAUCUUUACACGGUCUAUGACCGUUUUAUCCUUGAUGAACUGAGCCACUUGAGCUGGCGGAGGGAGGUUGUUUCCGAGAGUCCCGUAAUUAACACCUAUAGAAGUUACAUCAUGAAGAAAAAGAGCAAUAGCAAUGAGAAAUAGCACAAAAGAAGUUUUGCUUAUCAUGGUUGAUAUGGUUGAUGCAGAGAUAGAUGAUUUAUUUAUAUAUAUGAAGAAGAAUAGUCCAAUUUGAAAUUUGGACUAUUUUGACCAAAAGGAAAGAGAAUAGAGACCUCUAGAUUUCUUUUGUGAAUAAGAGGGCUAUUUAGUAUUUUUGAUACAUAUGUUAAAAGGAAGGAAUAGAAUAUAGUAUAAUAUAAAAACGUGUCGUGGCAACAAAGGUCGAAAAGGAUACCAUAAUUAUUAUUACAAGACUAUGUUGAUAACGCGUAUGUUGCGCAAUAUCAUUGAAAAUGAAUAUGUCCGAAAUGUGAAAAUGGGUAUCUAGGUUAAAUUUGAACAUUUAAUGGUAGUUUGCUAAAAUACAUAUUUCAAAAUUUCUUAGGCAAAAGUUACGCUUAAAUAGUGAAAGUUAUCAUGAUUCAUAUGAAUAAUCUUACACUCCUUUUAUGCACGGAUGAUACAACGAUCAUAUUGGUAAUAGUCUCACAAGUGGAAUGUAGAGGAAAUAAUGUAUAUAUAACUCAAUUCCUAUCUUGUGAAAUAGAAAUGGAAAAGAAUCAAAUAUAUAUUAUUGGUUAAAUAUACCCUUUCUUAUUAUAAUUUCAAUUCAAAUAUAGCUCUCUCAUGAGCUUAACCUAGAAGACAAACACAUUACUUUUGCUGGCAAGGAAUUUCGAACUUAAAAACUCCAACAUAAAAGUCUCAAAGCCAAAUCACUGAGUCAAAAAGGUAGGAGUAUAUUUAGAUCAAAAGUAUAACGGAGGUAUGUUUAACCAUAUAGACCUUCAACUCAAAGUAAUCUCAUGCACUGAUAAUAUUUAAAAACAAUUAUACAAGUCAAAACCAUCAGAUAUACAAAAUCAAUGUAGAGGCAUAGUGUCAUAGACUUACUUUGUAGUAUUAGUUGAAUGAUAAGGGAGAGGAUGAUGUUAAAUGAAACCUGCAAUCAUUUCAACAUAAUUUACAAACACAUUUCAAGAGAACUCACCUAUUUAACAUAACGUCUAUCCAAAACAGCCUCCCUACUCCUCAUCCUCUCCAGCCCUCCCUUAAGAAACUAUACUGGGUUUGUUAUUGUUGUUGACGCAAUCAUCAACAGUUAAUGAUGAUUAUACGUCCAGUUAGUCGAGUAAUUUGGUAGGAGCAAAUCAUAUCAUGGAUGGGUAAACACAAUCUUUAGUACAGGCAAAUCGAGCAGUACUGGAACGAACCAAAAUCUGAGGCACAACAACAUAGCCACAUACAAGAAAACAAUGAAACCACCAGAAAGCAAUACAAACAGAAACCAAUAAGAAACUCUCAUAUACAACGACAUAAACCUUGUUGAGAAUAAGUCAAAGGAAUUAUCAAAUGAAAUAAAGAAAGGAAAACAAAGGGCAAAUAACAACUAGGAAACAAGAAGAAAUUCUUUAUUAGAGAAGAGCUCAUCAACAGAAGAUAGUCUGCCAAUUCGUGCUACGAUGAAAUAAAGGUUUUCAUUUGAAAACUACACUGCAUCAAAACGAGCUUCGAGAGCUAAUCAAUCACUAAAGCCCCCACAAGGAUUGCGCGUUAUACCCAACUAAAUAAGAAUGUCAUGUUCCAGGAAAACCAGUGCGACAUGUUAAAAUAAGGCGUGUAAUGAUCUGGGAAGAAGCCAACUACCUUCAAGAAAGGUCAUCACAUUUUCUUAAAGCUGAAUGAGCGGUAUCAGAAUGACAAGAACUACUAGAAGUACAAAUCAUUUAAAAGAAAUCAGCAGAAAACGGUCAUAAGCGAGUGAACAAAAGCUGCUAUAGUGUUUCAAGCAGACUCUGAAAAGCAACAUCAAAUGUACAAUAACAAUGUAUGUUAUACAUAUAAAGUACCGACUGAAUCAAAUGGCAAGAGGCAACAUCUACGACUCAGUGGUCUAGCAUGUAACUAUCUAUCGUGAAACAACAUUUUAAGACAAUAAAACCAGUCCAAGACACUAGCAGAUCACCUCGACAAAAACAGCUAUCAGUUUCUUCCAAGGGGCAAAGAUCUGCAAGAAUAAGUCUCCUUGAAGUCAGACUUUCUUGAUGAAGUGAAAAUGGAGGCAUAGACUUCCUUUGUAGCAUGAGCUGGAGCUACAUCAACAGCCUUAAACCUCUUCCCAGACCCGUUGCUCGAACUAUUCUUCACAUCCUUAACUUCAAUCUUACUUUUAAUGCCAAUUUUACCAUUCCCUUCCACUUUCCUUGCAUCCUUGCCUACCAGCUUAUCCUCAAUCCCAUGUUUCAUUCCGCUCAAGCGUGAUGCCCCAAUGACCUCUUCACCAUUCACAGCUACAUCCACAUUCCUCCCCUUCUUCACCUUCUUACUAUCCUUCAAUUUCACCCUUUCUUCCUCCAUUCUCUCCCUCAAAGCCGCAACCUCUUCUUCACUCCCGUUGAUCACAAUUUUGUCACUCUCCACAACCUCCUUGUGGCAAACCAAACAAGCCGAGGAUUUCACCUCCUUCAAAGCUUUUGCACUCAAAACAUGCCCACAACCCCUCAAAGCAAAGAACUUGUACUUCCCAUUGAACUCCAACCCUGUUACCGGGCACUGAAACCCAGUCCCUUCACCAUCACCAAGCCCUCUAUCCUCUUUGCCCGGAAUCACCGAUAGCUCAACCGGAAUCAUAUCUUUCAAUCCCUUUAUAUACCCAAACUGCUUAGGCAGCCUUUUCUUCAAUAAAGCCUCAACUAACGUCUCCUUAUUGAACAAAUUCCCAAGCUUAUCAAUAACAACAGGAUGCUUUAAUGACUCGUUCGACAACGCACAAUUCAACCAUCUAGACAACCUAAUCUCAUUUGGAUCAAUUUUAUCCGGUUUCUUAACAGCAUACAUCUUGAGAUAACAGUCUCGGGACUCCGCUCCCGUGGCACCUCCAUCACCACCACCACCACGAAGGCGGAAACGUAGUACCAAAGUGGAAAACGGGCUAAUCCCAGAACCAUAUAAUAGAGUUGAAUCCUUAAUGGGUCGACCAUCAAAAGUAAGAUAGACAGAAUCCUUAAUUGCAGCCAAUGAUUUCUGGGUUUUUUCAAGCAAACAUGAUUUGAGGUCUUGCAAAGUGAAAUUAGGAUUAGGGUUUUCAAUAUUUAGGACAUGAGUAGGGAUCUGAAGCUCUGGCGAUUGUAUAAAAACUGGGAAAUUGCGCAUUUGGGGUUCCAUUAUUAGGGUUUAUGAAUUGAAAUCGAAGAGAAAUUUAAAAAAGAAUACCUGAAUUGAAGAGAAAUCGAAGAGCUCUGGUUCUCGAAAGGGGAAAAAGAUUGUAAUUUUAUCGUAUUCUUGGUAUUUAUACUUCUUCUGGAUUUUGUUUUGACCCGUUUGGUUUUAUAUUUGGGCCGACUCAAAAUCCUUGUAUGUUUCUAAGCCCAUAUUAGAGGAGGUGUCAUGAUCUUUUCUUUUUGGGUUCGAUAUAUUACUUUACAUAAAUCAAAUCAAAUAUAGAGAGAAAAAAGUGAGAUUACUAUUUAAUCUUUAUCGUUUGAUUGCCGAUUUGCAUUUCCUAAUGUAUUGUCUGAUCCCUAAUUUCUCGAUAUUAAUAUUUUCAAUAACUCAAGAUGGUACAAGGUGCAAAAGUCGCUACAACGAAGCAACACAUUCCUACUAUAGAUUUAUUAAUUGAACUAAAUUCACUUGCCUUUUACACUUCGUGGACAAAAUAAUAGUAAUUGAUGAGACGUGGGGUGAAGUUAACUAUAUUGAAAGUUUGUAGAUAGACCUUAUUUAGGUUUCGAGUUAAACAUGAUGAGUAAAGUUGAGCACUUAAAGUGUAAGUUCGAUAAUGUAAAACAUGAAGUGAAUGUGAAAAGUAUGGAGAUGGAUGUACAAGUCAUAUCCAAUAGAGGCAGUUUUAAGUAAUUCAAGAAAACAGAGAAAUUAAAAAUAAUAAUACACGUUAUAUUGAACUGGAGUUGAAGUAAAUUAACUUAAAAAUGCAUUCGAGAUACCGUGUGAAAAAGAUAUAUCAUCGAGACUUUAAGAUAAAUAUAUAAUUAUAUCCCUUUAGAAUUUUCUAUUCUAUUAAAAUAAAUAAGAGAAUUGUUUUAUAUAAAUAUCAUAUUUGAUUAUUUUCUAAAUGAAAGUAAAAAAAAUUAUUUCUUUUAGCUACAUUUAAGUAGUAAAGUUACUAAACAAAUAGUUUAUAGCUAAAAGAAAACUAAUUUUGGAACUUUAUUUGGUUUAUAUAGCGAAGGUAGGAAGUUGUGCAUUUAAAGAAGAUAUUAAAGAGUGGACGAGAAGAGAUUCAAAGGUAGUAGUUGGCUGAUGUAGUUAUUUAAUACUCUCCGUUUACCAUCACACUUAUUAUAUUUGAUUUUACGUGUCUAUUAAGAAAACAAUGAUUUAAAUAAAUAAAUAAAUAAUUAAUAUUAAAAGCAAAAUAUGAGAAAAAUAAUUAUUUUGGUUUAAUAUGUUAAAAAAUGACCAAUUAUAGAAUGACAAAUAAUAAUAUAAAAUAAAUGUAGUAGGUACCCUUUGAUUUAUUUGUGUUCCAUAGCAAACUGUUUGUCAGUCCCUCUCUCCCUCAAAUUCUCGCUCGCUACUCUUCCUCUCUCUCGCGCUUAUUUUUAUCGCUCGCCUCUCUCGCUCGCUUAUUCUUGUCGCUCGCUGCUCUCGCUUUAUACAAUAGAAUUGUAUAAAUUGUGUUUCUAAGUAUAAAACGAGAGAAAAUUGUAUAAAUGCAUGCAAAUACAUAUAUUUUUGUCCUUUACACUUAUAAUUGUACAACACAAAUAUUUUUCUGCCCAAGUCUCUUUUGUCUUUCUCGUUUUACACAAAUUCAAAUUGUAUAUAAUUUCUUUCUUUCUCGUUUUAUACAAUUCAAUUCUUCCCUGCACAAGUCUCUUUUUGUCUUUCUCUUUUUCUCGUUUUAUACAAAUUCAAAUUGUAUAUAAUUUCUCUCUUUCUCGUUUUAUACUAUUCAAUUCUGUCUUUCUCGUUUUAUACAAUUCAAAUUGUAUAUGGUUUCUCUCUUUCUCGCUUUAUACAAUUCGUUUAAUACAAUUUGCUUCAAUUGUAUAUGUAUAGCGAAUUAUACAUAUAUAAGUUUGCUAUGGAGCGCAAUUAUACAAACUUUGUUAUAGCAUACAAAUAUGAAUUUUAUGUUUGCUAUAUGUAAAAGUUGCCCAUAAUUUUAUACACCAUAUAUAAAUAUAAUUAUACAUUAUCUAUAGUAUAUCGAUAGAUUACAUUUACAUACAUUCAUUUUCUAUUAAAAACUUUUUGUGUUGUAUGUACCGUUACAAAAGUGGUUCAUAUAAAAGUUUCAAACAAAUUACUUCAACAUAGUAUAUAACGAGACUUACGACAGAGUUAAAAUAAAGCUGAAAGUUUGGAGAGAUAUACUCUUGAGUCUAAGGAAUUCGGGUUAAGUAGGACCAAGAUAAAAUAACUGGAAUGCAAGUUCGGUGAUGCGUUACAUGAAUCUAAUGUGGAAGUGAUACUUGAUACAUAGGUCAUCCAAAAGAGAGACAAUUUUAAAUAUCUUGAGUCUAUUGUCCAAGGUAGUGGAGAAAUUGACAAUGAUGUUACACAUUGUAUAGAUGUAGGGUAGAUGAAAUAGAGGCUCGUGUAUGAAGGCUUGUGUGAUAAGAAGGAUCUAUCAAAACGUUAAGACAAGCUCUACAGAGUGGUGAUACACAAACUAUGUAUGUGAUAGAAUGUUCACUAGUCAAGAACUCUCAUGUCUAUAAGGUGAAAGUUGUAGAAAUAAGAGUGAUUAGAUUGAUUUAUAAGCUUACUAUGUGAGAUAAAAUUAAAAAUGAAGAUAUUUGGGUUAAGGUGGAUUGGAUCUCCAUGGAGGACAAGAUGCAAGAAAAAAAAACAAGACUAAGAUAGUUUAGUCAUGUAAAAGAAAAUGUAUAGAUGUUACAUUACAGAGAUGUGAGAGGUUAGCCAAAGAUGAUUUCAGAAAAAGUAGAGUCAAACCGAAGAAGUAUUGGGAAGAUGAUUAGACAAGAUAUGAAUAUCUUUGACUUAUCAGAACAUGGCCUAUUAGAUAGGAGGCUACAGAGGACACAAUUAGGGUAGAAGUCUAGUAAAUUGGAGUGUUCUCACUUAUGUUAUUUCCUUUUCCAUAGUGAUUCAUUAUGUUUUUUCUUAAGCACAUGUUCUAAUGGAAAAUAAUCUUUCUACAUCCCAAGGUAAAAAUAAGAUUUACAUACACUCUACUCUUCUAAACUCUACUUGUAGGAUUAUAUUAGGUAUGUUGUUACAUUAUGUAUAUGACAAUUUUCCAUAUUUUUAUGACAAGGGAAAUCCGUAGGCGCUACUCUUUGGGUGUGCACAGGGUAAAACUCUCACUCAUAUGCAAUGGCUUGCAAACCACAAAGGAGAGGUAAUCCGCACUAGACAAGCCUGGUGCAACGAGCUCGACCCAGAAGGCAAACCCCUUACUUUGUUGGCAAGGGGUUUCAAAUUUGAGACCUCCAACAUGGAAGUUUGAAGCUCAAACAACUGGCUCACCCCGAAGGUUUUUCCCUUUAUUUGCAGGUUCAUGGUUUAAUCUCGACCUUAACUUAUUUGGAUUUUAGACUAGUUUAUAUUGUCAUUGUUGAUUAUCGAAUCUUGUCCCCGAUUUGUUUGGAACAACGCCUAGUUAAUGAUUGUUAUUGUCGAUUGUGAGUUUGAGAAUAACUCUCCUACUGUUUUCUGCCUAAUAUAAAAUUUCGAUAAAGUUAAAUUGGGUAGCAUAAUGUAAACGACAACAAAGAACUUUUUUCUGUGUUUGUCGGUGAUUCUUAAACUCAAUUUAUUUGCAAGAACGACCAAUUAUUUUCAGUUAUGAGUUCUCGACCCCAAUUUGUUUGAAAUUAUGACUCGUCAAUGCUUGUUAUUGUCGGUUGUGAGUUUAUAAAUACGUCUCUAACUGUUUUCUGUCUAAUAUAACAUUUCGAUUAAAGUUAAAACGGGUAUUAUGAUGUAUACGACGACAAUAGAUAACUUAUAAUUCUCAAACUCAAUUUAUUUAUUAUUACGAUUCAUUAUUACCGUUUAUGAGUUUUCGAUCUUGAUUUUUUAUUUGGAAAUACAGCUAGUUAAUGUUGUUAUUGUUAUUUGUAAGUUUAAAAAUGUCUCUCGCUUAUUUCUAUCAAAUAUAAUAUUUCGAUUUUAAGCCUUUAGGUCCACCUCAAUCUUUUCACAAGUGCAAUAAAUUUUAUAUUUUGGUAUUUAUCAUGAUUGAAAAUCUUAACAAUUUUAAUGAAUUACAAUUAUUCAACUCUUUUAAAGCAAACAAGAAAACUUCCUUUUUGAGUAUAAGAACAAAGAAACUCAAUUUCAGUUACAAAAUAGUAAACAAACAAACUCCAAACACACUAAAUAUAGUCAUCACAAUAGAAAGAAAAUAAGGUCUCUUCAACACGUUUUAAAAAUAUGUCAAUCUUAUUAUUUUAUUGAUUGACAAAUGUAAUUGCAUGCUUAAACAUUUCUUUGUGCUAUUUGGUCAAAUCAACCUCUUGGAGGAAAUUUAUAUAUAUAUAUAUGUAAAACAUGAUUAAGGACUUACAUAUCUUAAGAUCGUCACUGAGUGAAUCUGGAAACUAAUGUCGCUAGGGAAGCUAAGGUAAGUAUCGUCAUGUUUCCUCCAACAAAAUCUUUUUACUUUUUUUAUUCAAUUAUGUAUCGUGUUUUUCUUUUAUUCACUUUUUCUUAUAAAAAAAGAGUUUUUUUUUACUAUUUUUUCACUCUGUUGAGAUGUUUUUAUAGUUUUCAAGAACGAUUAUUAAUAAGAAUUGAAUGAAAGAAGAUAUUGGUGUUCUCUUGAAUUUUUAAGAUAACAACUUAUUUGAGAAAAUUAUAUUUAUAAAUCACAAAAAUAGUUUGAGACGGAGAAAACUAUAUUUAUAAAUCACAAAAAUAAUUUAAGACUGAGAAAAUUAUAUUUAUAAAUCACAAAAAUAGUUUGAGACGGAUGGAGUACUUCCUUAAUUCUUCUUCAUUUGUUAAAUUUUGCAUUUUGCACUACUAACACUCUAAUUAGUUUGUGAAUUAUGGACGAUAAGUAUAAAAUUAAAAAGAAAAAAAAAACUAGUUGUCUCUUAAAUGUGGAUUAUAAUUUAUACAUAAUUUAUUAGUAAUCCUUUUUCUUUAUUUCAACCAUUUAAUUCUUUGCAGCCUUCACAAUUAAACAUUUUUUGCCUGAAUAUCAUCAAGUAUAUAGAGAUUAUUGUUGAGCUGAAAAGUAAUCCAUCACUUAAACACCCUUUGCUAGAAAACAUAAAAAAUGUAAUGUAUAAGUCAAAUAUCAUUUUUGUACAUAUAUAUAAUGCGUUUUGUAUUUCUAAUCGGUUACUUAUAACAAGCAAAAAUAUAUACGUCUCUCUUUUUUUAGGUUGAUUAAUUGACUCCUACAAACUUUCCAUUUGCAAAAUCGUCAAAAAAAUUCAGGGCUAUAAGUGUAAAACACAAGUAUCAAGGACAAGAGGUAAUGGAAGAAGGGGGAGAAUCACCGGUUAGUAAAAAUGUAAGCCCUAUGAUUACAAAUGAAGCUAUAACAUCAGCAGCGGAAAGUCCAGCUUUACAACGUGGCCUUGAACUUCUAAGAUCAGCUAGAAAUAAAGGUUAUUUAUUGUAUUUUUUUUUUUACAUAGAAAUCUCACUUUACACCCCCUUAGUACCUUAAUUUCGAAAAAUAACACCACCCUUAUAUUUUAAUUGGGAUUAUAAGUUCUUCUUUAACCAUAAAUUAGUCUAAAUAAAUUCUUCUUUAAUCAUAAAUUAGUCUAAAAAUAAAUUUAAAAAUACUAUAACCAACCCUCAUUACUAUUUGUAAUAUUUUUUCAGUAAUUUAAAUUUUUCAGUAAUGGUAUUUUAUAAUAAAAAAUAAAACAUGUUCUUUUUUCUUCUUUAUUUCUGGUUUUUAAAAUCUGGCCAUUAGACUUCAUGGUAUACAUUAUUUUUAGAGCUCAAAUUUUAACAAUUUCUUGAUAUAUCUCAUUAUUUUGAUUCUUUCUAGGCAAAAAUUCAAUGUAUUUUUAGUCAUUGAUUUUUAUUGUCUCAUUCAAAAAUGUAAAGAAAAUCUUGUUUCUCAAAUCCAAAUAUUAAGGGGGUAAAAGUGAGUUUCACUAACUCUUUCUUAUCUACACACUUCUCCUUUAAUUAUUUUUUUGGGUAUAUAUGUUAUAUUUAUACAUUAUUUAAAAAAAAAAAAUUAGCUAUUAAUUUCAUUGGUAAAUAACUUGUAGUUGACAUAUUUUUGAUAGUUCUAGCAAUGAAUUUAAUUAUCAUUGGUUCCUACCUUUUCAAAAUAGUGAAUUCUAAAUAAAGAGUAUCAAACUAUUAAAAAAAUAUGAAGGCUACAAACAUUGAUUUCAAACACAUCUAUGAAAUAAAGUAAGAUUUCUAUAUGCAAAGAGAUUCAAUAAUUUAUAUAUAUAAAACAUAAUCAAAUUCUUUUUGUUUUCAUUCUUCUUAUAUUUGAACAAAGUGUAAGGAUUUUUUAAAAAAAUUAAUAAUAGAUAGAUAGUUAAGUGAUUUUUUAUAACUAUAUAUGAAAUUCACUCGACAUUUAAUUUUAAAUGUUUGAUCUGUCUCUAUGUAUUCAAACUUUUAGAUGCGCGAAAAAGAAAGACUAUAGAAGAAGGCAAAUUAGAAGCCAUUGCUCCAAAAGGCAUGGGUAUCAAGAGUAAAGAAACAACAAGUAGCAAAGAAAUUUUGGCUACAAUUCCAGAAAAUUAUGAGAUCAUGCUACCAAUUAAAUUCUUAGAAAUUGACAUCGCGGGAAAUGCCCUCAGAAAAUUCUUCCAAGAAAAGGAAAAGAUUUUCCGAGUCCAUAUAAAGAAGUAGUCAAAUGUCCAUCCUACAAUCGAUAUGGGAGAGUUAAUGAUUUCAGUUCUUUUAAAUCUUUGUAAAGAUAUAGCCAUUUUCGACCCCAAUGUAUUUGAAAUUACAACUAAUUAAUGUAAUAAUAUUUUAAAUUUUCAUGUGUAUCAUAAUUUUUGGUAUAGAUUCAGGAAUUUUCAUGAGUUAUGAUUAUUUAAUUGUUUAUUCACUAUUUUAUAUUAAACCGUAAGAAUGAAGUCCCUUUUGAUAAAAAGAAAAUGAGAAAACUUUAUUGAUAUACAACACAUGCACAAAUCAUAAAUACUCUAUAUGAAGUUGCACAACAACAAAAAUAUUACUUUGAUAUGAGAAAAAUCAUAAUUGUAUAUGUUGCAAACAAAUUAGAUGGGUUAGUGGUCAUUUCCCUCCUACAUAAAGUGUCACAUUUUUAAUAAUGUUGAAAACACUAUCAAAUAGAAAGAAGAUCAUAGCAAAGGUGAAAAUAAUUUGUUUCUAUCAAGAUUUAUCAUUAUAGCUUUUGUACAUUGUCUAGUUUGAUUCAUUGUGCUUGAAUUUAAAUCUUCUAGAUUCCAUAGAGAAUUUGUACAAGUUGUUUUUUUUUAAAAAAAUUGUGUUAUCAUGGUCUUUGAUAGAAAUUCCAGAAUUUAUUUGGUUAGGACAAAUAAUUUUCUAUUAAUAAAAAGGCCUUAAGCUAAUUUGAUUAAAAAAGAAGAAAGAAAAGAAGGUAGUACUGAAUGACCUUGAGUUACACCAAAUCUUAUAAUUUUAAGGGUAAGUUACAAAGCUGAACUUUUUGUUGUUGAUUCUAUAGCUUCAUUUAUUCUCAUGAGACUUACGAUUCUACUAAUUGAUACUUCUGCACCCUUCCCCUCCUUUACUUUUUGUCAUCGAUAUUACUAGUGUUUUGCACUUGUAGCCUUGACUUUUUUUUGAAUGAUUUUGCCAAUAAAGGCUUUGUAAAAGCCAUUAGAGUUGAUUGAUCAACCUAAAUAAAAGAGAGAGGGAAAUACUUUUUUGCCUGUUAUAUAUACGGACUAUAUAUAUAUAUAUAUAUACACAUCUAUGACUUUCGAGGGGAAGGGGAAUGUUUAAGGGUGUUCGAUUGAUCGAUUAAUUCUAAGCCAAACACAACACUUAACUUGUAAAUACAUUAUGAUUUAUCGAUGGUGAUAUUUAGUUGAUCUUUGAUUUAUAUACAUGUGAUAAUUUUCAGACAAAAAUUGUUCAAUUAAUAGGUCACACCUGAGCCUAGAAUAAAGAGUAUUCGAUCGAUUAGUCUUGAGCAUAAUAAAGGUCUUUGACAUAUAUGCACUGUGUCAUUUUCAAGCAAAAAAUAUUUAAUUGAUCAAUUUGAACUUACUGACAAUCUUUCACCUAUAUGUAAGUUAUGAUUUUCUGGACAAAAAAUACUAAAUUGAUUAACUUAUUUUGAACUGAUUGAUUACUAUGUAUUUAUAUAACUUCCUCAGUAAUUUCAGUAUAUCAAACUAACAAAGAAAUUGAUAAAGAGACAACAAAGAAAUUCUCCUCAUGAACUUAAGUUCUAUUAUGUAAUUAUGAAAUAGUCAAGCUUAAUAUAUUUUGUGUUUGUGUUUUGUUUGGUCAAAUUAUGAUCAUCUUUUGAGGAAACUUGCAUUUAAUGUGAAGUAAAGGUUUUUUUUACUUAAAUUGUUAUUUUCUUUACUUUUUGUCACAAUUUAUUUUUAACAAAGAAAUUAUGGUGCAUCUAACCAUCCUAUACAUUACAACAAUCAAUCUCUCUUUAUGAGAGUUGACUGAAUUAGUGAUAAGUAAUUAAUCAUUUUCUUCAUUUUAACUAUUUAAUCUCUUUCUUCCCUUCACAAUUACCAACUUGUUGCUCUUUCUCUUCUUUUCUUCAAUUGAGGUAACUUGAUUGCUUAUUUUUUUCUUCUUUUUCUUUAUAAUUUGAUACACUAAAAAUACUGAUUGAGUCACAUAAACACAAAGUAAUCAAUCAAUCUAUCAUUUUAACAUUUUUUUUUGCCUAAAACCAUAGAAUACAUAUAGGUCAAAGAUCGUCACCUGGCUCAAAACUGAACGAUCAAUUUUCUUUUGCUUGAAAAUCACACAACGCAUAUAGGUCAAGGACCAUUGUUAUACUCAAGACUUAUUGAUCGAGUUCUCUUUGUUUUUAGUCAUAGAAUGCAUAUAAUAUAGAUACUGUUUCUAGGCUCAAGUGUGACCUAUUAAUUAAACAAUCUUUGCCUGAAAAUUAUAGAACGUAUAUAAAUCAAAGACCAGUUCAAUAUCAUCACUGAAAAAUCAUAAGAUAUUUAUUGGUCAAAUGUCGUAUCUAGCUUAAAAUCGAUUGAUCAAUUGAUUAGAUAACAUUGUCCUAAAAAGUCACAUAUAGAUGUAUACAUAUCAAAACAAUCCAUAUAUAUAGCAAGUAAAAGAAUAUUUUUCUCUCUCUUUUAUAUAGGUUGGUCAAUCAACACAAAUGGAUUCUACAAAGCCCCCAUUAGCAAAUUCAUCAAAGAAGCCAAGGCUACAAGUGCAAAACACUAGUAGUAUCAAGGACAAAAAAGUAAUGGAGGAAGGGGAGCAGGCAGAAGUAUCAAUUCGUAGAACUGUAAGCCCCAUGAGCAUAAAUGAAGCUAUAACAUCAGCAGCAGAAAAUCCAGCUUUGCAACGUGCCCUUGAAAUUAUAAGAUUUAGGAGAACUCAAGGUAAUCUAUUACUCUUUUCUUUUUUUUCUUUUUUUUCUUUUUUAAAUUAAACUACAUGAUAAUGUUAAAGAUUAGGAGCAUAUGUAGUUAAAGAUGUAUGUAAAUUCACCCUAACACAAUAAUCUUGACUCAUACCUUAUAUGUGUUAUAAACCCACUAAUAAAUAAGUAUAGUUUGAAUCAAGUAAAUUAAUUAGGCCGCGAGAAAAUUUUAAAUUUGAAACUAUGAUAUUUAAAUUCUAGAUCUGUCACUAAAUAUGAUUGUUCAAUCUUUUUGUAGCACAGAAAGAAAAGAAAAGCAUGGAGAUCAAGAAUAAAGGAGCAACAAGUAGCAAAGAGAUUUUGACCACAAUUCCAGAAGAUGAUGUGAUCAUACCACCAAUCAAACCCUUAGAAAUUUAGUAUCUUCCUUUUCAAUGUUUAGAAGGUGAAAUGUAUCUUAAUCUUAACUAUAACUAUCUUGAUGCUUAAUUUGAGACUGUUAAAUAAAAAUUCAGAAAUGACUAAUAUUAAAGGUUUUGAGAAAUCUAUCUCUAUAAUUUAUGUAUUUACCAUUUAUAGCAUGAGAAGAGAGGCUAGCUAGAUUGGGAGAGAAGGAGGAGAGAUGCUAGAUACAAAUUACAUUUGAUGAAUUUAAGUUGUAUCAACGAAUACACAAUGAUAUAUGAAUGUUGAUAUAAUUGUAUCAGAUACAUACUCGUUGAUACAUGUUGUAUCACUUGUAUUCAUUCACGGUAUAGAAAUACAGACUGACAUAAGUUGUAUUUGACACAUACAUGCUACUAAUACAGUUGUAUCAACUGUAUUCACUCGCUAUACAAAAAUAUAGGUUGUAUUCUAUACAUACAAAUCGAUACAAGUCGUGUUUAGUACAUAUAAGAUUAUACAAGUUGAUACAAUUUUAUCCCUAGUAUGUGUUCACUUUUGUAUCGCUUUUCAUUCGCGAUACCAAAAUAAAGAAAUAUAGAUUGAUAGGUACAUGUUGAUCCAAAACAGUGUGUUGAAACGACUAGAGAGUUGCACUUGACACAAGUAGUUUCUUCUCUUUUUUCCCAUGUAUUCAUUCCCUCUAUUUGGCAAAAUAGAGUUGAAUAAAUAAUGUCCCUAUUAUGUGGAGUAUCAUAGUGAAAUAUAUUGUGUGUGUAUAUACAGGGAGGCGAGCAAGAGAGAAAGAGAGAGUAGAGUGCAACAAAGGAGGGAGAGACGGAGCAAGGAGGCAUGCAUAAUUGAAAGAGAAAAAAGAAUAUUGGAUUUAACUUAUUAAAGUAUAAUCAUGAUUAUAAAAGGUGUUAUUUUUGGUACUAUUAUUAUUUUACACGAUCCAAAAACUUCCAUAACGUUGGCGUAAUUCGAUUUGAACGGAUCUUGACAUGAUACAUCCUCAUAAUGAAAAUAGAGGUAAAACAUGAGUUUAUCCAUUAUGAGUAUUAGAUUGAAGUUCUCUUGAUGAAGAGCGUCAAAUCCUAUCCCCCGAAGAUACAAAAUGCCUGGUCCUCCUCCUCUCCUGUGUCGACGUAGAGUGUAGUGCGGAGUGGAAAAUUGUUGGGAAAGAAACUCGUGAUUUCUCAAGAAAUAUCAUAGUACAUGAUUUUUGUACAAGGUAAGAUUUCAUUGAGUUUGACGCGAGUUUUGAGUUUUGGAAGCUUAAUGCUUGACAGAAUUGACUUCAGUCAACAUUCAGAGAUUCUGACGUUGGAUCAAAACUCUAUCAGUUCCACAAGCUCUGAAAGAGUCUUUUUUGUCUACUGUGAUGUUUGUCUCAGGUUUUCAAGCUUCUAUUUAGAGUCAGUGUGAUUAGGCAUUUUAGCUUUUAAGUUCAGUCAAAAUUUGACUUGGGUCAACUUUUUGAUAAACGUGCUCAAAUCGAAUUCUAUCACUGCAACUAGCUCCAGACUGUCAAUUUUGGUCUAGAACAACCUUUAGAUUUGAUUCCCAGAGGUGUCAAUGUGAGUAUUUCACUUCUUGGAGUUUUGUUGUGUUUUUCGAUUAAAGUAACAACUUUGAUAAACAUUUUGACAAAACGACCUCAAAUGACAUGUUUUGUCGAUUCCAUUGAGACCAGAAUGUCAUUCCCAACUAAUUCGCAAAAGGUUGAAAAUGGCUCAAUGUCGACAAAAGUCUUAUUCCGAUAUUGGAAGAAGGAAACUAAAAUUGAUGUUGAUUAUUGAGUCUCCUUUAAGAUCAUGUUAAGGUUUACUCAUCAAUAAUCACAUCCCCUAAUGAUGAUUAGUUGAUUACCCAGCAUACAGAAUCCAGAGAGCCAUUCUAGGAAAUUGUCUUAAAAUAUCUUUGCCAUAUUCAUAGUAAUAAUAAUUGGUUUACAUUUUAGACUUUGAAAAUUUAAUGCUAUGAAUAAAAUUUGUUAUCGGAGACACUUAACUAGAGGUCUUAAGUUCAAACCUGGAGAACGUUAAAACACUAGCCAUGAUGGGCUUUCUAAAAUGUGAAUCUAGAUUAGUUGUGUCUAUGAGUAUCCGAACCGGAUGAUUGAAAAAAUUAAAAUAAGGUGCACCCUAUAAGUUUUUUCCAAAGCCUCUCCAACAAUAUACAUUCUACAAGAAGAAUGUCACAGAGAAAUAUAUUUCUUAUCUCAUCUACAACUGGUAAAUUAUAAGAACAUUUUUAGCAUUCUACAAGAUCAAUAUACAUGCAAGUCCAAGCAUUGCAGGAAUCUCAGGGACAUGCCAAUAUCAGGUCCCAAGUUAUUGCUAUUGUGGGAUAAAUUUCUAUGACCACUGAGCAGGAAAUAAACGUGGACAGGAGGGGCGUAAAAGUUGGACUUUACAAGUUAAAAAUUGCGGGAUCAAUGUGUGAAAGAAUAAGGUGAACGUGAGGGGUUCCUACACUACGUGAUUGUGGUGAAAUGGAACUCAGCCUACUGCUAAAGGAUAAAAUUCCUAGUCAUGAAUAUUGCAUUGUUGCACAAAAGGAUGUUCAUACCUAACGUGUUUCUUCCAGUACGGCUUGAACUUCUGGAGUCCAAUCUCUAACCAUGGUUUCAUAACUCCAUCAUAAUGAAUCACAGCUGCUUGCUCAAUUUCAUUCAAUUUGACACCAGAGUCGUACCCCAAUCCCAAGACAUGCCAUCUCCGAUCUAUAGCACGUGUAUGUUUGUAGAAGGUCAUCCAACCAAUGGGCAAAGUACCAGCUUUCAUUAAUGGUCUAUCACUUCCCUGCAUAAUGCAUGGGCUAACAAUGAGGCAGUGACGAAUACAAGGAGAACAAUGUUAAAUAAAACAGCUAUAAGUCAAAAUUAUACACAUACAUUAUUAUAGAGAAGUUAAGAAUAUGAUUAAUCGCUGGUCAAUUCCAUAAGUAAUUAACAAACAACAGGGUAUAGAUGCAUACCAGCUCCAAGUACUUGUGAUAGAGCCCAGUCAAGUUUCGUUUCCUCCACUCCUGCAGAUCAAACAAAUUCAUCCCAAAUGCCCAUGUGCAUGAUUUCGCGUCAAAUUUCGUUGCCACCAUGGGGUCAGUGAAAUUGAUGAGCAUAUCCAUUCGCCGGAAUGACGGCUCGCCUUCAAGACAAGUCUCCACCGCACCAUUCACUUUACCAUUCAUGUUGAUGUGCCAAAGUCCACUUAGAUCCCUUUUCACAACCACGUCAUGAUCAAGGAGCACUAUCUUGUUGAGAUAAGGAAAAAUUUCAGGCAGGUAGAAGCGCAGGUGAUUCAGUGGAGAAGUGUAUCUUGGAUCAAGAGACUCUUGCUUCUGCAGAGUAUCCUUGUUCAGUAACCAAUCAAACAUGUCUAUGCUCUGGAUCUGAAUUGUUGCUUUGCCAGGAGGAUUCGACAAGAACCACAUUGUCAUUGCUGGUAGGUUAAGAGAAUCCGUCACUAUAUGAAACACAAUCUUCUCUGGAGCCUGCCAAAUACAUAAACACUCGCAUAAAUUUGUGCAUAACCACCAUUAUUUAAUUUAUGUCUUCAAAAUAUAUAGUAAUAGUUUCCGUAUUCCCUUUUUUCAAAUGCUUUGUUCGAGCCAGGGAUCUGUCGGAAAACGAUUUUCUAACGAGGUAGGGGUAAGGUUUACGACCCUCCCCAGACCCACCCUAUGGGAUCACACUCGGAAUGUUGUUGUUGUAAAAUCUAUAAUAAUCAAUAGUAUAAAUUUGUGCAUAACCAUGAUUAUUUAAUUUGUCUUCAAAAUAUAUAUAGUGAUCAAUAGUUGCUCCUUGCAUCUACUGUUACAAAAUCAUAAGAGUUUAGCCCUUCCAUACAUGACAGUUGCAUGAUAAGUUACAAAUGAUAAUGAUACCACAAUCAUACUAGUUCUUGGAAUUCUAUUUGCAGAAGUGAGGACACCAACAAAUAAUAGCAUGUGUUCUCAUAAGUCGAUAGUGGACUUAUAUGCACAAUUGGAAUUACUCUGUUCCGCACUAAAGCCAAAGCUGCUUACAGGUAAGCAUCAGUUAACAUAGAUACUAAAUGUUAAAAUUUUCCUCUAAAGGCCAUGUGCAAAAUGACAUAUACUCCAAAUACCUAUGUUCUAUUCUUAAUCAUCUUAAGAUAACAGCAGAUUAACAAUGAGAAAACAUAAAAGGAAAAAAUAGAGCGUGAAUAAAAAAUAUACUCCCUUCUCUUAAUUUUCUUAAAAUGGUAUGACUGGCACAGAGAUCAAGAAAAUAAAGAGAUUUUUGAAUCUUGUGGUCUUGAAUUAAAGAUGUGUGUAAUACACCAAAAAUGUCUUUUGAAUCUUGUGAUCUUAAACAUGCCAUGUGAGAUAAUGGAACUAAAGAGGAGAAUUAAAUACAAAAAUUUGCUUUCUUUUUAAAAUAGACUAAAGGAAAGUAAUACACAUAAAUUGAAAGAGAGGGAGUAGUAAGAAAUUGAAAAAAAGAAAAUUCAAAGCCAAGAAUAAGAAAAUUAGGGAGAUGCUCACCCUAGCAGUUGAUACAGUUGAGUUGACAACUGCAGAACAUGCCAAAACAUUGUCAGAGAAAACAGCGAAGUGGUGGAGAUCUGGAUUCUGAAAUUUAUGUUGGUUAGGUAGUUUCUGCUCCUCGGUUUGUAGGGCAAAGUACUCAGUGGUUAACCGCAUGGAGAGGCAAUGAAGGCCUUUCGGAGUAGUUCUUCCGGCAAGAUUUUCAAGGAAGGAAGCUUGAUUCUUUUGCGCUCGAAGUUGUUCCUCAGCAUUAUAAGUCAUCGCACGAAGUUUUUUCACCAUUGCCGAGCAAUCAGGGAACAAUCUACUGGCUUUCGACAGGGUUGCACUCAUAGCCUUCAUCUUCUGUAUGGCCCUAAAAAUGAUAACUGUUCUUAGAUUAUACAUACAUCAUUUAACUGCUCCCUAGUUUCCAAUCAAAAUAGUAUACUUCCCUAUUUUAAAGAUUCUAUCAACUUUCCAAAAGUAAAAGCUUUCCUCUACACUCUUCAAUACUUUUCCCAUAUUUUAGCAUUUAAAAAGUCGGACGACUUCCCUUUUACAAAAUUAGCCUUAUUGUCACUUCCCCAACCCAUUUUUAUCUCAAGACAUCCAAACAUCCCUUCACAGAUUAAUAACUGUGCCCAAAAAGUAAACUAAAAAACAGGACAACAAAAAACCCAGUGAAAUCCCACUAUGUAGGGUCUGGAACUAAAAAAUAGGAAAAGUUCAUAAAGAGAAUAAAUACAUAAAGUACUUAAUGACAAGACUAAGAAAAAACAUAUUCACUUGCCAACAUUCAACACUUAGUUACCAGACCAACCAAUUUUCGUCAACUACUGAUAGACCAAUAACAAGUUAAGUCACUUUUUGUGUACAUAAUAAACUUAAGCACCAAGUUAUUUGUCAAUUUCAUUUAACCAUUUCGACCUUCUCCCGGAUACUCUUUCAGACACAAUAAGUACAAAACAUAACUCACACUUGUAAAAAAAGAAGGUACAAAAAAUAGCUCAAAAGAGCCAUUUACUCAAGCCAAGCAGAUUUAUGCGACGGUGGAGCAACCAACAUAUAUCAAAUCAGCCAGGUUCCAUUAUGUGUCCAGGUUUGAGCUUGUGUCCGAAUAAGAGAUGAUACCAAAGCUAUUACGAAGAGAUGAUGUCAUAGCUAUUACAGUAUUACGAAGAAUUAAAGUGAUAAAAGAAUUAUCAUCUUACCUCCUAGACAAAUCAGAAUCUUUUGAAACUUCACCAGCAGCUCGUUCCAAGUCUUUAAUUCGUAGCUUUAUCUCUUUCACAAAAUUAGAGUUACUACCUGCCGGUGCAAAAUUCAAGAAUGCUUUGGCCCUUAUCAGCUGAUCUUUAAUCUCCUUCACCCUCUCAUCCAAUACCCUCCGUGGAUGAGACUGUACAUUCUGAAGCACCUCUUUUGGUCUGGAUUUUUCCUGCAAUAUAACCAAGUGAAAUAAGGUGAUCACAUGCAGAGCUAAUUGCAGUUAACAUGCACAAAAUACAUAAAACAUAUUCCAGGAGUUGACCAGUAGUAUUCGACCAUCCACGGCGAGUGGAAAGAGAAACCAAUAUUACUUUAAACCCUCAAUACAAUAAUUAAGAUUUACUUUAUCACAUUUUAUUUUACACAACCGCUGAAUCUUGAAAAGUGAAAAUCAUAAAUGAGCAUGGCACAUGAAAACUCCCUUCCUAUAAGCGUCCAGUCAAACUUUCUUUUGAUUUAGGAAAAAAAAAGAAAAAGAACAAAAAAAAUUCAUCUGAACCAUCAAAUCGACAGCUUCCCUGUCGUCAUGAACAUGCAAAAUCUAAAUUUGCUAAUUUAACUUAAUCUAAGAAAACCAUUUCUUGGUAAGGUUCCAAAGCAUGAAGACAUAGUUUAUUAUUACACAUUAUCACAAUCACAACGUUAAAGCAACACCUUCAAAAUUCAAACACCACCAAACAAAGGAAUCCAGCUGUAUGCAUAUGCAACUCUCAAGCUGCAAACAACACGUGAUAUUUUAUAUAACCACCAUCAAUCUAUUUUAGCCAAACAAUAAUAAAAGUAUAUCUAUUAGUCUCAAGUUCUGGAGAAACAACAUUAGUGGCUUUUAAGUUUAAUCAACUGUUCCACUAUGCCCACUAUGCCAAAUUUCAGGAUCAACUAUAUGAAUGAUUUGUAACCAUUGCGCUCUACUUGCAAAUGAUUCCACCAACAGCACCUCUAUGAUUUAUACUGUACUAAUUAAAAGAUUGAAAUCUAUUUAUUAAAUAAAAGGAAUGAUGAAGAAAAUUUCACACUAAAUGAAUGAGAUCUUUGAUGUGGUGUCCAUUGGACUUCCAUACAUACCGAUGCCUUUUCUCGUCUGCCCAGUGUUUCCUCUGGUAAACUUUGUUGACCUACUUUCUUCGUAUCAUGUGUGGUUUCUGAAAUUAGGUAGGAAUGCGUACAAUUAAUUUCUAGUUAUUGAAUGAAAAGAAAUGCUUGUGGUGGUGGUUGGGGGGUGGGGGGGAGGGAUGUAAAGAACAUCUGAAUAAUUAAAUUACCAUUAUUUCCAGCCAAACUGACAUUCUUAGGUUGACCAAGACUAUCAUUCUUAUCAAUGGUAUACAAACUGACUGCAGAAAUUUGGUUUCCAUCUCGGUAGACAUCCAAGAUUGGUUCUUUGAGGGUUUCAACUUCUUCCUAAACCAAAAAGCAGAAAAAGGUUUGCAAACAAAAGUUCAAUUCAAGUGGAUGUUUACAGUUGGAAGAACUUAUAUAGAAUUUAUAGCACCUGUUGGACUGCAUUAAGCGCCUGAACCUCUAUCCUGUGCUUCUGAAAUGGAGAAAUAGAAAUAUCAGUCAGAUCAUAUCAUAACAAUAUAAUCCAUCAAUUCCAAUCAAAACCCAAAUAAGAAAAAUCUCAAUCAGAUCCCAUACAAUAGACUCCAUUUGUUUAAAUUUACAAGACACUCUUUCCAUCUUUUUAGAACUUCCAAAGCAUUCAAAUUUUUAACUUUGAUAUGAUCUUUUCUAUCAAACGAACUUGUUAACGGCUACUACUUCGACAUUUUGAUCAUCACCACUACUAAAAAAAUAGACUCUAUAUGAGUUAACAAACAUCAUAAAACUCGGGGUCCAGUCAAAAACUGACAUAAGCAAUAAGUAGAUAAUUCUUCUCACAGAAAACUCUGCAUCCUAGCCUUUACAAAGGAACAGGGUAAUGGAAGUAUGGGAACCAUUAAAGCUUGAUCUUUUACACCAAGUCCAAAUUAUGCAAACAACGAGGGUACCAAAAAACUAACUUCAGCUAUAAAAAAAGAAGAAGCUCUUACGAAUUACUAGAAAACAAAAUUUACACGAGUAAAAUCAAACGUUUUAAAACAAUCUAUGCUUCUUUAUCAACUUCCCCUCAGCAACAUAUACCAAAACAAAAGGGCAGGGUAAUGGAAGUAUGGGAACCAUUAACAGCUUGAUCUACAAGCAACAAGGGUACCAAAGAACUAACUUCAGCUAUAAAAAAGGAAGAAGCUCUUAUAAAUUACUAGAGAACACAAUUUACACGAGUAAAAUCAAAUGUCAAAACAAUCCAUGCUUCUUUAUCAACUUCCCCUCAGCAGCAUAUACCAAAACAAAUAGACAGUGUAAAUGGAACUUAUGGAAGUAUGGGGACCAUUAACAGCUUUAUCUUUUACACCAGCUUGAAAAUAGGCAAACAACAAGGGUCCCCAAAAAACAACUUCUUCUAUUAAAAAAAAAAAGCUCUUACUGAUUACUAGCAAACACAUUGUAAAAUAGAAAAAUCAAAUGUUCAAAAUAAUCUAUAUUGCUUUAUUUACUUCCCCUCAAAAAGCUACCACAGAUUACUAGCAAAAGCAUUGUAAAAUAGUAAAACCAAAUGUUCAAAAUAAUCUAUGCUGCUUUAUCUACUUCCUCUCAACAACAUACACCAAAACGAGCAAUACCCGCAACAAAAACUGAAUAAAGGAAAAGAAAUCUUACAACAGCGACACACCCGGUGUAAUCCCACGAGUGGGGUCUGAGGAGAGUAUUGUAUAAGCAAACCUUACCCCUACAUCUCAUCUCAAGUAAAGCAUUGGAAAGCAGUUUGAAACUAAUGAAAGCAUGACAACACACACUGAAAAAGGAACAGUCACUACCACAAAAUAAUACAACAACCGAAGUGCAAUAAACAGUAAUCAGUAACAGUAGAAAUCUUACAAGAAUGGAUAAAUCUCCAACAAACUCCUUCGAUGCUGCAACAACCCAAAUGUGAACAAAAUCCAACCAAACAAAUCAAAUUAGCAAAAACAAAAUGAACCCCACAAACCCAAACAACUUGAAAAUGCAUAGACAUCAAAAUCAUACCAUCAGAACCAAGAUGAAUCAACCUAUGUGAAGAAAACAACAAGAUUGGAGUUGUAACAAAAACAGCAAUCAAACAGAGGAUAAUAAAAAUCCUCGUAAAUCUUCUAGUAAACCUCAUCUAAGACAUGUAAUUAACUCAAACAACACUUGGGGUUUUUGGAUCGAUUCAGAUUCAAUAAAGGGUAUAUCAAAAUACACAGUUCCUGAUACCAAAAAAAAAAAUGGUACUAGGGUUUUUUCUGGUUUUUUGUCUUCUAGGUCAAACGGAAUCGAUUUGGGUUUUUUUUUAAUUAAAAAAAUUUAAUUUUGAUUAAAGAAUGGCGAUGAAAUCGGAGAUUGAUUGGGGGGUGCCAUGUUCGUGUGUACCCGUGAAGUGCAGGUGAAGGAAAUGAGAUUUCAAGAAGAAACAAAGGAAGAAAGAGAGAGUAAAAAUGGAGUUAUAUACUUUUUGGAGAAUUAACUUUAGGUUAGGUACAAUUAUACAAUUAUUGUCUAAAUUUUAGAGAAUUAACUUUAGGUUAGGUAUAUUUUAUACAAUCAUUUUAGUAUGCACCCUAACCCCGCUCCUAUAAAAUAGCUCACACACUGUGUGAAAGAUAUAUAAGUUGUACGAGGUGAGCUCUAUCAGAAAAGGGUGGAAAUUAUAUAUGAUGAAUGAUAUUAGUUUGAAUCGCUCGUUAGACUAACACUUUAUUUAUUUUCAACUAAUUAAUUAUUCAGCGUAGCUAUAAUUUGUUACGAUUAUCGCUUGAGAGUAAUAUUGCCCAUUAAUUGUGUGGGAUGACCUCAAGUUUGUAUAAUUAGUCAUGUUUGUAUAUAUGUAUAAUUCAACAUAUUUAUAUAGUUCUCAACUAACAAUUCUUUGUUUGAUUUAUAUUUGUAUACGAUGGUUUGUAUUUGUAUAUGAGGAUGAUUUCUUUUGGUUUUUUCAAUUUUGUCCAUCAUAUGUAUUCAAUCUUUUUGUGUAUAACUUUUUAAAGUUUGUAUAGACAUUUAAUUUUUAGAUUUUGUAUAAUAUAAUUCAUGUAAUGUAAUUUGUAUAAUAUAUUUUUUAUUUGAUUCAAGUUCAUAUGUUUAGGUUUGUAUCAAUUCGUUAUUUCGAUUUUUAUUAUAUUGUAUAAUUCUAGAAUUUAUAUUACUCAAAUUAUACAAACAUACCUGCAAAUUAUAGAAAGGGUAUGCAAAUUUAUAUAAAUUAUUAUCCUUUAUCGCUCGCCUCUCUCCUUCCUUUCCCAAUCUCACUCGCCUCUCUCUUCCCUCUCCCAAUCUAAAUCGUCAGAAUACACAAAUAUAUAUAUACAUAUAUAUAUAUAUAUAAUACAAUUAUCUAAUUGAUAUACCUAUAAAAUUCACAUCUCCCAUUCCCGACCCUCUCAUUCGCCUCUCUCUUCCCUCCUCCCUAUAACAUAUAGCUACGAAUCAAAAUUAACAAACUAUAACUAUGAAAUGUAAUUAGACUAUUUUUAAAUGGCUAUAUGUGAAAGUUUUUCUUUGAAUUAUUAAAACAUGUUUAGCUUUUAGCAUCUCUUAUUUCUAAGAUUUAUUUAUCAAUUUAUAAUUAAGAUGGCACAAUUAUUGGUUAAGUGGGCUGGACCAUUAUGGUUAAGUCCAGGCACAACUACCCUUCAUUCUGAAUGGAAAAUGUAUAUAAUGUAUAUAUAGUAUUGUGCGAUAUUGUAUUGUUUAAUGAAUAUAUAUUUUUAAAUAAAUUAUAUUGUUCUUCGUCAUUAUAUAAAUGUUAUAUAUCAACAAUUUGAAUCAUAAAUCUAUAAUAAAAGUAGGAUACGAGCAGAGUUACUAUAAAAAAUUAGGAUAAAGAAUAUUGUGAAGCCGAUAUAGAAAAUUAGCUUGCUCGUUGGGUAUAUUCGUUGGAACGGGCCUGAACUCCUUUUAUUUCUUGUUUUAGUCCUAUCUAAAUGAAGCCCAAUUUUGUUAAUACGAUAGAAAUAUAUUUAAUAUUGUGUUUCGAGAGUAUUAUAAUGAAAGGUAGACGAAUACCUUUCAUUAAAACAUUACUUAGUGAAAUUACAUAUAUAUGCUAAUUAUAUAGGUCAAAAUUAUUUUUCAAUACAUAUAUUAUAUAGUAGAUAUUGAAUAAUUUUAGCAAAAUUUUGGGCUUUGCCACUAACUAAGCGAUCAACAAAUGGAUGGAAAAUCAUAAAGUCUUAAAUAUAAAAUUGUUAGGAAUAAAAAAAAAAGUAUUAAGUGAUUCUUUCUCAUACGUUGAAGCUUGAUGAACAGAUACUUAAUAACAUCCAAAUAGUAAGUCCAUCAUAAUACAAUACAUUACAAGAAAGGGAAAUAACAACAAUAAGAAAUUGUAAAAUGGAAAAUUACAACAUAAGCUAUGAAAAAAAAUCCAAAUAAUGAUAAUAAUAAUAAGAUUAUUUCUCAAGAUAAUCAGCAGAAGUUUUCAUGAUGGCAAUAAAAGCUUGGAGAUUGGCAAUAGUAAGAUGAACAUUUUCAACAUCUUUAGUCUCAAAAUCAAUUGUAAGUUUGAUGAAAGAUGAAUUUUCAUCCUUUUCAAUGACUUCAAAUUUGAAUCCAUAAAAAGUAAAUCCAAGAUCAAGAUAUCCACCUUCAACAAUCUCUACUCCCUUCACUCUUUUUUCAUCAUCCAUUAACACAAACUUCUCUUUAUAUGGAGGAUUCCCAACUAAACCUAAUACAUUUAAUUUUGUCCAAAAAUAAAGUAUCAAAAAGCCAUCAAACAAACUUAAAUCAUCUGUCGUAGUUUGAUUUAACACGAAGUUCAAUUAAAAAAAAGUAAUUGUGAUAUUAAAUAUUCCAUAACAUUUGUGUGGCUAUAAAUAUUUCUUAUUUAAAUAAGUAUCAAAUAAAGUGAAGCAUAGGAGGUAUGAGAUAAUCGUGUAAUAGGUAUAAUAUAGCGGGUAAAAAACUAUAAUGUAUUUGUUGUGGUAAGUAUAAAAGCCAAGGGAAUAGACAAUUCCACUAAUAUAGGUGAAAAUUUAUUUCACACCUUAUGUUUAUCUCAAAUCAAUAAAUAUAAAGCGUUUUGCAUUUAUAUGUUGCCUUUGAAAGAAGAGAAAAAAGGAAGAGAUAAUUUUGCUAAUUGUGUUCAUGCACGACACAGAGCUUAUAUUUAUUAAUUUGAUAUAAAUAUCGUAGAUAAAUUCUACGAGGUUUGAAGUAGUAGAUUAGUAACUUACUAACUUGCACUAGUGUACCAGCUCCUCCAUUGCCUUCAAUUAACUCAACUUUUUCAACAAUGUGUGGGAGUUUUUCAACAACAAAUUUUGGAAAUUCAUUAGUGCCAUAGAGAUUCCACACUUCACUUGCUGCUGCAUUUAUUUGUACUUGCUCUAUAAAUUUCCCCAACAUGUUUUUCUUCUUCUUUUUCUGGUGACUAUUAGUCAAAUAUAUAUUAAUUAAGUUGCUAUGAGACACACAUAUAGUAGAUAUAUAUAUCUAUAUAUAAUACUACAUGCAAAGUGAGGCCAACAAACCACGAAUAAAGUAGCGUUACAUAUUUUUCUGUUUCAAUUUAUGUGAUAUUUUUUUUUUUGAGUUAAUCCAAAAAAAGACAUAUUUCUUAAUUUAUUUGAUAAAACAUUUUUUUAUUGAUGUGAAACCAAAUUACUGAAAAAACUCCUUUGGAGUGUAGAUAUUGAAAUUUCAAAAAUACUCUCGAUAUGAAAUUUUUAAAAUAUUCUUAACAUGAAACAGACGUGUCAAUAAAGAGGUAUCUGCUUCUGGCCGAUAAUUAAUAUUGAUGAUAUAUAAGUUGAUAAAAGAUAAAUUUUCAACCACAAUUGCAUAAUCAUAAUUGGCCGGCCUUCAUAUUUUAAUUGGUUGAAAUGACUUCCUUGUAUGGCAGGGCAUUUGUAUUUUUUUUUAUUUUACUUAUCUUGUGUAACAAAAUUGAUAUUAUGAGCCACUAGGCAUAAAUUAGAUUCUAAGUGGUGUAAGAAAUUUAUUCACUGAUUUUCAUAGUUUUAAAUAUUAUUAUAUUAUUAUAAGUGAUCUAAUUAUAUAAAUAUUCAUUUUAAUAUCGUUAAUAUAUAAAACUUAAACUUAUAAGCUCGUCUAGAAGGAGAAUCAGUUGGAGCCCCAUUAACACAAAUUACAUCACAACCUAUUUUUAUAGUUAACAAAAAUAAAUUUUUAACAUAUAAUAUUGAUUUGAUUUCGAUUUUUUCUUUUAGGCAAAGCAAAAUCAAAUCAAUUAUAGUCUAAAUUUUAAAAUAUCAAAUUAAAUUAGACUAAAUUACUAGCUGGUCUUUUUGUUGUUGUUAUUAGCAUCGUCGAUUUAACUUGAUUUAUCGAUUUGGUGCCAUUUAUUAAUGAACUUAACAUGAUGGGUGUAUAUCAAUAUACAUAACUCAAAUGCAUUACCUUAUAAUUGAAUAAAUUUUAGGUUUAGCAAAUAUAAAAAUUAUAUUUGUUAUUUAUAACUAUAAUUUGUAUAAUUGUACUUCAUAGCAAACUAUAUGUUUGCUAUGACUAUUAAUCUGUAUAUUUUGAUAUACAUAUACAUGAAAAAUAUGUAUUUAGGUCUAUUGUAUAUCGAUAUACAAAUGGGAUGACCAAAAACAUGAAAUGUUUGCUGUGAAUUACAAAUAAAAAAAAACUAUAAAUAUAUUAUUUAAUUUGAAUUAAUAAUUUGCUAUAUCAUACAAUAUUUCCUUGAUUUAUUUGUAUUUUAAUUUGAACAUUUGAUUACUUAUAAAUGUGUAGAUUACCCUAGUCUAGAAUCAAUUGGAGCAACAUUGACUUGGGAAUAGCAUUUAUAUAUAAUAUAUUCUUAAUAGCACAUGAUUAAUACAGCACAAUAUAUUUUAUGAUAUAAUAUAUAGUAUCCAGCAGCCAAGAUGGAAGUCUUUUAAGUCCAAAUUCAAACUUGGCAAUUGUAACCUUAUACACAUUUUUGUAAAUUUUACAUGGUGUACUACUAUAAAUUCCACUAGAAAAACUAAAACAUAAUAACAUUUUUUUCACGAAUCAUUGCUUACUAAAAAUUCUGCGUCCAUCACAUCCGCGCUCUAUCGAUAUGAAGGGGACAAUUUCAGAUGAGAUAGAAGUGAAUGUGCCUGCAAAUGUAGCAUGGGAGCUCUAUGGAACAUUACAUUUGUCUAGGUUCAUUGUGCAAGAGUUGCCUACUCUUCUCAACAAAGUUGAUGUGAUUGAAGGUGAUGGUAGUACUGGAACUGUCCUCAAAAUCACUUUUCCUCAAGGUAAGUAAAAUCAAUCUAAUUAAUCAUCUUAAAUUUAAUGUUUAUCGAGGAAAUGAUAUCUUAUGUCCACUAAAAUCUGGAUAGAAAAGAUAUGAUCCAAAGAAGAUUUUGCGUUUUCAUUUAAAGAUCCCAUGUGUUAUUUUUUCCUCUUAUGUAGAGUAAAUGUCAUAUAGCUUAAAUCACACUCGUAGUGAGAUAUAAAAUCAAAUAUCUCGUGCUUAUUAGAGCUAGAAGCUUCAAAAGCAAAAUAAGAUCGCUCUGCUUCCUUGACAAGGCUCUUUUCAUAUGAGCCUAGUGUAGUAUGUUAUGGUAGUAGGCACUACUACGCCCUUUCAUGAUUGUUUGAUCACUCUAGUGGUUUGGGUAAUACGAUCUACCCUCAAAAAUAUCUAACAAGAUUGUAUAAGAUCUUAGUGAUUACUUCAGCUAGCGUGUGAGAUUUAGACAAAAAUAUUUCAUCCAAUUGGUGAUCACCAUUAAUUUGGUUGCAAAAGGGAAUCAUUUACUUUAUUAAAUGUACAACAACAAAAUUAGCAUAGUCAGUGUAAUCUUACAAGUAAGGUCUCUGUUAUACCUUAUCUUGGCAGGUAGAUAACGUGUUUCUCCUAGAACCUCGACUCAAGAAAAGAAUAAACGCUAACAUUUAGUAACACCAUCAAAAAACUUAAUUAAAUGAUAUUAAUUAUGUUUUUUUUUUGUUAAAAUAGGUACAUCAGGAAUACCUUAUUUCAAGGAAAGAUUCAACAUAGUAGACAAUGAAAAAAGAUACAAGCAAUCUCAAGUGAUUGAAGGUGGAUAUGUUGAUCUUGGAUAUAUUUUUUAUGGAAUUAGAUUUGAAGUGAAUGAGAAAGAUGAAAAUUCAUGCAUCACAAAAUUUACAGUAAAUUAUGAAGUUGAAGAUGUGAAACUUGCAAAUCAUGCAUUCACUAUGUUUGAGCCAUUGCAGACUGUCAUCAGAUCAGCCAAGACUUAUUUAACAAAUAAACACACAUCUAAUUAAUUAAGAUGACCAAGUUUUUAUUGUUAUUCCAAUGAAAUUCAAUUGUACUCUAUUCAAAUUUCACUCGCAAGAUUAUACUGAGUAUGUUGUUGUAGUAUAUCAUAUUGCAUAACGUUUCACACAUAAAUAUGUGACACAAAAAUAAUAAUAUCAUCUUCUUCUUAAUUCUCUGUCCUUUUUCCAGUUUUAACUUAUUACUCCAUGUGAAGGUAUUUGACUCAAAAAUAAAGCUUCAAGAUAAAAAUAAAAAACUUUUGAAAGUUAUGAUCUUAGACAUAUAUCGUGACAUAUAUCAAACUAGAAGAGCAUGUCAUUAGAGGUACGAUAGAAAGUUUAAAAUUCUAAAUACAUACUUAUAUACUUUUUUUCAAAAUACAUACUAACUUUUGUAAAUGCUAACAUGUAGAACUCAUCAUAACAAUUAACAUAACAAAUUAAUAUAUCGUUCAAAUUUUAAAUAAUUGUUCAUUAGUUUAUCAACAUCCAAUAUAAUCAAACUUUGAGUAUUUCGGGACUUAGCUUUGAAGAUGAAUUUCUAAUCAAUCGAUUGUUGCCCGAUUAGGAGAAAGGUCUGAAAUAGCGCAAAAAAAUUGUUAAAUGUUUGAAGAAAAUUUGAGAACAAAAUUAGGCAAAAAAAAUUUGGACCAUUUCUCGAUUUGUGCGUGUCAUCCUUGCGCAGGGGCCAUGCUAAUCUUCUCUGUAUCGUUCCAAUUUUAUCGGAUGUCCCCGAAGGGACAAGCAUACAUGUUCAUAUUCCGCUAUAUAAACGAGGCAAAGUAGCUUUGUAUAAGCGAUGAGGGAGAAUUUGCUUGUUGGGUUUCUUUUACGGGCCUGGGCCUGGAUCUUCAAUCUAAAUGGGCCGGCCUUUUUCUUAUUUCUCUUGCUUCAUGGACUUCAAUGGAGAAAAACAAAGUAGAACUGCGAUUUAUCGGUAAUGAGUUAUUGGUUUAACUAUUUUAAUAACGGUAUUGGUACUUUUGUUUUAUUGGGGUAUCGGUUCUACGUUUUGGAUUUUUGCUUUAUAUAUUAACCGAAAACUGAUAGUAAAUUAGUAAUUUAUGUAGUUCUAUACUUUUACUUCUCGCUAUAUCAAAAAAUUUCGUAAUUCUAUAAUGUGAGAAUGUCAUGUUUGAGUAAGAUGCAAUCAACCAACUCUUAAUAUGAAUGGUUCAUUUGGAUUGUCAUUUUGUUUCUAAGUAAUUUUCAUUGAAGAAAUUUUUUUAUGUGAAAUCUUAAUGGUUAAGCUGAUAACCAAAUUAAUAUUAAUUAGUUACAUAUAAAUCAGUAUUUAACAAUUUAAUAUCAUUUUUAUAUGAUAAAUAUCUAUGUUUAAUUUUAUUGGUUUUUUUUUUAAAAUACCUUUCAAUUGCAAAAAUCUUCUAUUUUAAAUUUCAUAUUUUGUCUUUAAUGUCAUGUAUUAGUCAUAAAAAUGACACAUUCCACCUUCAAAGGCUCGAACCCGAACUUCUUGAUUCAAAGCGAAGAAAUCUUUGAUCCUAUCACAAUUCCUGGUAGUUACUGUUAGUGCAUAUUGCUAUUUUUUUUCUUCGUAUUUUUCAUAUGAUACGAGCGUGUUGAAUUCUCAAAAAUUAGUAUAUUUUUAGAGGACCUACGCGAAUACGAUAUCAAUAUUAAAAAGUUCAAUAAUAUUUGUAUCUGAUACCGCUUUGAGCGUUAAAUCAACCCAAAUUUGCAUUAAAAAGUUUCAAACUUAAAAGGUAAAAACUCCUUACUAGAAGCAAUUUCAUACUCAAAGUAGUAAGAUAGAUUUUAAAGGGGUGUGGUCACUUAGUCUUGUUUAUUAUAGACACACCAACUCAUGUUUUUAUCACCAAACUGACAGGUUCCAACUCAACAAUUUGAAUGGGCCUCAUUUGUGUGGUCCUAAAUCCUAAUCCUAAAAAUAAUUUUAGCCAUGCUCUUUGAAAUCAUUGUAAUGGACUCACCUACCCCUUAACUACAUUUGUGGUUCUCCAAAGCCUUAGGAUUUGAAAACAAAAGCAUAUGAGCCACAAAAUCAUCAAACACUAUAUAUGGUCCAAAAUGUGUCCCUUUCUUGUAUACAACUUUCCCUCUCCUUGAUGUAUUUCGAGAUCACUUAAAAAUACCAAUCCCAACAUAUUCCGUAUAAUUCAACAAGUGGGAUUUGAGAAUAAAUAAAGAAGUUCAUCUAACGCGAAGAUAAAAUAUUUAAAGUUUAUGAGUUCUGAAUUUAUAAAUGAAUCCAUAGCUCGUCUUAGUUAUGAUAUAUAUGAUACUAUAUCAUUUACACUCCUUUUUUGCCCCCUACCUUUCUUUAUCUGAUCCAUCACUUUCAACCAGCUAAUUUUUAAGCACAUUAAGUUCCUAUAUGUUCUAAUAAGUUUUACUAUUACAAUUAGCAAUGAUGCCUACCACCUUAUUUCAAUUUAAUCUAUAGAGUCUAAUAGUUUUUUUACUCCAUUGGUGGUCUUGAAAUUUUAUGUUAAUUAUAACAUAAAAUAGUGUGAUGAAAUAGUUAAUAUUCCUUCCAUUGCAAUUGGAUAUUUGAUCAAAUUCAAACCUUGAAAUAGAGAUUUUUUUUAAUAAAAUGUAGGCCUGAUAUCGGUAGCAUGAAUCAUAAUUAGUGGAACAAUGUAUAAUAUAUUUAGGAAUUAUUUUUUUUGAGUUGAGCCUCAUAAUAUAAUUUGUAUUCAGAUUUAGUAGCUCCAUAACAUGAUCACUGACAAGUUAUAUCACUUGUAUGGACAACUUAUAUACUUUAUAAGUUAAUGUAUCGAGCAUAUUCGCAAUAUUUUCUCUUUUAUUAUCUAUCAUUGUUCCCAGUGCAUAUUAUAACUCAAAAGGAUUCAUUUUACAGAUAGUAACUAGUAAGAUAUUCUAUUGCGAUUUAAAUAUUAAAUCUGAAUCGUGACGAUGUAUGACUUGAAGUUUUCCAACAAAAGUUCAACUAAGGAAGGUUCAUUCAUUCACGAUAUUGCAAAGAGAGAAAAAAAAUAAAUAAAAGGAAGCUGCUUUAGGCUGUGGAUAGAACCAAAUGCCCAUACUUAGGUAUGGAUUUGUUCUAAUAAUGAAAAAGCGGAGGUAGAAUUUAAAGUUCAUAUUUUUUAUCACUUUAAAUUUUUGAAGUAAUAUAUAUAUAUAUAAAUUAAAUUUCUUAAAGAUAAAUAUAAAAUUUGAACGAAAAUUAAUGAAUUUGAUUGAACUCGUAAAAUUCUAACUUCCAACAUCCUCGGGGGGCUGCUGACAUUUUUAGAAGCUCAUGAAUCUUUGUAUAUAUAUGUGAUAUCCCUUUCCAAUUCUAGAAACAACAACUUGUUUAUGGAAAGCCCAUUCUUAUUUUAAUUAUUAUCUAACCACCCUUGCUGACAUAUGAUCAUAACUAUGAUUUUUGAAAAUUUAUAAUUAAUUAUUUUUGAAAUUUAUAAAGUAAAGAACGUCAUAAAUAUUUAUAUAGCUAUAAUUAAAUUAUUUCUUUAUACGUAAUAUGGUAAUUUUAGAGCUAAUAUUAGGAGUCGAUAUAAAUUUUUGUUUAUGAGGAGAUUUUUUAAAAUAUAUUUAUGUUUUGUAAUAUUGAUUUUAUCAUAUGUAAGUCAUUUGGUUAAAUCAUAUUAAUAACAUGUUUUUAGUAUGUAUUUGUUGUCAUUUGAUUUAUCAACUCAAUAAUUCACAUGACUCCCUGAUCACUUCGAACCUAACACAUAUCUGUAUAAUCUCACACAUAAAACUUGAGAAAAAGAAAACAUAAAUAGAUUUUUUUUAUAACUUUCAUGUUGGAGACAUCGAUCGAUUGUUUCUAACAUAUCCUCGAUUUGAAAUAAUAAUAUAUAUGUAAAAUAAUUAUUAAAGGUAUGAGGGUUUUACAAGUGGACCGUUCAAAAAGAAACGUGUCUUUCAACUAACUUUUAAUUUCUCUAACAACUUAGAUCACGAUGGCGUUCUAGUAAAUACCCUCCAAAAACAAUGUCAAAUUCACAACUAAAAUCCAUGUCUCAAAAUUGUCCAAUACUACUAGUAAAUGUGGCUCACAUUUCUCCAAUAUUUAUAGAACUCACACUUACACUCUCACUCACUCUAAAUUCACCCAAAAAAAAUAAUAAAAAUCCACCAUUUUCUCUUCUUAUCCUUUUUUUUUUUUAAUUAUUGUGAAAAAAAAUCUAAAAUUUGGUGUAAAAAUGGCUGGAAAUGGAGUAUUUGCAGAAAUAAUUGAUGGAGAAGUGUACAAAUAUUAUUGUGAAGGAGAAUGGAAAAAAUCAGCUUCUGGAAAAUCUGUUGCUAUUAUUAAUCCUACUACAAGAAAGACACAAUACAAAGUUCAAGGUAUGUUAUUUUUAGAAAAAUAAAAAUUAUCAAGAUUGAAAAUUUUGUGUGUGUAGAGUAAAUAUAUCAAGAUUGAUGUUUGUUUGAGAUUUUAAUGGUUGAAAGGGUAGCGUUUGCGUAACUGGUAAAGUUAUUACCACGUAACUGUGACAUGGAUCAAGUUGCGUACAAUAGACUCAUGUAGUGUGGUCUUUUCGUGUAUCAGACUGUUUCAUGUUCUAGGACAGAGACAAGAUUUUAACUUUAUGGAUUCUGAAUAGAAAAAUGUCAUGAUGUAUAAUGAAUUUUCUGUCAUUUGUUUCUAAGGUUCCUUGAAUUUUGUGGAUAGUGCUCUGGAAUUUGUUGUACGGGUGACAGAAUCAAGAUUUCAACUUUAUGAAUUUUGUAUUUUAGAACAAUAAUUACACUAUCGUCAGUGUAGUUUAACCUAUUAUAACAUGUUAGUUAACAUUUUAUUGAGUCGUAGGUAAAUGUCAUUAUGUAAAAUUACCGAGUCAUGUGAACUCUUUAAUAACACAUUGAUAAAAUUUCUUGAUUUCGCAUCGAGGUACUUUUGCUUGUAUUGUAUUAUUUGGUUUACGUACCAGAACUGAUAACAUUCGAGAUUUGUGAAUGUUUAUUGUUCAGCAUGUACACAAGAAGAGGUGAACAAAGUAAUGGAAAUAGCAAAAGCAGCACAAAAAUCAUGGGCUAAAACACCACUAUGGAAAAGAGCAGAGUUACUUCAUAAGGCAGCUGCAAUUUUGAAAGAACACAAAGCCCCUAUUGCUGAAUGCCUUGUUAAAGAAAUUGCAAAACCAGCUAAAGAUGCUGUCACCGAGGUACGCUGAAUGAGUCCUAUGUUGCUCAGACUAAUCUAGAAAUGUUGCCUGGUGUGUGUCCGAUCCUCCAAAAGUAGUGCAUUUUUAGAGACUCUGAGCAACAUAUACGUUGACCUAUGUUACUCCGACUCUCCAAAAAUACCUCUGGAUAUGUGUCGGAUAAUCCUCCAAAAGUAGUGCAUUUUUGGAGGAUCUAACACAGGUGCAACAACGUUUUUGGAGAGUCCAAGCAACAUAGAUGCUGAUGGUGUAAAAAUCUUGGAUGUAUUAACUAGUGAUAGCAUGUUGGUAAUCAUGUUUGUCUGAUAUUAUUUGUCAGUACAUAGAACUUGAAACUCGUAAAAUAUUGUAUGAAUUCUGAAAAAAGUUAAUUGCUUUAUCGGCUGAUAACGUUGUGAAUUUGAUGAAGGUUGUGAGAUCUGGUGAUUUGGUUUCUUACACUGCUGAAGAAGGAGUUAGAAUUCUAGGGGAGGGUAAGUUCUUGGUAUCUGAUAGUUUCCCUGGAAAUGAAAGGACCAAAUACUGUCUAACAUCCAAGGUACAUUUCUUGACUAAUCGAUUUAAUAUUGCUAUAUUAUAAUGUCAUUUAGUAUAAAGUAUCGUCGGUUUGCGUUGAUUGUCAAAAGAUGAAGAUAUUUUAAGGACUUUGUCUACAACUUAACUGGUUUCAUUUCAUUGGAUGACAAAGCAUGUUGUCUUUAUACGUAUAUCAAAUGUUGGAUCGAUGAGCUUGGAUUACGACUUUGUGUCACCCAUCGGUAAUGUUGUUGCAGUGGUAUUACAUAUAGCCAGGACAUUUAAUUUGACUUAGGCGAAUAAAAUAAUUCCGGAAAACCAAUUAAGCUCUUACAAGUUACGAAAAGAAGAAGAAUAUAACUAAGACGGCAAUGUGAGUUUUCUUUUCUAAGUAUUAAAUAAAGAAGUCAAGGAAGAGAUGUUAUGAAUUGACAGGAUGUAACCACUGUCCUAUAGAGAAUAUGGUUAGGGAAUAUUACUAUACUUAUUUGUGUGGUUAUAAUCAUUAGAUAUAGAAUCGUAUCAUUUUUUUCGGAACAAACUAGAAAGGAAAGUAAAGACAUCACCUAUAAAGACGCCCCCUCAAGACAAGUGUUUUUUGUUUGUCUAUUAAAAGUAAGGCAACAUAAACCGAUUUCAAGUCAGACCGGUUGUGAGAACAUUUUUUCCCCUGAAUCUGUAUUAGUCCAAAGAUAAAUCGAAAAAAAAAUAGAUGAAAAUGUAGAAACUCAUAACAUCAGCCUAUAACCACUCAUUGUCUCAUAUUAUUUGUAAACUUUCCAUUAUCAGUAGCAAAAUACAGAUAGGAACUCACAUUUUAUACUUAAAAUGUUGAUAUUAAGUUUAUCGGUAAUAUACUGAUUAUUAUAACCUAAACGUCCGUGGAGUACAGAUACCGUUGGGUGUGAUUCUGGCGAUUCCUCCUUUCAACUAUCCGGUCAAUCUUGCCGUCUCCAAGAUUGCUCCUGCACUGAUUGCUGGAAACUCUUUAGUCCUCAAGCCUCCAACUCAGGUUACUUCACUAGAAUUCGAUCUCAAAUUAGCUAUAUUAUAAUGCAUCAAAUUCUUACUAUCGAUUUAUCAAUAAUAUUCUAUAUGAUGACGACACAUCUCCUUUACCUUUUUUGUUACGACGUUCUUUACCAUUAACCACCUUCUCAAUUAGUUAAAUUUUGUCCCUUGCAAAACUUCAAACAUAUUUUCAAGUAAUUCACGUUUAAACACAACUUCAAUUUCCAAAUACCUGUUUUCAAUUUAACUUCAGAUGCUAUGUUUUUUCCCCAAGUAUUACCAAAUUCAUGUUCAAACGUCUACUUACUUCGAGUGAUCAUUCACACCAGGGUGCUGUGGCUGCCCUGCAUAUGGUGCAUUGCUUCCACUUAGCUGGAUUCCCUAAAGGCCUUAUCAGUUGUGUGACCGGAAAAGGUUCUGAAAUCGGAGAUUUUCUCACUAUGCAUCCUGGAGUAAACUGUAUAAGGUACUCCCUCUUUUUCAAUUUGUUUGUUUGAUUUUGACUUGAAACGGAGUUCUCUUUAAUCUUGUGGUCUUAAAAAUGCUUCGUGGAAAGCUGGAAUUAAAGAGUUGUCAAUAACGAAAAGAAAUGUUCAUUUUUAAACAGACUAAAAAGAAAUGUAAGACAAACAAAUUAAACAAUCGGGAAUAUAUUUUUAUCUCAUUGUUUCAUUUGUUCGAUUUAUGUUUUUUCUUAGACUGCAACCGAUAUACUAAAAGAGUAAACAAGUUCCUUAGUCUCGUUCUUGAUAUUUGUGUGUCCACACAUAACCAUACACUCGUCUUUCUUGUUUUAUCAGCUUCACUGGUGGAGACACCGGUGUUGCAAUCUCGAAGAAAGCAGGAAUGGUCCCUCUACAGAUGGAGCUGGGAGGAAAGGAUGCUUGUAUCGUGCUCGAGGAUGCUGAUUUAGAUUUGGCUGCUGGAAACAUUGUGAAAGGAGGAUUUUCUUACAGGUGUGUGAAUUUUAUUUUCGUUAUCAAAACAGAACAUGCUAGUGCUUUUUCCUUAACAAUCAAGUUGUCGGAACUGCAUUGUAUAAGGAAAUCAAAACGAAUGUAUGCAUUUUAUGAAAUCGACAUAUUAGUAGGCUUUUCUAAUGAUAUAAUGACUUCAUGGAUUGCCUGAUUUACUAUCACUAAACUUGAUCACAUUUCUGUUCGUGUGUUUGAUGAACUUCUCUUUGAUUCAUUAAUCAUCAAAGAUAUGAAUGCAAUGUAGAGUUCAUAUUGCACGUAUAAUAUGUCGAUAUCCUUGUUUAUCACAGUGGUCAAAGAUGCACAGCUGUUAAGGUCGUGUUGGUGAUGGAAUCUGUUGCUGACAUUCUUGUUGAGAAGGUAAAUGCCAAAGUGGCAAAGUUAACCGUUGGGCCACCUGAAGAUAAUUGUGAUAUCACUCCAGUUGUCUCCGAGUCAUCCGCAAAUUUCAUCGAGGGGUUGGUCAUGGACGCAAAGGAGAAAGAUGCAACAUUUUGCCAGCCAUACAAGAGAGAAGGCAACCUUAUCUGGCCCUUGUUGUUAGACAAUGUUAGGCCGGACAUGAGAAUCGCUUGGGAAGAACCCUUUGGUCCAGUUUUGCCCGUUAUUCGGAUAAACUCAGUCGAAGAAGGAAUUCACCACUGCAAUGCUAGCAAUUUCGGUCUGCAGGUACUUCUUUCUCUCCAUCUAUCACAAGAAAAAAGUCACCCGUCUUUCGUUUGGAGGGAUUAGAAAGAGAUAAUCUCCGCAUAACCAAUGUAACGUUUGAUUCGCAGUAUAAGAGAAAUAAUCCCAUAGUAAAUAAUACUCGCAUUACGUUUUACAAGAACCUAACAUAACAUUCAACAUAUAGGUUAUUCACCCUAUAAUGAUUCCGUCCUUUCAUUAUUAUUCCCUGCAUAAACAAUUACUAAACGACAUAACUAGCGCGUGAACCAAACGACUCCGUGGUAUUUGACAUUUGACUCUUAACUACAGGGUUGUGUGUUCACCAAAGACAUCAACAAAGCAAUACUGAUCAGUGAUGCAAUGGAAACCGGAACCGUUCAGAUUAACUCAGCUCCUGCUCGUGGACCGGAUCAUUUUCCGUUCCAGGUAAUUAAACUCCAAAUUCAACAUCGCGAAUUACAUAAUCUUGAUUAUCUUUGCGAUAAUUUCGUAGUAAUUAAGGUGAUUAAUUUCGUUUUAACAGGGUAUUAAGGACAGCGGAAUUGGAUCACAAGGGAUCACUAACAGUAUUAACAUGAUGACUAAAGUGAAGACCACUGUGAUCAAUUUGCCAACCCCUUCUUAUACUAUGGGGUAAAUUAAUCACUGUUUUUUGCUUUAGAAAUUUGACAAAAAUAAUUAAGAAUCCAUGUUGUGGAUGUUAAUAAGCUCACACCAAUUAUUGUUCAUUUCUUGACCUUAUGAAGAUUAAUAUUGGUGGAUUAGUAUUUAGCAUUAUUUUCGCAGUUUCUUGUUCUUCGAUUGUUGUUGCUAGCUAUUUUUGUUGUUUCUUGUGCUUCGUUUACCACAUUAUUCUGCUUUGUAUGGCAUAGUAAUAUGCUUCCUCUAUAGUCUAUUGUUUGUUAUGUCUUACUUGCUAUGCCUUGUUUUACCUCUGUAUUGUCUUUUACAAAAUCACAUGUUAUGCGUUUCUUAAGUUGAGAGUCUUUUAGAAACAAUCUAUCUAAAGAUAGAGGUAAUGUCCGUAUACACUUCACCCUUUCCACAUCCCACUUGUAAAAACACGCAUGAUAUGUUGUUGUGGACACUUCACCCUUUUCAAUCCCACUUGUGAAACACACACGAUAUGUUGUUGUGGACGAGGUGAUUGACAUAGUGAUAUCGAGUUAAUAUUUGCUUUUGGAUAUCGUACGUGUUAAUUCAAGAAAUUAGUUUAUGAUCUAUGUUUUACUUGAACUGGGGGUCCAUUAGAAACUUUCUCUUUACCCUUUAACAAGGUAGAGGUAAGAUUGCGUACACACCACCGUUUUCACGUUCUACUUAUGAGAUAAUACUGAAUAUAUUGUAAUUACUUUGAUUUCAGCAUGUCUGUUUUUUAAUUAGUUAAAAAUGACAUGACAUUAUUCAAAAUUAUAAAAUUUCAUGUCUGAUCAAACUAAUACACAAGAAACGAUACAAAUUGACAUUUUUGAAAAGUCUCUUACUUCCGCAUUUCUUGCGUCAUAUUUCAAAAUUUCUUUCAAGAACAUAUUUUUCAUGUUUCUUGACUUUAUUUUACUGUUUUAAUUUUCACAGAAAAUUAUGAGAUAUUUUGACAUCCAAAUGAAGCUGUGGAAACCAAAGCAAAUGUACUGCUCUAUUUGGGCUUCUUACUUGGGCCUGUUUUUGGGCUACCUUAUUGGUUUUGUGCCUUCAAAGCAAAUAAAGUUUUCUUUUCAUAUAAGUGCAUUAAAGUUUUAAAGUUUGAUAGUGUUCACAUCAAAUUAAAUCAAAUUAUUUAAUCAAAAAAGUUAAAAUAAAAAAUGAAAAUAUAUAUAUCUUGCUUUAAUUAAUUUGGUGUGAACACUUACAAAGAAAAAAAUGUAUUUAAAUAUUGCCUUCACUUUUUUGUGGAAUACUUUUUUUUCUACCUUUUUUCGUAAAAAUCGUGAUUUCAUAACGGAAGUAAUUUAAAAAUUAAAAUUAACAAGGUAAAUUUUAAUCCAAGUCCCUAUAGAAAAGUAUAUAUAUAUAUUUUUCUCAUUUGACAUUUGAUAAUUUGAAAUUCAAUUAAUCGAAAUUCAUUGGAGGUAAAAGAUUGUUUAUAUUAAACCUAAUUUAUAUGGUAUAAAAUGUUGUUUGGUGUACAAGUUGAAAACAAGUCUUUUUGUUAGAAUAAUAAUUCUGACAUGAGUGCACUUACUCCUAAUUCCAUUGGUUCCUUGGUAAUACUAAUAUAUUACUCCCAAUUUAUUAGUUUAAAGAGAAACCAUUUUUUCUCUUAAUUUAAUCCUUGUAUUUUUAUUCAAUAAUAACACAUUAAUGAAUAAAGCAAAUAAAGGGUCAUCUCCUACUACCUACUAUUAAUAUGUAUCUGGUCUCAAGUUUGAUUUGAUUAAAUCUUAUGUAUAUUUAAUACACAAAAAGAAAGUGUAUUAAUAAUUUAAUUUAAUACAUUUAUCUAAUACUGCAUGCAGAUUAUAUAUAAAUUAAUAAUUCUUGGUGGAUUGCAAACUAUAUAAUUUAAUUACUAGUUAUCUUUUGUGUCAUCCUAUCUUGUAAAAUUAAUAAUUAAUAAGAGUUGCUAAGAGUUGACUAAAAUAGUUUAUUAGUUAUUGUGAAAAAAAAAGUUAAAUUUUCUUUACACUUUACCAUUCUACUCCACUAGUUAUUAUUACUAUAAUAAUAUAUUGUUCUUGUACUGUUUGCUGUGAUGAUCUUCAACAUUCCUCUAGAAUAAUUUUUGUUUCCCAAUUAUUUUCUAAUUGAGACUUUUAACUUUUUCAUACUUAGAUCUUUCUUGUUUCUUUUCCUCUAAUUUAGGGUUAUAUCCCUAUUUGGAUCUACACUAUUUAUUCCCUAGUACCAAUUAUUCAACUUGUUUUAGUAUGGAGGACAAUGUAUAUUCUUAGAAAUUUUUUUAAUGUUUGAAAAAUAUUUAUAUAUAAUUUAGAUUAACAUUAUAAAAAUGGAAUACUAGGGUUCAGAUCAAAUUGGUAUGUAUGAGAGGUGUGGAUUCAACCCCGGGUAGGGGUACAAGGAUGGUGGAAUGGGCCUAGCGGUAUGAUUAGGGUGGGGGUAGGGGAGGGAUGGGAUUUGGUGUAGGGGUGAGGGCUUAUUGAAAAAUAUGUAUAUACAUAAUUUAGAUAAACACCAUGAAAAUGGGGUGGUAGGGUUCGGGUCGGGUUAGGGUGUCGGUUAGGUGUGGGUGAAACUCAAGGUAGGGGUAUGGAAUGAUUGGGGUGGGGGUAGGGGAAGGGGGUUGUUGGAGUUUGAAAGAAGAUUGUCGCAUGUCACAUAAUGAAAUUUGUUUUUCCUAUUUCUAUUAAGGUAAUUAUUUUUUAAAUUUAUUUUUCUUAAAAAAAAAUAUUGUCAACCAAAAAUGAUAAAGCUAAAAAGUUAUUCAUAAUAUAUUUUCCUUCCGUACCAAACACACCUUUAAAGUUGUUUUUUUUCCUUAAUUAUUUCUUUGAUGAUUUAUUAUAUGAUUUGAUACAUAGGAAAGAGUCUUGAUUUCUUUUGGAUUUAGGCAUCAAAUAAUUAUGUAUAUUGAUUAAAAAUGAAAGCAUUUAAUAAUAUAAAAUCAAAAGAGAAAAGAAUUAAGUAUAAUACACUACUUAUUCAACUAGAACUUUCUUAAUUUUUAAAUCACUAGUACCAUCUUUGUCAUAUAAUUUUGAGAAUCAAGAAUCUUUGAAGAAUUAAAGUAUUUGUGAGAAGUAUUUAAGUAGCUACCAAAACCUUAUUUUAAUUUUAGAAGGGGCAAUAAUUAAAAUUAGGAAAAAAAUAAUUAAAAUUAAAGUGUACAAUGGUAUUGGGUUGAGGUGUAAAGUAGUCUCUCAAUUGAAAAAUUAAAGAGAAAAAUAAGGUUUGAUUUAAUUUGUUGAUAGGUACAAGACAAAGACAGAUACCUACAACUUAAGCAGAUAAGUAGCUUUUUAGUUUAAUUAAAGAAAAAAAAUGCUAUUAGUUUCUUGAUUAAGCUUGGUUAAGCUUAUUUUGACCUUCAAUCACUAUAUGUUCUUAUUAAGGGCAUACUAGUCUUUUUAGGUUAAUUGUUGCUAUCUUACUUCUCUUACACCAAUCACGAUAAAAAUUAUCCGCAACUGAUAUAUAUAUUUAUAUGUUUCUAAAUACAUUUUUCUCAUUUCACUUGUGAAUAAUUCCUCCAUCUAUCUAGCAACUUGGUUAAUUUUGAGGAAAGCCUCUGAACAAUAAUUUAUAAGUCACGAAAUUAAGUUUUAAAAUCGGUAAUAGAUGCUUAUAUUAUGAUAACCACCUAUAUCACAUCUCAUGAAGAUGUUGCCCUUCUCCAACCUUGUAUAAAUCGAGGGUGCUUAAUUUAAUGUAUCGAACUGUCUUUUUGAUUUUGUUAAUAUUGGUGAAUGUUUAGUCACAUCAUUGAUACUACAAUUGGUUCUUUUCUUUGUAGAGAUUCCUAAGCAUAACUUUGAUUUACAUAUACUCGUCUAAUUAAUUAUGGUAAUAUUAGAACAUGUAGAGUUAAUGAAAGAAGAUAUUUCAUGUCUUCAAAAAUUUUCUUUUGAAAUGACAUGUGAACCUAACAUUAUUUUUUACUUGGUUUUGCUAGAAUUAGAAAAAACUAUUUCAUUAUUGUAGUUUAAUCACCUCUUGUACAAGUAUCUAAAGUCCAUUUUGUCCAAAUUAAUGUCAUUUACUUUUUAAAGUUAUAUUAGAAGUGAUUAUGUCUAAUAAAGAUGUUCGCUAAUCCUAAAGACGAUUCUCUUAUUAUAAUAUGAUAUUAUUUGUUUUGAAUUAAAAUUUGUACGAACUUUUAAAAAAAAAUUAAAAUAUUCUUUAAACAUAUAUCUUGCAAUGAAGUUUAAAUAGAAUGAUAUGUAUGACAUUUUACUUUUAACUUGAAAAAUAGAAAAACUGUUUCAGUGAAUCAUCGGCUCAAAUAAAAUGCACCAAAUGAAAAUCUCAGUAAAACCAACGAUUCAAAUCAAAAUGUCAAAAGAUAACAUCUUAUAUAUAGAAAAUUAUGUCUCCAAAGUCGUGGGAUGUGCAUGGACAUUUUUAUUGAAUUUUGUGUUUCCAAUAAGAUGUAACAAUUGAACAUUCUUUAGACACCAAUGCAAUGUUCUUUAAAAAUGCAAAUUAAAAUUUUAAUCAUAAAUAUUAUGGUUUAUUAUUAUCAUUAGUAUUUUACAGGCUAUUUAUUUUCACUUUCUUGUUGAUCUUUCCCAUGAUAUAUAUUGCAUUAUAAUGCCUUGUGCUUUGCCAAUUGACAGAUAAGAUAAGAAUUUGAUUUCUUAAAAAAUUACUCUAAUUCAAAUUUUUCUUAAUAUAUGAUCAGCAUAAGAUAUGGAUCUUUAAGUUUUGCCUCAAGUGGUCCUUAAUUGUAGUACAUAUAUACGAUCAAAGGUUUGAUAAGAUAUAUAUUUCAUAUUUCUUCAUAUUAAUUAGAAAUUUCACAUUUCAAUUUACGUAUUGAGAGCAUGAACAAAUUUAGAUUUACUAAUUGAAUAAUCUGAAUUUAGUUUUUGACAUAAUACGGUCUAUUCAAUGCAAAUAAAUACUCAAACUGGAAAAUGCAAAUAUUGAACAUAUAUAGUAAUAUGUAGCAUUAUAAUAUAUAUUUUAUCGCAAAUCUCGCAAAGUCAAGAAAUGAUUUCUUUUAUAUAUGCUUAAGUUUUGAUAUACAAAAGUUACCUUAUAAUAAUGAAGGGAUACAUAUAUAUAUAUUCUCCUCCCCAUUGAGCAUUUAUUAUCUUGGAGUCCUCAAUAUAUUUUAACAUAAUUAUAACAAUAAUAAAUAUUACCCUUUGCUUUCUAGUCCCAACUCAAACAUUUGCCUUCCCAAUAAUGACUUCAUUCUUGCAAACAUAUUCUUGCUAUUUGUUUUUAGUACUAUAAUAGUGCUACAUUUAUGUAUGCACACACAUUUUGUAACUCCAUAAUGGUAAUAAUCAACCAAAUAAAAUUGUGAAGUCUACUAGGUCUAAAGUAAAGGGCCUAGAUUGUAAUAUUAAAUUUUGUUGAUCACAUCAUGAUCAUAUAUUGUUAAAAGAUAUGAUUAAAUAAUAACAAUAUGUUUUUCUAAUAGGCUAAGUUUUUAUAUGAGACGACGAUCAAACGUAUCAACGUGGUAUCAAAAUAAAUAGAGAUCACAUGUUUGAUUGUCAAAAAAAAAGUUUUCAUGUGCUUGAUUCAUAAAAAAAGAAGAAGAAGAAGAAUCAAGCUUAUUAAUGUGUGAUUGACAACUUGUUUCAUUACAUAUCAUGAUGUAUCGUAUCGCAUCGUAUCAAAUCAAUCAUGUUGUACAAUAUUAUUUUGAUAUAUACACAUUUAAAGAAAUUGCAUCAUUUUUUGUUGCAUGAUAGUGGGUAAACUAGGUUUAUUAAAUAGUAAGGGCAAAAUGUGGGGAAAAAAAUAGGAUAGCGUUGAUGUCGUACCAAGUAGACUGUUAAAUAACAUGAUAAUUUUAUCGUUAUUCAAUAAUAGAUUUAAAUGAUACAAAAGAAUUUAAGUAACACUAAAAUAUGCAUUAAAUAUGAUCUUAUUGAGACAGAAAUAAAUCUGACAAUAUGUGAAACUGUAGAUUCUAAUAUAAUCAUGCCUCGAUGUAUAUAUAUCAAACAGUGGAUGAAAAACCAAAAAAUAAUAAUUAAAUAAAGUUUAAUCAUUUGAGAUUUAUAUGACUUCUUUUGGCAACUUUUUAGAUGACACUUAUUAUAAACCAUACUUUAAUAAGAACCUUAUAUAAGUUUUAAAUUCUUCCUCUAUUGAACCAACCCACAACCUAACCCCAUUAAUUAUGACCUAUCUAUACAUGUUGUGUUUAGGAAUUCCAGCUGCCAUUUUUUAUAAGAUUGAAAAUUAUCUGUUUGUAGGAAGGCCGACACAAGAACCAUAAUUUAACUAUAAAAUACACAAACGUUGUAAUUUUAAUUAGUAACACAAUAUUGACUUGUUAAUUAUCAUUAACUAGCAGUUUCAGGUUCGAGUCAAUUGAAGUAUGAAAAUUAUAUUUAUUGGAAAAUGUUAUGACUUACGCCUUUUAAUGUAUGGCUUUUUUGACAUGAAUUCAAAUUUAGUCAAAUUUUGCCUUUAAUUACACUCUCUAAUCUAAUUAUGCUCUUUAGUAUGAAACUCAAUUAAUCAGGUUUCAAUACAAAUAUCGAAUUACUUUAAUGAUUCCUUAAUCCAAUACAUCUUACUUACUUGAUGUUUUUGUAUACAUGUAUAGACUAUAUAGCCAUGUUCAGUGUACUGAGAUCUUCAAAGACAAAACGAAUCAUAUCAAAAGCUUGAUGUAUGAGAAGAUUUAUUAGUUGUUUAUAAUUAUCUUUAUAUAAAUAUAAGUUUUGACAUAUAAACAAGGUUAUCAUCAAAAUUUGAAAUUACGUUUUCUAAAUUAAAUUGUAAUUAAAUUCGUAGAAAUUCAUUUUAUAUAAUUAUUAGUUUUCAUAAUAUUGUCUUAGCAAAAAUUACUUACUUUAUCAUAAUGAGAAGAACGAUAAAAAAAUCCUUUAAUGAAAAUAGAAAAAAUAAAAAUUUAUAAAUCGUAUUUUUCAUCGAAGUUACUUUUCACCCUUAAUAUUCCUUAUCUUCACUGUUAAUUACAAUCGUAACCCCUAUACUCGUCGAAGGAACUUACUUACUUUUCUGAAAAAUAGCUAUAAUUAAGUGUAUCUAAGUAAGAAAUGUAACUUCUAAGACAUAAAUUAAGGAAUAUAUUUACUGUAUCACAACUCGUAAGAAUUUGAAAUCCUUUUAAUUUUUUUGAGUAUCAACAAACUUUACACUUCUUCUUGAUUGUAAUUUUUUGUGUAUCUGAACUGUUUUUUUUAAAUUUAUUUAUUGUAUAUGACAUAACCUUUUCUAUGUAUUUAAUAUAUUCUUAAUGAUUAGACGUAUCUGAUAUGUUUAUUAUGUAUGUUUAAGUUCUACUUCUUUAUAUCACAUAUUGUUUCUUCUGUAUAUCUUUCAUGUAUUUAUUCAUUAGAUGUAUCUAAUUUGUUCAUUUUGUGUAUAUGAACAAUUCUUUUAUGAAUCUGAUAUAAAUUCUAUCUGAUCUUUUUAUUUUAUUUAUCUAAAUUGUUUUUAUCAUGUAUAUGAUAUAGUUUAUCCUAUGUAGUUGAUAAAACUUACUUCAAAAUCGACGAAUACAAAAAAGCUUUUAGUUAAGUUUAUCCUAGUUUAUUAUCUACGGAUCCUAAAUUAUCAACAGGCUCUCCGAGCACGUUAAAAAUUCAUCCCAGAGUCGCUCCCCCAUACAAUUAUUUAUAAUCAUGUUGUUAAGAAACUUAAUU